rnacentral:lncRNA from 1 species
AAAAUACGAAAAAUAUAAAGAAAAACAAACAACGCACACAUGAUAAAGUCCUAAAGCCUAUUAACCCAUACCACAAUUUUAAUUUUGCAUAAAUCCUAAUCCUUAAAUAUCAAACUCAUGAAACAAGCCCUAAAAUCCAUUAAUUCAUACCAUAUUCUCACAUCAAUAUAAACCCUAAAUGUUGAGAGUUAACAAAAAGCUAAUUAAAGUUGACGAAAGAUCCCAAACAUAAGUUAACUAAUGCAACAAUAUUAAUAUCUAUUAUUGAAACUUGUAGACUUUAUUUUUUUGUAAGAUUUUUGUUUAGCUUUGAAUAGAAUUUCAUAAAAUGCUUAAAAUUUUUAUAACAAAUCAAUAAAUCCAAAAAUUGAUAAAAUAAUAGAGAAAUUAUAUUUUUCCAUUAUUUCCCCAUAAGCCAAACUACUGACCCCUCUGAAAAACAAAAACUAUUAUAACACCUAAGAGAAUCUGAUGUAGAUAUCUAAAUUUGAUUAAAUUCUGUUUUUAUUUAAUUUCAUUUUUAGAAAAAUUAUAUUAUAUUUUCUAUUUUCUAAUUUUCUUAAAAUUAUAUAAAAUUAUAAAUAUAAUAUUGUUUUUAGCUUUAACUAUGUAGGUAGUUAGUUUAGCAAAAUUAUUUUUCUAUUUCAUGCUAUUCAAAUUUCAUAAAGAUUCUUAAUAAAAUAUUAUUUAAAAGAAUUUAUUUUUAUAUUUAUCUAACUAUGAUUUAAAAGUUAUUAUAUUAGCUAAAAAAUUUAAUAUUAAAGUUUUCAUUGCCUCUAAAUGCCUAUAACAAUUUAUUUUUAUUCAUUAACAAUAUCAAGUCUUAACUACAAUGAAGGGUUUAAUAAUUUUACUAUCUUUCAUUAGCUUUAACUAGCUUAAAUUUAAACUCGAACAAAAUUUUAUAUUAAAGUAAAUAAUUUAAAAUUAUAACAUGUAUAGAGAGAAAGGGAAGUAAAAAAUAAAAAGUAAAAAUAUUAUUUUAACAUUUAAUUUUAAAAACAUGUAUUCUUUCUUCUGAAAAUGGUGAGACAAUGCAUCUUUAAACUCCAAUAAAUCUAUUUGUUUGUCCUCUUUUAUUUAUUUAAAGCAACCGUAUUUGAAUCUUAAACUUUGUUUUGCUAAUUAAUGGCAGGAAUGGACGAUCCUGGCAAUCUCACAUUUCCAGAAUCUUAUAUGAUAGCAAUAGAGUAAACUUUUAUAGAAGCUAUUUGAAGGAAUUGAAAAGAGCUAUGGAUGAUGGAGCCAAUGUUAGUGGCUACUUUUCUUGGUCAAUUCUUGACAAUUUUGAAUGGUUAUUGGGUUAUACUUCAAGAUUUGGUUUGGUUUACGUUGAUCAUAAUGUUCUUAAUCCCAAGUUGUCAGCAUAUUGGUUCAAACAAGUGCUUGAAAGAAAAGAUUCUUAGAGUUAAAAGCAAAAUUAUUCUUAAGGUGUUAAUAUUGUUUUAGGAGGAUUUUUUUUUAUGUUAUUUAGAAUAAGGGUUUUAGACAUUUUGUAAUAAAGCUAUCUUAUGAGCCAAAUUUUAAUCAUACAUUUUACAUUUAUGCAAAAAAAUGUUAAUUAGAAAGACUAUUUUAAAUUUUAGAAUUUUUUUCUUGUAUCAAAAUUAUGAAUCAAAAUUAUAUUGGAACAAUUUUGAAGUUUCCAACAAUUUUGUUUUUGGUUAUCUCUUUAUUUUUUGUGUAAGCAAAUUUAUUUUUAUUUAUUUGUAAAGGAAAAUUUGAAUCUUCAAAGAUUUUGGUCUUUCUUUUGCUUCACAUUUGAUGCUUGACAUUUUUAUUCUGAUUUUAUUCUCCCUAAGGAGAUGAACCCACUUUGUUUUUGUUCCUCUUAUUAUUUUUAUGUUUUUUUUCUAAAAUAAAAUUAAUAUAUAAUAUACAUAAUUUGUGGUUUUUAAAAUAUAUAAAAAAUAUAAAGUGUAUAAUAUAUAUAUAUAAGAAGUGAUAAUAAAUAUCAAUGCAGUAAAUGCAAUUAACUUCACUCAUAGAAGCCGCAAACCAAGGGUUCAAAAGUCCUAAAGGCACCCUAAAUACCCAAAUAUAUGAGCUUAAGAAAAAUGUGCCUAUUGCUGUGAAAAUGGAUCAUUAAGUGUAGAAAAUGGCCAUUGGACUUUAGAAUUCAAUUUUGUAUUUUACAUCAUUUUUAUUUAUUUUCCUUUUAUUUUUUUCGGAUAUCUAAAAAUCCAACAGCCAAAUUUUCACAAACAUAUUCAAUUGAUAAUUUGAACCAAAAAUAAACAAAUUCUAAUUAAAAAAAUAUAAAUUAAAUCAAAUACAUCCAAUUAUAUUUAACCUUAAAACUCAAUUUAAGGUCGUUUAUAUAUGAGUACUCAAAAUAUCCACAGUUGUACAUUUUAAUAAAUAUAAGAUAAUUUAAAGUUAUUGCACAUCUAAACAAUUUACUAAUUCAGAAAAGUUUCCUUUUGCAUUUUCUGACAAAAAAAAAAUGAGUUUGAAUCAUGAAAAACCUAGUAAACAAAAGUAAUAAAGGCAUAGUUUAGCUUAGCUAGUUCGUUGUGGUCCAAACCGUUCUCCCCCCCCCCUUUUUUCCUGAAAUUAAGUGAGGGGGUUACAGAUGAAACCAAUAACACAUUAUAUAACACAGAUUGUAAAAACGCCAUGUUAGAGGACAGUUCCCAAGAAUUUUAAUCGUUUUAGAGGCUAGUAUUGGCUGUCUAGUAUCCACUUAUCGGAGUUAUACCAUAUCUGUCUUCACUCUGUUUUGGGUUUCAAAGGUCUUUGACUGGAUGAUCUCAUCCGCCGUCCCAACCUCCCUACGAACUUCAACACUUCGUCGAUCAAAAUCACAGGGAAUGCGACGGCCAGAACCAGCAGCCAUUCGUUAAAGCUUAAAGGUACGAUACCGAAUACUUGAGCAAGGAAUGGCACAUAGAGGAUCAAGAAGUGCAGGCCGAAUGACACAGACAUGGCCAGGAGGAGCCAAGGGUUGACCCAUGGAGGCAUUGUCAAGAGACUUCCAUCUUCAGAGAGGGCAUUAAGGGAGUUGAACAUUUCAAUGGCAACUAAAACCGAGAGGGAAAGUGUCAUUGCUUUUACUUUGCCGCCUUGGAAGUAAUCGCAUGGAUUAUUUUCGAAGUAGAAGACUUGGUUCCCGGCUGUGAAAGGUGAAACAGUGAAAUUUUUCCAGGAUGAGCACUGGGCCCAGUUGGCGAGCUGGGGGUAUGUGACAAGGGUGUGGCCGUCCCCGCUAAGAUCAAUGCACAAGAAGGAACUGUGUGUAUACCAAAUGAUGAAGACGCCAACAGUUGCUACUCCAACAUAUAGUCCAAUUACCUGUGUGAAACAAUGAUAUAAGAUCAAGAACUCAAUCCCACUAAACAAUCGAGAAAAACAUACUCGUAAAUUCAAGCAAAGGUCUAAACAAGCUACCAGAUAGCGGAAUAAAAUCCAAGCAGUGAUGAGUGAAUCAUCACUUCUCCGAGGAGGCUUCUUCAUGAUAUCCUUGUCCGGAGGAUUGAAUCCCAAAGCUGUUGCAGGGGGUCCAUCCGUAACAAGAUUAACCCAGAGAAGUUGAACUGGAAUCAGGCCCUCGGGUAUACCCAAUGCUGCUGUUAGGAAUAUGGAGGCAACCUCACCGAUAUUUGACGAGAUCAUGUACCUGAAAUAAUGUGUCUUAGCAUCAAAGAACUCCAAAAAAAUUAUUAUAGGCAGCAAUCAAUGUUCGAGAAAAUCGAGGAAGGAUACAUUUGCAUGUAUUAUUGUCUAUACUGCAUAACCUUCAAACUCUAAAAGCAUGAUAAAAGCUUAAAACCAACCUGAUAAAAGCUUUCAUGUUGUCGUAAAUGGAUCUUCCUUCACCGACGGCAGAAACAAUUGUACUGAAAUUGUCAUCUGCCAACACCAUGUCAGAAGCUUCCUUUGCUACCUGGCAGACGGCAAGAAUUUAAAUGAUUUGAGGAAAAAAAAAUAAUACGGGAUAGAUAAAAGAGAAACAAAAAAGCAUGAACUAGAACAGAGCAUCAUGAACAAUAACAAAUCAUGGUCCCCUCCAACUAAUCCGAUGAAUACGUUCAUUUCCAAGCACCCAGCACCCAUUGAUAUCCACUCCAAUUGACAAACAUGAAACAUUAGUAUUUGGCUUAGUGUUCUUCCAGUUAAAUUUGCUUUUCAGUUGUCUUUGUAAAUAAUUACGCUUUCAUCUCUUGUACUUUUAAACUUGAUAUGGAGGUACACUUUGAAAAGAAAAUAUGAAAUUAGUGAACUGAAUUUGUUUAAAGAAAUACCUCCGUUCCAGCAAUGCCCAUAGCAAUUCCAAUAUCAGCUAGUUUCAAGGCAGGUGCAUCAUUUACUCCAUCACCAGUCAUAGCAACCACCUCUCCAUCUUCCUUUAGCAAUCUCACUAUCUCUUGCUUGUGUCUCGGUUCAGCCCUAGAAAAUAGAAGCCCACCACUUUGUCUUAGAUGAGCUUUCUUAUCUGAAAGUGCCAUAAACUCCUUCCCAGUUAAACUUUUUGAACUGAUGUCUUCCAUCGGCCCAAAAACACCUAUUUCAUGGCAUAUAGCUUCUGCUGUAUUUUUGUUAUCUCCGGUUAUAACCAUAACACGAAUGCCAGCUGCUUUACAGUCCUCAAUUGCUUGAUGUACCUCUUGACGUGGAGGGUCCUACAAACAUUUAAUGGCACCAACGAGCCAAGUUAGUUCAUCAGAGAAACAUAUUAUUAGAGGAAUUGUAAGUGAAGACAGUGAUUCAUUAUAACUCACCCUUAGUCCAACCAAGCCAACAAAAGUAAGAUUGCUCUCAAUUGAUGAAUAGUUGGAUGGGUCAAGUAAUAGGGCAUGAGCUGGAUGAUCAUCACUGCCAUCAUAGGUUUCAAACUCAGGGAGCUCAUCUUUGUAUGCGAAACCCAAGCAACGCAAAGCACCACUUGACAUAUCUUGAAGAGCAUUGGAAACAAGAAUCCUUGAAUUUUGAUCGAGUGGUACAACAGAGCCAUCAAGCAACUGCAUCUUUGAGCUUCUCUCCAGUAAGUUCUCUACAGCUCCCUGCCAAAAUAAGUGAUUAAAGUUAAAGUUACAAUAGAUGUAAGAAACAUUAACAUAAACCAUGCAAAUGUUAAACAGCAGCAAUAAGUACCAUAGAUCAUUCAAAACCACAUCAUGCCCAUCAUUUUUUAACUUAACUAGGCAAAAAAUUCAAAUUUCAACUUAGGAAAGAAAAACAGAUCAGCAGGGCCAUCUGCAACUAAAAACAAGCAUUUGCUGGCGUUCCACAAGAUAAUCAAAUAGUGAAAAAUAACUAUGGCUUCUAUGUAAUAAGAAAAUCUCGAGUGAGAUAGCAAUAGUACCUUCACUAACAAUGACCUUCGUCCUGAUUUGGACUUGACAAUAACACCCAUUGACUUCCUAUCACGAUCAAACUCAAGGGUUGCAAUCCGAUGCUCAUACUCAUUCCACCAUUGACAACAACCUUAAGAUCACAUUAAGUAACAUAUCUAAGUUUACAAGUCAUAAUGCUAGAAAGGAAUGAUAAAAGAAUUAGUGAAGCAUGUGAACAUCCAACAUACGUAGAACAUCAUCGCCAGCUGCUCCACCACUAUACGAUCCCUUUGGGAGACCCAUUUUCUCAACAAGAACCUGUAUAGAGAUGAACCAGAGAUAAAGUUACUAUAUGCCUACUUCAGAGCAGAUAUAGAUCAACAUAUAUACAUACAUCAAAUCCAAUGAUGAGAGCUUCACUGAACACUGACCUUUAUGGCGGCCUCAGUUGGCAUUCCAUGAGCUACAUACUUAUUGUCAGAAUGCGUUACACCAGCAUCAUUACAUAUAGCAGAAAUCUUGGCAAUUGUUUCAAGAUUAGCAUCCAUUCCACCACUUGGCCAAUCAUGUAUUUUCCCAUCAGAAGGAUUAUACGUUGUGCCAUCAACCCUAAAACUUCUCAAACUACUAGCAUGACCCCCCAUAGCCACAAGCUUAGCUACUGCCAUCUGAUUGGUCGUCAAGGUACCUGUUUUAUCAGAGCAAAUCACAGUAGUGCACCCUAAUGUCUCAACACUCGGUAGCUUCCUCACCAACGCAUUCUUUUGAGCCAUUUUUCGUGUCCCAAGUGCUAAACAAGUGGUGAUAACUGCCGGCAAUCCUUCGGGAAUAGCGGCAACAGCCAACGCCACAGCAAUUUCAAAAUAAUACGUACAUUUCUCAAACGAAAACUUGAAAUUCCUAGGCCAACCGUCAAUAUAUUCCCAACUGAGAAAAUAUUUAACAUUAAUUAACCAAACAAAAAUACAAAUUACCCCAAUUAUCAUAGUUAGAACCUCCCCAAACUCGUUCAGCUUCUUCUUCAACGGCGUAUCUUCUUCACUCUGCGACGCCACGUGGAUCUGAGUAUGAACUUUACCGAUCUCCGUCUCCAUCCCAAUUUGAGUAACCAAACAGAAACAAUUUCCGUUAACCACCGUUGUUCCGGCGAAAACCAUACUUCGUUUACCUUGAAUAUCAGCGUCUUCGCUAACUGACUUGUUAGUUUUAUUAACCGCCUCGCUCUCACCUGUUAACGAACCUUGCUCGACUCUCAAAGUCGAACUAACUAACUCCAAAACCCUCAUGUCGGCAGGAACUUUAUCCCCUACUUUGAGUUCCACAAUAUCACCAGGAACAAGCUCUUUGGCGGGCAAACUAGGUAUUUUGAUUCCAUCACGAAUCACCGUAGCUUGCUCCGAUUGGAUCUCUUUCAAAGCUUCCAACGCUUUCUCCGCGUUAUUUUCUUGCCAAACGCCCACGAUCGCGUUCACGAUCAAGAUCAGAAAAAUCACCAACGGUUCAACGAACGCCGUAAUUUCCAUUUCACCGCCUUCGUCACCGUCAUACCAAGCGAGCACAAAAGAAACAACCGCCGCCAGCAAUAAGAUUCGAACUAAAGUGUCGUUAAAUUGUUCCAUGAUUAAACUCCAUAUUGACUGCCCUUCAUGCUUUUCCAACUCGUUAUUUCCAUAGAUCUUGCGCCGAUUCUCAACUUCCGCCGUUGAUAGUCCCGAUUUCCGACUAACAUCGUAAUGCUUCUCGCAUUCACGGAUAUCUUUGGCCCAAGCGGGGAACACAUCUGGAUCUGUUGGUUUAGAGUUGACAAACUCUCGUUUUCCAUAAUUUUCCCCUCCUUUUCCCAUUUUUUCGAUCUUUUUUACAAUACGAAGAUCGAAUUUGAGAAAAUCUAGGGUAAGGGAGGAAGAUUAAAAUCUGUUUGGUUACCGAGAAAAAAGGACGAGAAAAUGGAAGUUUUGGUUUUCACUGUAACCAAGGCAGUUGUGCUGUUUGCUGUUUCCCACUGCUUUAUUUAUUCUUUUUUAUCCUAAUUUUUUUAAUAUUUUUUUUAAAAAAAUUGUGAACGAAACUUCGGCGUACCUUAGCAAAAUGAGGUAAAAUGUAUUACGUAAUGUGUUGACAGCUGGCAAAUCUUGAAACCUUUUUCUUACUUGGCAGUUUCUUAUUGGAUAGAUCUUAGAAUUACGAUGUGUAAUUGGAAAAAUUAGUAUUUUUUUAUGAAAAAAUAUAUAUUAUUAAAUUAAUUCUAUUCAUCUUUGGAUGCCUAUUAUAUAGGUUUUUCUCCUUUUUAAUAUUACCUUUAUUUAUUUAAAAUAUAUUAAAAUAUUAUUUGCAUCACAUUUCUACAUUUUUUAUAGAUUGUAUUAAAAGUUAAAUUAUAUUUUAAUUUUUUAUUUAUAAAAUAAAUUAAAUUAAUUUUUAUAUAUUAAAUUAAAGAAUUAAUUAAUUAUUUCUAUUAAAAGUUUCAUACAUUUUUACUGUUAAAAACUGACAUAACUGACGUGUCACGUGUACAUCAUGUUGGCAUAAAGAAAAACUUGAAGUGAAAACACUGCUCUUUUUAUACAGAAUUACAAUGUUUAGAACUAUUCAUAACAUUAUUUUAACUCUUAAAUAAGAUAAUAAUAUACUUUAGCUCAUUCAAACCCACAUCCUCCUGUACUAACGAUAAUGUCAAUAUCAAUCGAGUUAAGACUCAAUCAACCGAAAAAUACAAGAAUUAAAUCUUAUAUAAAUAUUAAAAUAAAUUAAAAGUUGUUUUAGAUCUAUCUCUAGCACAUAUAAUAAUUGAACAGUAAAAAGUCACAAAAGGGGAAGCUUCAAGACAAUUGCAUAUGGAAAAAAGCUUAGGGGAACCCUACUUUUUGAAACAAUAGUCAAAACUCAAAAAGCAUUCAAAAAAUUUCUCCAAACCCACCAUUAAUAAAAUGUUGUUACUAUUUUGUUUUCUUUUUUUUGACUUUUUAAUUUCCUUUUCAAAUAUAAGGACUUGUCCUUUGGAAAUAUAUCAAUGGUCAUCUUUCAAUUUGACCUUUUGUUUUUGUACUAAUUUUUUAUUAUUAUAUAAUUUAUAAAUUAGGGAGGAAAAAUUUUAAUAACUUACACCAUAGGUAAAGCAUCCCAUCCAUAUCACCAAAUUUGGUUUCCUUAUAGCUCAAUCUUAAUUCAAUUAUUUUUGUUUUGUUUUUCAUAUGGUACCAAGGAUGAAAGUGGAAGAAAAUGAAUUUUUUUGGUGUUAUUUUACUAUUUUAGUGUCUGAACUUAAAUUUUAUUAAGAUUUGAUGAUGUGAUAACAGUAUGAAUGAUUGUAAAAUAAUAAGAAUGAAAAAUAAGAACAUGUAGAUUUUACGUGAAAAAUCUUUGUCAGGAAAAAUCAUGGGCAAAGUAAAAUAAAUUCACUAAUGUUGAAAACAAUAAUACAAUAGGUUUUCGGAUAUGCGCAGUUUUUAAGAGUUAAAUGACCCAUAGUCCUAUAGUGAUUCAACUUGUGCGACAAAGUCCUUAAUUUUGCGUCUCUAUUUUAUUUCUUUAAUAAAUGAGUUGCAUUUCAAACUUUUCAGAACAAAUCAAAUUGGAUUUGGUUCACACAACUCUAACAGUUACUAAUGUUAUUGGAAUAGAAUUGAAUUGGACGGACUAAGAUUUAACUGGCAUAACAAUUCGAAUAAAGGGAUUGAACUGGUUAAACAGGAAACUACUUGAAAAUAAUAAAAAUCGACAAUUGAAUAGUUAAUUUAAUAAAUUUUUAUAUUUUCCUUUUAAAAAUGUAAUAAUUAAAUAUUUAUUUCCCAAAAUUUAACAAGUUUAUAUAAAUUAUAGUAUUUAUUUCUUAAAACUGUUUUUCUGUCACUUUCAAUGGUGGUCAUUGAUUUACUUAUUUCCCAAGUUUUCCAUUUUUAUUUUUUAAUUAAAAUGAUUGACAUUAAAGCUUUUUCAUAUUUUUAUUUUAUUUUAUGGAAUUUCAAGAUUCAAGAGUCCAACCCUACAACCAUCCUGCCAUAUGUCAUUAUCUCUCAUCAGCAAAAUAUAUUUAAUAAAAAUAGACACUACAAAUUGAGGGAUUGAAAUUUUAUUUUUUAUUUUUUAUCACAAAAUUCAGAUUAAAUAUUUUUUAAUUUAAAAAAAUAAGUCUAUUUUAGAGAGUGCGUGUGAAAGUAUACCCAGUUAAAUGUAUUUUCAUACUCUCUCUUCAAAAUCGAUCUAUUUCACUAAAUCUUUAAAAAAAAGCCUAUUUAAUUAAUUAAAAAAAGACCUAUUUAACCAAUUAAAAAAAAUCGACAUUUUCAACCAAUUUAACCCAAAAUUCAUGUAUUGACCAUCAAAUAAUUUCCUUAGAAAAAAAAAGAAAAUAAAUAGCACUAUAUUUUCAACUAUAUAUAUAUUUUAGAUUAGCUAUAGUUAUUUUUAUAUUUUAUGUACAAUCAAAAAAAUAUUUAUGUUUGUUAUAAAAUUUAUAAUUAUAUUGACAAAAAAAUUAAAUUAUAAUCACGAGAUGUAAUGUGAUGGGUCAAGAGUUCGAUUUUUUUAUGGGAAUAAAAUAUAUUUUAUGACUAUUUAUUUAUUUCUUUGAAAAGUACACCUAAAGAAAGAAUUGACUAAUACUAUUUUAAUUUUAAUAAAGAAUACUGUAAAAUAAAAUAAAAUAAUCAUAUUUCUAACUAUGAAUAAUUAAAAAAAUAGAGUGAAAAAACACUUUGUCUUACUUUUAAGACUUAUUUUAUCAAUUUUUAUUUUUAUAUUUUUUUCUUAAAAAAUGAGUGUGUCAUAAUUUAUUUUAUUAUUAUUUAAGAUUAAAUUACAUGUAAAUUUGUUGCUGUAAGGCGAUUCACGCGAAGUGUCAAAAGCAUGGUAAGAGUCACGCUAAAUUGGAGUGACACUAGGAUAAAAUAUUUAGGAGGUCCCUGUAUUAUAAGGAUCAGAUUCAAUUAGUCCUUUUAUUAUUAAAUAGAUUAUUUUAGCCUCUACAUUAUUAAAAGGAAUAGAAUAAGUUUAAAUUGUAACAUAGUUAACAAUUAUUAUAUAAAAAAUAUCAUUAAAAUUAUUAUUAUUUAAUUGUAAUUCAAUUCCAAGUAAAAAAUUUUAUUUACAGAAUCAUAUAUACUUUAAAAAUAGUAACUUAGUUAAAUAGUAAAUGUUAACUUUAUUUGAUUUUUUUAAUAAUAUAAUUACUAAAUCGAUCCAUUUAAUAGUAAAAUAACUAAUUUGAUCUGGUCGCUGUAAUAAAGGGGCAUAUAAAUACAUUCACUACUGAAAAUAUAUAGAAGAGCUUGGCGUAAGUUCUUCUUGUUGGGUCGAACCCGAAUCAUGCAACGAACACGAAUGAAAAUCGAGAAAAUUGGGCACAAAUAUUUACGUAAAAUAAUCUCUUCAAAGAGGAUAAAAUAAUAUAGACAAAGAAAACUUCAAUAAAACGGUAAAAAAUUGAAAAAGGGGAGUACAGGAUGGAGAAACAAAUAAACCCUGAAUCUGAAAUACAAAGAUUUCCCAAAACCCAGGGUUGUUAAUAGGCUUAUUUAUAGGCUGAAUUUCGUGUACAAAUAUUACUAAAACAUCCAUUGAUUAAUCAGAGUUAGAUUGAGAAAAUAUAACAUAGUUUAACUAGGAUAAGAAAUCUAGUUGAGUGAGAAACACGUCGUGUUGACAUCAACUCUGUUUCAUCUGAAAUGCGAAGUACACUACACACCUGUAGACAAUAUCCUACCAUAUAUGACCUUGAAAAAUUACCCAUAAAACUAUGAAGUGCUCUACUAAAAUGUUGUUUGAUUAUGCUUGAUAAAAUUUCAAUAAAUUCUCGAGAUGUAUAUCCUUCUUAAUCGAAGUGGUUGACCUUAAAAGAGGUAAUUAGGUAUAUGCUUAAACUAGGAGGAAUCAUUUAUAGCAUUGUGCACGUAAGAAUUUUUUUUUUGGAUCGUACGUAAGGAUUAAUUAAUUGAAGUAUGACAAUAAUUACCCAUCCACCUAUUAAAAUGCAGUCCUCAUUGUACGACUUUCUUGCCAGUCUCAAACUUGUUUAUAUUAUAUUCUAAGCAUGGCAAUAAACCAUUGAGAAGCAUGAUCCGACAAUAAUGUGUUUGAAAUCCCACAAUAAUAUAAAUAAAUACAAUAAAAAAUAAUUAAAUCAUUUUUGGUACUUAUAUUUGUUUUUUCAUUUCGAUACUUGAAUUUUACAGUUAGAUCUGUUUUUGUUCUUAAACUUAAAUUCUGUCAAGAUUUCAUAAUGUGAUUUAUAUUAUUUGAACACAGCUAGAUUGGCUGGUCAGAUUAAUUAGAUUGAGAAUUGACUAAUAUAUUAGUUCAAAUAAAAGGGUUAAACCAAUUGAAUCAAAAUUACUUGAAGUUGGUAAAAAUUGAAAUUGAGACAAAAGCUAGCAGUUGAACUGGUUUUUAUGAAUUUUUAAUCAUUUGUUUAACUAUUGUUGAUCUAGUAGUUAACCCAAUCAAACCAAUUGAAUCAGGAACCAGUGAUCUGAUCGGUUCAAUCACUGGUCUAGUUACUAGAACACGUAUGUGACACUUUAGGAUUGUACCACAUCAUCACUUGAAAAUUUAUAUAAUUUUUUAAAAUUUUCAACUAAUAAUAUGAUACAAUCUCAAAGUGUUAUGUCAUCAAACUUUUUUAUAUUUUUCAAAUUUAGAGACCAAAAUGAAUCUAGUUGUCAAGUUCAUAUACUAAGUAGGUAAAAAAAUAAGUACCAAAAUGAACUUAGUUGCUAAGUGAAGGGUCAAAAAUUAUAUUCCCUAAAAUACAAUACAAUAAAAAAGUUUUUUUUAAUUUAAUAAAUAGUUUUUGUGUGUGAAAAUAUUAAAAAGUUAAAUAAAUAAAAUAUUCAUAAUGGAAAAUACCGAUGAUAAGAUCUAAUCGGACGGAUAAAAAAAAUUGUAAAAGAAGGAAAAUUUUUGGGGGUUUUUGAAGUGUGUGCUUGGAGGUUUCUUAGAAUGUUCAAGGACUAAAUAAAAAAUUGAAGAAAAAGGGUGUAAAAUACUAAAUUUUGCCAUUAAAAUACAAAUGGUCCAUUCCCAUUUGCCGUAAAGGAUUAAAAGUGUCUUUGAUUCGUAACCUGUCAUUGUCAGUGUCGAAGUCACGCACGCACUUUCUGCCCGUAGGGUUGCCCGCUGCCCAAUGCUCAUUCAUCUCAUCUACACGACUUUUCCUUAAUAGAAAAUAAAUAUUUGGCAAAAAAUAAUCUCAAAUGGUUGGGUGAGUUUAUGUUUUAGUUAUUAAAUUAUUUUAAAAAAAUUAUUUAAAUUAUUGUAUCCUUAAAGUCGUUAUUUGAUGAUCUUUUUUAUUUGUAAUAUAUAUAUCAAUUAAUAAUUUCAAACAACUAUUAAUAUUGCGAAUUUACUAAUCAAAAUUCAAAUAGUAUUAUUCUCUAAUAUCUGACACUGACUGUCAGAUUGACUUAGAUUUAAAGUAUGUUCUUCUACUCGUCGAUGGGUAUUGAUCCACCUUAUAGAUAGUCAAAUCGUCACUUAGAGCUUGCUAGCCAAACUUUAAAUAAAAAAAACACUUAACUGCCCAAUGACUUAAAUAAAAACUUUCGAAUAGUUCAAUGACCAUUUUAAAAUUUUUUGAAGUCGAGUGACUAAAAAGUAAACUUGCUAAUAGUUUAACAACUUUGAAUAUAGUUUACCCAAAAUAUAUGUGCCUAUAGGUGAGGUCUAAUAUAAUGAAUGUUCUAAUAACCGUAUCAAAGAUGGAAUGAUUAGACUAUUAAUUUUUGGUUUAAUUUGUUCAAUCGUUGAUUUAAUAAUAAUUAAAUAAUUAAUUAUAAAAUUAUAAAAUCGAUUCAACUAAUUUAAUAGUCAAUUUUUUAUCUUGAUUUUUUAUUUUUUAUUUAUCAAUUUCAAAGAAUUUACUUAGAGAUUAAAUUAAUUCUUAUAUUUGAAUCGAAAUACCAAUUAAUUUUCAAAUUAAAUAACACUUAGAUAUGAUUACAUAACAACAAUAAUUCAGAUUUUUUUUAGUAAUGUCAAAGACUAAAUUUUAAAUCCUGUUAAUGUAAUUUUCCUUCAUUGAUUCCAUAUAAAAAAAUUAUUGUUCAAUUUGAAAUAAUAUUUGUUCAUACAGGGUGUUAAAUAAAAUAAAAUUAAAAUUGUCAUAUCAUUUGCAUUUUUUUUUCAUGUAUGGUUUAACUUCAUAAAAUUUUUUAAAUGUGGAUUUAUUUGAAAUGGUGAUGUUGAAUAAUUAAAUUUAUGUCGUUUUAAGUUUAAAUUUUACGAUUCGGUAUGAAUUUUUCUAAAUUUAUUAAAAUAUAAAGAACAUAAAUACUUAAUUCAUUAUUUAUAUUUAGUGUAUGUGGAGGGGGUUUAGCUUUCUUUCGGAAGAAGUCUUUAAAGUGUUAUUCACCGAACAAUUGAUCAGACUCUCGGACGAAGGUAUUAUUUUGGAGAUGUUUGUGCUUGGUUUCAGCCUCGAGUUCUAGUCAAGUGGUAGUAUUCUUAUACACUAAGUCCCAUUAAAGGUAAGGGUGAUUAGACACUCUCAUCAAACUCUGUGAAUCAUUUGAGACUUUCCUCGAAAUAAGAAGAUAAAAACCCAGAAUUAAACUCAACAUAGACAUUAAAAAUAAUAUUUUCAUUCGAAGAUUUAAUUGACUGCUCGACGAAUAAUACUUUAAAAACUUCUUUCGAAAAACAAUUAAUCCCUAAACAGUGUAAUAAAUUACUCAUUAGAAAGUGAAAUUUAAGUGCUUAAUAUUUUUUUAAUUCAAAGUAUAGUCAAACCACAAAUUAAAUCAACAUCAUGACCCAAAAUAAUUACUUUUGCUUGCUUUCCACAAGACAACAUACAGAAGUCAAUUUAUGACUUGAAUUGAGAGAUCUCGUGGAGUGGGAUGUGAUUUUAAUUUAUUUCAUUUUCUACAUUGGUAUGCUAUAAUAAAAGGCACCCAACAAGAAAUUUCAUCUACAUCAACAAAAUCUUUCAUCAUUAAUAUUUGGUUUCUUAAAACCUUACAAAUUUGUCUCUAAGUUUCCACUUUUCGACAUUUUGGUCCUCACAAGUUGAUUGAAAAUUCAAUUGGAACAAGUUCCAACUUUCUUUUUUGUACUAGUUUUCUUCUUAAAGAAAUUACAUAAUAUUAUUUAUAUAUUAUCUUGUGUUCUUCAUUAUAAUCAUUUGAUAUUUUGAUAAUAUAUAUGAUUGGCAAUAAACAUCUUAACUCAGUUGGUUAACAUAGAGAUCUUGGGUUCUAAGUACCCAGGUUUGAGAUUUAUCUUUUGUAAUUAGAUACGUAGGUCUUCGAGUUCCAUUAUGUGUGAGUUUUAGUCCAGUUUGUAGGCUUUAGUCCAUUUAUGUUGUAAUAGUUUGAUUCUAUUUUAUGGUUACUCGAACAAUCCGUUUGUACUCAUUUGAUUCUUGUGAAUACUUAAGCAUGUAUUUAUACUUUGUACUUGUUACUUUGCAAAGAAAAAAAUUCAAAUAUUUAAAUUUGAUUACGCAAAUAUGCUUUAACAAUAGAAUUCAUUUUAUUACCUAAUGAAAUUCGAGUAAUACCAUUUGAAUCCGAAUUAAAUUAUCUUUUAAAUGAAUCUUAAGUUCUGUAGUCUAAUUGUUGAGGUUUACCUUCUUUAAGAUUAACUUGGGUCCAAAUCACAAUUCUACCCAAAAAUAUAUAUUUUUUAAGUAAAAUAAAAAUUAAAAACUUGAGUGAAUAAUAAAUUCAUACAUCUAAAUCCCAACAUGUUAUUUACAAAAGUAAAGCAAAAUUGAAUAAUAGAUAUCUAAAGAUUUUUAUCAACAUUCAAAUAGUACUUAAAAUAUUUGAAUCUAAAUAUUAUUCCGUACAUAGAGUUAUCUAUGGGUCAGGUUAGGUCCCAACAAAAUUUUAGGCCUGAAUGAUAACUCAAAAAAUAGAUCUAAAUUUUUGUCCAAGGUCGACCCAGAUUAUAUAUGCUAAACACAGACCCGGACUGACUCGUAUUAAAUCCUAUAAUAUUGAUACAAUAGGAAAUGUAUCGAUACUUACUAUGAGGUAUCAACACCUUGGGGAGAGUAUCGAUACUCAGACAAUUUUUCUUUAAUUUUCAAAACAUCGAAACUUUUGUGAAAGUACUAAUACUUUGUUAAGGGUAUCGAUACUUUUAGACAUGUAUCUGGGUCAGGCAAAAAAAAUAUUACCCGAUGUCCGAUCCGUUUUUAAAUGGACAUUAUUUUUUGUACAAACUAAAUUUUUAAGCCUAUAUUUUUACUUAAAUUUUUUGAAUUUUUAGAUAAACUUUCAUGCAUCUUUCAGGCAAGACCGAAUAGCGCUGGGCAUGUUGAAGUUUACAAACGAGUGGGAUAUCAUAAUCGAAGGCAGCCUGCAAGCAAAGGACUACGAGCUUAGGCAUGUUGCUUCUUUCUUCAAUCUAUAACACGCAUAUAACGUCUUAAACCACAAACUCCAAUGCUCUUGAGGUCACAUCAUAUACUUUACGAUCCUAAUUCACACCAUGACCCUACCAAUUAAUUGAAAGAGCAAGUUGGAAGUGACCACAAAACUUAGAAAUCCAUAAAAGAUCUAAAACUUGUCUACUCAGUGCCAGAUGUUGUGUUUUAGUUCUUAAAUUUCAAUAACAAGUACUUGAAUUUUUCAAAAAGAAUAUGCUUGAAAAUUAUGUGAUUGUGAGCAUGACAUUUUGGGUUUUGAAUAAGAAUGUUAAAAAAUGUAAAAUAAAAAAAAAUCCACAUGAAAUUGAACAAAGAAAAAAAAAUCAGAAGCAAAAGUGUGGCUGAGAAUGAGUUUGAAGUUGUAAAAAGUUUUACCUUAGAAUUGAAAUUUCUUUGAAUCAUUUGAGUUUCUUUGAAUUAUUAUUAUUUAAUUCCAAAUUUAAUAAUUUUAUUAAAGGGUGCAUGGAUUGAGUCGGGCUAGUUUACAUAUGGUAUUGAUACCGUUAUUGCUUGUUUAAACUUGGUCUGUCUAGAGUAUUAGCUUAAAAUAUUCGCUAAAAUUUUAUCAUAUUUGUAAAUAGUUCAUUUAAGUUCGGGUGUGUUUGAUAAAUUGAAAAAUUAAGGGUCGAAAAUUUAAAUACUAAAUUUUUAUUACUAAAUUAUAUAAGUGUUUAUAUUAAAAAAUUGUUUGAUAAAUUAGUAAAUAUAAAUAUUGAAUAUAAUUAUAUUGUUUGAUAAAAGUAAAUAUUGAUUUUUAAAAUAUUAUUUAUUUUAAUUUUAAUUUUAUUAAUAUAAUAUUUUAUAUUAUUUUGAUAGUUCUGGAUGAAUGAUAAAUAUGAUAAUUUGAUUAUCUCAUUUAUAAAAAAUAUUUUUUAAUAAAAUAAAAUCGACUUAAUAUUUUCAACAUUAAUUUAAAUAUCUCAUUUCUAAAUAUGACAAAGGUGUUUUUCUCAUCGAAUACUUGCACUAAUGCUUGGGAGAGUAUUUGCCACGGGCGCAAUUUUCAGGUAGUGGAUAAGUUGAGGUGUACUUGGGUGUAUCGCUGGUCAUAAACAUAUGGGUUGCUCUACUUAUAAGUUCUUAAUUGAUAAGGUUCGCCAUAAAUUAAGUGGAUAUAAUGCAACUUUACUAUCUAUUGUUGGCUAGGUGACUAUGUAACACCCAUUGCCCAACCUGAUCGUCAGGUCCUAGCUACAAUAUGCCACAACUGUUGCCGAAGCAAUUACUGUCAAAUAUACCAUAAAUCAAUCAAUCAAACAUUCAAACAUGUCAUAAAAACAUUCUCAUUAUGAUACGUAAUUAAAUCGAAGCCUUAUUUGAGCUUAAAAAAGCUCUUUUGUUUACUUGAGCAUGAUAUAGGACCAAAUUGCAAAGUUUCAAAAAUUCAGGACUGAUGUCACCUCCUCCACGUCGUGACGUCACCAAACAAUUUGUCACGCCAUGAUUUCAAGCCACUAGACAUCUUGACUUUAUAUAUUGUCGACCAACGUUACGACGAGAAAAUAUUGUCGUUGGGACGAAAACUCUAUUUUUGGUACAAUUUAAGCCAUUUGGUACCUGUUUCAUGUCAAUCUUUCAAACUUAUCAUUUGUUGCAUUUUGCAUAACAUUUUCCUGUACAAAAAUGUACCAAAUACAUGCCAAAACAUAACAUUUAACCAAUUUCAAUAAUCCAAUGCAACAUUUCCACGAUUUGGCAUCAAAACCUAACAAUUCAACUUGACCAAAUUCAACCUAAUCAACCAUGCCUUUAAGCUAUUCAACACCGUCAUUUUACUUAUACCAUUACGUAUUCAAACGCGUCAAUCACAUAACUUAUUCCUUAAACCAAAAGCACAUCAUAUCAACAAGUUUUACUAUAUUGCAAAGUCAUACUUAACAUAGGUUUCAGACUAUAUCAUAUACAAAGUUAACUAAAACAAACACCUAUGUACAUGCCACACAUAACUAAGUCUUAAAAUGAUUAAAAGACUACAGAGUCAAUAGAUGUAUAGUGUGAGCUUCUCGACAAUCCGAUAGACACGUUCCUCAAGUCAACAAUCUACAAGGAAAAGUGAGGCAACGAAGUAAGCAUAUUGAAUGCUUAGUAAGUCCAUAUGAAACUUACUUAAUUUACCUUGACAUUGCAACAAUUAAGAAAUCAAAAUACAUUGGAAUUAAGCAUGACAGCCCUUUGACAUCCUUAUACUUUCAUAUGCAUUUCAACAAAUACAUCCAAUAGGUUAGUUCAUCUACAUGUCAUGAACUUAUAACACAAUCAUUUACAUAUGUAAGAAUUCAUCUUAUAUAAUAAACUAUCUAAAUCAUAUUCAAUUUGCAAACAUAUGUAAUUCAAUUCAUGUUCAAUCAUCUCAACCGUUUCAUUUCCUUUUAUUUACCAUUUACUCGCCCGGGAGAACCUUAGUAAACUAAAGUCGGAUGCGUAGGAAUAUAGUGCUCACACAAGUUGACAGUAAUCAAGGUUGCUCACACAAGUUGACAUAUUUGAAUUGAGAAUCCGUAACAAAUGUUGGAUCUCAAAUAACCAUGUAAAUCUUUGAUCGUUUUUAUAUUUGAUCUUAAUGGCAUGCCAUACGUAUCUUAAUCAUGUACUAAGUUCACAUGGGCAUUAUUAUUGUAUUCAUCUCAAUUCAAUCAUUCUAACAAUAUAUUCAUAUUAUGUCAAUCAUGUAAACAUUUCAAAUCCAUUCGAUACCUCGUACCUGUUUGUAAUUACCAUAAAAUUCAUACCUUACAAUUUAAUCCAUUGGAUGUCAAAAGUUAUUACAUUCACAUCAAUACAAACUAAUAGGUACAAGCAUAACAUGAAUUAACAUAGUAAGUUCCAUAUAAACUUACCUGGCAAAACAACAAACAAGCAAUCUUUAAGGACUAAUAAAAAAUUUUGUCUUUUCCCCAUUUUUUAAUGAUUUAUCAAACACACCCUUCAUUUAGACGUUUUGAUAAAAAUAUAUAUUAUAUUUGUUCAAUAUUUAAAUUUAUUAAAAUAUUAAACAUAAAUUACUUAAAUAUUUUUUUAAAUUAUAGUAUUUUAAUAUGAAAUAAAUAACAUAAUAUAUAAAAAUAAAAUAAAAAUGAUAUUAUAAAAUCCAAAAACCAAUUGAGCUAACUUUGAACCUUGGUUAUGGUAGCUCAAACCCGACCCUUUGUGUUUUCUAAAACUUAAUAAUUUUGUUCAAACCGUUUUAAAUAUCAAGCAAACCUUCAAGUUUGAACUAUUUGUACUAAAUUUGAUUUUAAAUUAAAGUUUUCUAUAUUAAAACUAAAUAAUUUUGAUUAAAUCUCAAGCUAACUUCAACAACUAUAAAUUGAAAUUCCUAAAAAAUUUUAUUGGAAUUAAACUAGAAAGCAACAAGUGUAUUGUUUGCAAAGCUUCAAGCAAGACAAGGGUUUAAGAAAAGAAUCUAGAAAUAUUAAAGACAGACAAAGGAAUAAAAAACAAAAUAGUUUAGGGUUUUGGACUAAAAUUAAAAUGCAAAAGAACAAAAUAAUUAUUAGCCUAGGAUGCUUCUUUUGUAGGGCCAUCAAUAAACCAAUCCCAUUCAUUGUAUUUUGAUUUCCAUACAAAAAAGAAAAAGAAAAAUGUUUUCAUUUUGAUGCUUGGGCUUGAGCUUCUAACUUUAAAAAAUAAUGUGAUUUUGUCUUUAUAAUUCUAGUCUUUCUUUAAUGGGCCUUAAGCUACCAACAAACUAAGGCUAUAUUUGUUUUUAUAAAAUGAAGAGACAUUAAUGUUAAAUUUGUUAAUAAUUUAACCUUACAUUUCAUAUUUUAUUUUAUGUAAAUUAUAUAUACAAAGUUUCAACUAGUUGUUGUCGAUUGAGUUUUAGCUCAACUGGCAUGAUUAGUGUGUUGAAGCGCAUUAUUAUCUUCCUAUUUAUAAGCUGGGGUGAAACUAUGAGCUAAGAAUAGUUAGGAUUUCCAAAAGAAGGAACUAUUCGUCUGAUGAGAAAUAAAAAGGAAUAUCGAAAAUUCAAGUGGUUGAAGCCAAAGCAGUUAAUUGAAUUUUGUUAAGUUGUAUUAUGUGCUAUAAAAAAAUUAAAUAUUAAAAUUGUACAUAAAAUUCGUAAUAAUAUUAUCAAUAAAAUUUUAAUUUUCAAAUAAAACAAUUUCAAAAUACAUAAAUAAAAUAUCAACAGUUCACUCACUUUCACCAUUAUAAAUAUGGAAUUGACCAUAGUGACAAAAGUAGGUAGAUUUCAACAUCAGAAAACCCUUAUUCCAUAUUGGUGGAUUAAACCAAAGUCGAAGUGUUAAAACGUGUUUUGGAAAAACACUUGAACCUAAGUUCUGUUAGUAUCGGUAUUAUUCUCAAUAUAAGAAUAUGUGAGUUCGAGUACACUAAAACGCAUUAUCCUCUUAUUUAAGAGUUGAAAAGGGGCUAUACGUAAUUCUAAUCAUUGUAUCAAAAAAUAAAGAACUAGGGAUCGUAACACUACUCUCAUAUAAAAGAAAGUAAAUCAAAAAAGUAUUUAAUUAUUAUUAUUUUUCAACAUUAAUCUCAUUAUAGGUUCUUAGUAUAUCUGUUAUUUUUGAUACAAUGUUCAGACUACCCAUAGCCCCUCCUCAACCCUUAAAUAAGAGGAUAAUAUGCUUCAAUGUACUCGAACCCAUGUUCUCUUACACUGACAAUAAUACCGAUACUAUUCGAAUUAAUACUCAGUCCUCCUAUUUAAUUAUUUUGAGUUUACUCGUUUAAACACAAAGACUCCAACUCUAAGUGGAUUUGUAGGUAACAACCUUGACCACGGCCAAACUAUAAACCCCAUUUUGGUCAAUAAAAAUGAAUAUCAUUAGCCAAUCCACACUUUGCCUAACACCACACACCACCAUUGCUAAAAUACCACCACUAAUUAAGUUCAAAUCAUGCCAUGAACAAAUUGGAUAAAUUAUGGUUUUUCUCCCUAUACUAUGUUUAAUUUGAAUGUUUAGUCCCUAUGUGUAUUUUAUUUGAUGUUGUUUAGCCCUUAUACUUUAAAUGUACAUAAUUUAUUAGUUUUACUCUUUUUGAUGUUAUGCUUUAAUGUAUCUUGUUAACACCGAUAAAAAAUUUCGUUAGUCGGAUGAUGUAGAAUUUUUUUAAAGACCUAAACCUCAAAACUUGAAAUUUUUUAUGUUAUUUAAAAGUUAAAAUUAUGGUUAUUAAAAUAAUUAUUUUUCACUAAUUUUUCAUUCUAGAGAAUUCUAGCUCAACCCCAUAAUAUUUAAGACUUUUUGUUAAUGGUAUUAACAAUUUAAAGUACAAAAAUUAAAUCUCAAAUUGAGUAUAUUACAGGGACUAAAACAAGAAUUUGACAAUUUAGCAACACAUUAUAUUCUUAUUUGAGUUGACUUAAUCAAAUCUUUUUAUGAUUUUACAUAUUUACCCAUUAUCAUCAUAUAUUCCAACUAUAAGUCUACUUCAUGGCACCCCAUUUUGGUCAACAAAAAUAAGCACUAUUAGUGUAAUUAUGUUAAAUCAUGGCAUAAAAGAUCCCACUUGAAAAAACCCAACUCCACUCCAUCAUCUCUCCAUUUUUUCUUUCUUUUCCAUUAAAUAUAUACAUAUAUAGCUUUGUUAUACUUCAUAACUCCAAAAAUCCAUAUUCAAAAAAUGAGUUCUAUUUGCAUUUCUAAUUGUUUGAACGAUGCUGAAGACCCCAAGAAACCUAUGAGAGCAACCUAUAUGAAUCUUUACAAGUGGCCAGGUUCAGAUGCUGAGUUUUUAAGAUCAAGGACCUCAUCAGCUCCUUCUUCAAUGGAUUAUUGUCGACCAAGUGUUCGAGUUGUUGACAGUAUCUCUUGCAGGCAGAUGUAUCUGAGAAGCUAUAGAUUUUCCAAGAAAGAAACUGUGCCUGAAAAGACUAUGAAAUGCUUUGGGAAAGUUAAAGAGAAGAUGGGUCAUGGUGGGAGGAAGAAGAAGAAGAGCAACCAAAGGAGAGUACGUAUUGUUAUUAAAAGGAAGUGUUUGGUUUGGAGGAAAGUGAAGGUUGUUUUGUUUAGGGUUUUUAAUAGGUUGCUUUCUUGCUAUGCUAGUAUUAAUGUUUUAGAUCAAAGGAAUGUUUAGUUCUUGAAAAAUAAAUUGGGUUUUUUUUUUUAAAUUAUGCAUGUUUAAAAGAAAUUGGGUUUUGGGUUUAUUUAAUUUUUGAUAUUGUAUUAAAAUUUGAAUUAUACUUUGUCCCUUUAUUGAAAAAAUGGACAAAUUAGUUCAUAUACGUUGUAUUAAAGAGUAAAUUAAUAAUUCUGUUAAAAAUUUUAUCUGUUUUUACAAUUAAAAAUCAGUCAUUGUACGAUGGGAUGAGGUACACCUAGCACACCACGUCUAACCAUAUGAUUAUUCCAUCUGUCACGUUGGUUUUGAAUAGAAGAAAUGAAUGAAAUUUUUAAUAGAAAAAAUCAAUUUACUCUUUAAUCUAACAUAUUAAGAUUAAUUUACUCAUUUUUAAGUAAAAAAACAAAAUAAAAUAUGACUUUUAGUGCAGAGGACCUUUGUUUUUUUUAAGUUGUUCAAAAUGUUUAGAGCUAAGUAAUACCUAUACAUAUUAUGAGAAAUAGGGUUUUGUUUUCCUAGAGGUCUCGACUUAUAAAUUACUUUUUUUUUAACUCAAUCAAGUUUGAAUAUAUCAUAAUCUAAUAUUUUUAAAUAGAUUUAUAUAUAAGUGAUAUGAAUAUUAACCUAUAAUCUUAAAAAUUAUAUAUGGAAUAUAUAAAUAUAUAUUCAUAUUCUAACUUAUAAAAUAGCAAUUUUAUGUACUUCCUCUAGAAUUUUUUUUUUGACUAUAUCCAAUUUGUGUGUAUGCAUAUGUUUGAUGCAUGACAAAACAUAGUAUUCCCCUAAACUAUGGAGUUUUGUUAGGUAUACUAGUGUUUGGGAGUUUCGAAAAAUGGGAAUAGUUAUGUAAGGGUUAAACUGAGAAAGAAACGCAUGCAUAUAUUGCAUUGGAUACCCCCCCCCCCACUUUUUUUAAUUCCAAUUACCAAACCCCAUAAAAUAACAGGGGUUCAUAUAAAAUUAUGUCUGUUUUUGUCAAAGUCUAUUGUUUGUUGCUGCCAAAAUUCUUCCUAGGUCACUGUUCUUUGCAUUGAAAUGAUAACUCUUUUCAUAUGUAAGUCAUAUUUGUAUUUUGACAUUCACUUGAAUUUAAAUAAGUAUUUUUCUUCCUGGAUGAGUCUUAAUUCGAUUGGUAUCGGUAUUGUUGUUAAUAUAAAAGUACGUAGUUUCACCUAUUUAUGUGUUGGAGAAAGACUAUGGGUAGUUUUAGGCAUUGUGUAAAAAAAAAAAGAAAUAAACUACAAAAAUAGUCAUUUUUGUUUGCCUCAUAUUAUAAUUUAGUUACUUAUGUUUGAAAUGUUACGUUUUAAACACUUACGUUAUUAUUUUGUUACGAAGUGAUCACUCUACCGUAAAGUUCCGUUACCUCCUUAGUGGCAAUCCUAUGUGACAGUCUAAAUGAAUUUUAAAUACCAACUUGGAUAUCUAGUUGCUGAGAUGAAAACAAGUUUUUAAUUAAAUAAAUUUAAUUUAGACUACCAUGUAGGACCAUCGUUAGGGAGUUAACGGAGCUUAACAGUAAAAUGAUCGCUUUGUAACAAAACGAUAACGUAAGUGACUAAAACAUAAUAUUUCAAACAUAAAUAAAUAAAAUGUAAUUUGAGAAAAAAAAAGACGACUAUUUUUAUAAUUUCUAAAAAGACUAUUUAAAAAGCUAGAUACAAUUAAAUGGGGCCUAACCCCAUAGAAUACAACAGCUAAGCCCAAAACUCAAAACUUAGAGCAACCUUAGGAUUGUUCGUUGUUGCCCCCAAGCAAGGAGGAAGAGGGAACAGCAUUGAGACCCUGGCCCAUCGGCAUGCACGCCUUCCACUGGAAGCCGAAACGAAAUCAGAAACUCGAUAGACAAGCAUGGGGCAAAAACCUGGUGCGAUGACACCGAGACAUCAUCAAAGCUCAGUUCCGGAAAAACCCCACAAGAGAUGUUGACAUUGUAAACGCAAAAAGGGCAAGCGUUUCAAUAGAGGAGAGAGAAAAACAAAACGUCCGCCAACAAAAUAGAGGUCACAACAAGAGUCAAGAGGGCGGAUGAUGACAAAUGGGAAACACCCAUGGGACAACAAGCCACUACCACUGGUGGCCUGAAAUCGACGAGCAAUGUAAGUUCCAUUCAUUUUUUUUAAUCUUUUCACUAGAUAACUAAGCCAAUGCCCAUACUAAGCAAUAGUAAACAUAUUGCUACAAGAUAUAGCCACGUAAGAAAUGUGGUGAACAAAAUCUUUUUACUAGAUAAUUUAGCUAAAAGUAAAUUUUCAAAGCUACAAAUUCGAGGUGCAAUGUGUUUAUUGAACAUUGGAGCUGGUUAUGGAUCACAGUUAAAAGGGUUUUUUGACCAAAGUAAAAAAAAAGUUACUACAAGAGGAGACAAGCAAAAGUGUUGGAGCUUAAACAUAGGGGAUUUCCCCUCCUAUUUAGGUGAAUGAAUGGUGCUUAUAUUUGUUGUAGUUAAAAGUAUCAUGGAAGUUAUUUUAUCUCUUUAUUAAAAAAUGGACAAUUUAAUCUUUGUACGUUAAAUUAAAGAGACAAUUACACAUGACAUGCCACAUGUACUUCACUAUAAUGUACUGAGAUAAGUUUUUAAUAGUAGAAAUUGAUGAAAUUUUUAACAGAAAUAGUAAUUUGCUUUUUGAUCUAACGUACAGAGACUAAUUUAUCCAUUUUUUAAGUAGAGGAGAUAAAAUGCAAUACAACUCCUAAUACAAUGACCUUCAUGAUAUUUUUACCAUAGUUAAAUGCUGGUUGGCAUGUAAUACAAUACAGUCUUCAUACAUGUGUAAAAACAUUACAUAUGUAUGUAAUAUUAUAUUUGUUGUUAGUUAGGUAAAAAGCAGAAGUAAAUCCCAUGCUUUGACCUUAGUCAAAUGCUGGUUGACAUAUAAUAAUAUAUAGUCUCCAUGGCAGUACUUAUAAUAUGAAAUAAUACAUAUCUAUGUUAGGCUGUUUUGGAGACUUGAACAUAUAAUAUUACAUAUAUCUUAGGCUAUAAUUUAUUAUUGAAUUGUGAACUUAACAGUGCAGAAAACCAGGUUUUGGAAAAAGGGCUGCCCUUUUGAAAUUUAAAUUUUGUUGCAGAGAAGUUUGUGGAUGUUGAACCCUUACAAAGGUGGUAUUUAUUUUUAUUUUUUUUUUCUCAGGAAAAAAAUAGCAUGAGAGAGGGUGGUAUUUAAGAGUAAUAUAGAGAGGAUUUGAUCGAAUCGAGUGAAAAAUAUUCGAGUUAAUUGAUCUGACGAGUCCUAUUUUAUCAUCCUAAUUUGGUUCGAAAUUUUUUCGAAUCAAGUCGAGUAAAAUGAAAUUUGAGUUGAAUAGAAUCGAAUAAUAUUGUUCGAGUUUAAUUUAAAAAAAUUAAACAUGUCAAAUUAAAAUUUUGUUACAGUAUAAUUAAUUUUAUGUUAGAGCAUAUAAAUUUAAAACUGUAUAUAUUUGAAAGCUUUUUCAAAACAAAAUAAAAAAAAUGCUUUAAUAUCAUAAACUUGAAUCAUUAAUUAACUUAUUUAGGUUCUAAAAUUAUUAUUUUAAAAUAAAUAAAAAUUUAACUUUCUUUGUAUAUUCUUUAGAAUUUUUUUAAAAAAUUAUUAUAAUUUAAAAAAAAUAAAUUUUGGAAUUUUUAAAAUUAUUUUGAAUUUUAAAAAUUAUUUUGAAUUUUUGAAAAUUACUUUGAAUUUUUUUUUUUGUAAUUUUUGUUGAAAGAAAGACUAAUUUACUUAUUUUCAAAAUUGACAGGGACCAAAAGAGUAUUUACACCAAUCUGUAGUUGAAAUCAUUUGAAUUGAAAAAUUCAACUUGAUUCAAACUCGAAACUCAAAUAACUUGAAUUAAUUAAGUCGAAAUUCAAUUUUUUCGAUUUUUUGAAUCGAAUCAAAUUUUAAUAACUCGUAGUAUUCGGAUUUUAAAACUUACAAUCCUCUUUCUUUUAUCUCAUUUUUACUAUCUCUUGAUUGUAUACGAAAAAGUAACUUAGUUUGUAGGAUUGUAUUAAAUCAAUAAACUAGAGAGAAAAACAUAUUUCAGGUCACUAAUAGAUUUAUCCAUAGGUACAUAGUUUAAAAUAUUUUAUUUUUGGACUAAUUUGUAAUUUGUCCUUUUGUCCUUUGUAUUUGUUUAUAUAUUCUUAGUUGGUACUUAAAUUUGUAUUCUAUCAUCUAGGUUGGUACCUUGCACUAAUAUUGUUAGUUUAUGCUGAUAUGUCACUAACAGUCAAUCUAGUAACGAACGUGACAGUUUCUCAAUAUGUCACUAAUAGUCAAUCGAUUGGAUAGAAAAUUAAUUUAAGUAUUAAUUCGAAAAAAGUUAUUAAAUCGGUUAAUUUAGAAAUUGAUACGAAUUGAUUCAACUGAAUCAGAUUUUUUUAAUUUUAAUAAAUUUUUUUAACUUGUCUUGCCACAUGAUUUUUAUUUUUUAUAACUUGUCUCCAUUCUCACUUUAAAGGAUGCCUCUGUCCCUCUCUUUCAUCAUCAAUUUCCAAGAAACAAAGAGAGCUUUUCACCAUUGUUAUUCUCUUUUGAGUUUUUGACAAAUCAAAACAAAAAAGAUAUGGAAACAACCCAAGCUUCAUAUAACAAUGGAGAUGAAGAAGAUUAUAUAGAUAUAGAGGUAAGUUCAUCAUCUUCAAACUUGUUAUUUUACCCUAUAACCUCACCACCAUCACCACAAUUUGAGUUUCAAACAUGUUCAUCAUUUUAUGGUGAAAUUGCUUCAACAACUUCACCAGCUGAUGAACUCUUUUAUAAAGGAAAGCUCCUUCCCCUUCAUCUUCCUCCUCGUCUGCAAAUGCUUCAAAGUUUACUUCAAACUGAAGAACAUUGCUCAUCUAUGGCUUCUUCUUCUUCAUCUGGUUUCAUUGGUAAUAACUUGAAGAAAUCUUGGUGUAGGAAACUUAAGCAAAUCAAACAGUCCACAAUAACACAAAAGCUUAAGUCUUUGUUUAAUAAAUCUGGGUGCUCAUAUGAAUGUUGUUGUGUUAAAGCAAGUGUGAAUACAAAUGGUAGCCACAGGAGGUCUUUUUCUGGUGUAAUUCAAAGGUAUUCUACACCAAUAAUGUCUUUAUCAACAUCAUCUUCUUCAUCAGGUUCUUCAUCAUCAUCAUCAUUUUCUUUCGGUUCGAGCGGAUUUGGAGAUUUGCAUUUGUUGAAACGAAGCAAUAGUUCGAACUCAGAGGUCGAGAGUUCAAUACAAGGAGCCAUUGUUCAUUGUAAGAUGUCUCAAAAGCUUUCUAGUUCAAAAGAAAAUAGUGCAAAAUGAACUUUGGGGUUUGUAGCGAAGUUAAAUCAUUUUUUGGGUCUAGAAUUUUUUUCACAUUGGGGCUUAAAUUUUUUUUUUCCAAAUCAAUAUUGAAAACCCUAAAAUUUGGGUCCAACAUAGGAACAAUUGUCAACUUUAGGACCUAACUUGAACAAAAAAAAUUCAAUCUCCAAUGUUGAAAAAAAUUACCAAAUUCAAACCCUAAAUAAUGAUUUAACCUUUGCAGAGAAUUUGAAUAGGUAUUCCAUUAGUAGUGUCAUAUUGAAAUUUCCUAUAUGAGAAAAUUUAUCAAAUUCAAACCCUAAAUAAUGGUUCAACUCUCAACAGAAGAUUUAAAUAUUAUUUUUUGUAUUUCUUUGGAAGUGAGUGUGAUUUGUAGGGUCAUAUUGAAGUUAUUUUGUUGAAAUAUUAUUAGACAAAGAACAAAUUUGUUAAAUGUUAUAUGUUCAAAUAACAAAGCAAUAUUUUAGCUUUAGCCUCACCAUACUGAUUGAGUCUUAGUGUGCGUUGUUAUGUGUAUAGUUGUCUAUGUAGAAGGAAGCAUGUUUGAAUGAAUUAAAGCGUAUUAUUCUCCUAUUUAUAGGUUAAGGAGGGGUUAUGAGUAGUUUUAAUCAAUCAUAAAAUGACAUUACUAUGACUUCAACAAUCAUAAGUAAUUGAAAUGAAUAUUAUCGAACAGUUUCGUGACUAUAUUGUAAUUUUUUAAAGUUGAGUGACCAAAAUGUAAAUUUACCAAUAAUUUAGUGACCUUAAAUGUAAUUUACCCAAAUAAUUUUAUAUAAAACUUUUAAAUUAUUUUCACUAUUUUUAUAAGACACGUACCUAAAAUCUGAGCACAAAGAUGAUUCAUUAAAGAUUCUUUUGGUUCAUCAGUGAGAUUAAUUUGGGUGAGAUUAAAGAUAGUGUCAGUAAUGGAAUUAAUUACUGUAGUGAUAAAAUUACAUAUUAUAGCAUUGAGAUUAAAAGCAUCGGUGGAAUGCAUAUUUGAAUUCAAACUCGACUAUAACGAUAAAGUGAGAAAAAAAAUGACUACUAAGGAAAUUGCAUUAAGUUAUUGUAUAUGUAAAAAAUAUUUUAUAUUAAAUAAUAAAAUAUAUAUGAAAUUUGUAUUUAUGUUCAAUAUAUAUUAAAUUAUUCACCUAGGAAAAAAGAAUUUUAUUUUAUAUAAAAUCAAAUAUUUUUCUCAUAUCGACUUUUCUUAUUUAGAAUAAAAGAAUCGAUCACAACACCAUGAAAUUCUAAGAUUAUUCGUAAACUUUUCGAUGUAAAAUUUUCUCUAUUAAUUAAACUCGUAUAAUUUUUAAUAUGAAUAUGUAUUUGAUAUGAAAAAUUUUAUAAUUUUUUUUAAAAAAUUUUCAUGUAUUCAAACAUGUGAAAAUAAAAAUAUUUCAUGACAAGGGGCUUGAUUUUCAAUUGCAUUGGACUAUCUUUUUACAUCAUCCUUAUAUUAUAAAAAUGGGACCAUCUUUAUUUAUUUUUCAUUUUAAAUAAAAUAAAUUCUUUUUUAUAUAAAUUAUAUGCAAAGCAGUAUAUUGCCCUUUAGACGCCAUAUGUAAAGUUGCUUGGCCUUUCUUGUCAACGCUUGGUGCAAUUUUCAUAUACGAGCCGAAAUAGAGAGAAAAGCUCCAACUCCAUUCUACAUUUGAAGUUCAAUUGCUGCUCAAGGCCUUUGCUACCAUUGUGACAAGAAAUACACUUGGGAUCACUAGUGCAAAUCUAAACCGCAAUUGCUUCUUUUUGGCGAGGAUAGAAUUUUUCCUCCGGUUCUUGAUCCUCAUUCUGAUCCUAAUCUUGUUGUCCAUCUUCAACUCCAGGAAGUUCUGACUGAGUCGGCUAUUUCAUAUAAUGCCCUCGUAGGUGGUUGCUCCACAACGACACUUCGAUUCACAAGUCAGGUUCAUGGCAAGUCAGUUCAGAUCCUUUUGGAUGGGGGUAGCACUCAUAACUUUGUGCAAACCCGUGUCGCCACUUAUCUCCGCCUUCCGAUCGAAACCACUAUUCAGUUUUAUGUCUUGGUUGUUAGUGGCGACCAUUUGGUGUGUACUGGCAUUAGUCGACAGGUAACACUCCUCAUUCAGGGCCAAAAAAUUUUAGUGGAUUUCUAUGUCUUACCGUUACAGGGAUGGGAUAUGGUGUUAGGAAUUGAGUGGUUAGCUACAUUGGGACCAGUUAUCAUAGACAAUGCUACAUCAGUUUUUCAGUUUACACACAAGGGCCACCAAAUAUGUUGGUAAGGAGACUGAUUUCCUGUUGCUCAGCCAAUUCAAUACAAUUCCCUGCGUCGAUUAUCCUCCACACAUGCCAUCGUUGAGUUUCACCGGUUAGAAUUGGUCUCUAAUUCAAACGGGUCCAUUUCUUCAUACCCAACCGAUAUUGACAUUAUGCUGGAUGAAUAUCUGAUAUUUUCACUAAACCCCAGGGUCUGCCACCAUCGGAAACACGUGACCAUGCCAUUAACUUGCAGUCUAACAUGAAUACGAUUCAAGUACGGCCUUACCGGCAUCCUCACUUUCAAAAAAAGAUGGAAAAACUGGUCACCGAAAUACUUCACGAUGGAAUUAUCCGACCCAACACCAGCCUAUUUUCUUCUCCAAUUAUUUUGGUUUGAAAAACAAGAUGGCACAUGACGUUUUUGUGUGGACUAUUGUGCCCUCAAUGCCGUCACGGACCAUGAUUGCAUUCCCAUUCCAUCAAUCGAGGAAUUGUUUGAUCAACUGCAUGGAGUUCACUAUUUUUCAAAGCUAGAUCUCUGGAUAUCAUCAAAUCCGUAUUUGCACCGGCGGUGAAUGUAAAACGGCUUUCCAAACUAACGAUGGGCAUUCCAAAUUCCUCGUCAUGUCUUUUGGCCUCACCAAUGCAUCCUCCACCUUUCAGGCCCUGAUGAAUGAUGCGUUAAAUCAAACUUUAUUUGAUAAUAUGUUUUGAUAUAACAAAUUAAAGUAUUUUCUAAUAAAAAUUAAAGUUAAAUAAAAUUGAAAAAAAUAAUAAAAUGAUGUUAAAAUAGUUUCAAUUAAAUUAAACAUUUUCAAUCAUGUUAAAAUUAUUUUUAAACAAGUCAAUAUUGCUCAUAUCUAUAAUUUUCAAAACAUCAAUACCUAUUCUAAAAUUGAUACCAAGUUAAUAUUCUGUUUUCAAUUAAUUAUCAAAAGUAUCGAUACCUUUUACUAGGUAUCAAUAAAUUAUCUUUGGUAUUGUUGUAAACUAUCUUUAACUGUCAUUGAAUCAGACAUUAAAUGCUAAUAAUAUCAAUACUCUCGUAUAAAAAGUAUCGAUACUUUUUGUUGCAGGUGAAUUUAAUAAUUUGGUAUUUUCAUCCCCAACGAUUCUAUUCAUGUUUCCAACAAUCGCAAUGGUUGGCAAUGAAUUAGAGAGUAUAAAUACGAUCUUCCAAAGGUCCUACAACAACUAGAGAGAUCAUCAACCCAAAAGAUUAAUCAAUACAACCUUAGUGUUUAAUUCUUUCAUACUUUUCAUACACUUGUAGGUUUCAUUGUUAUUCUUUAGCUCAAUUGUAUUCUUGUUUAUUUUUGCUUAAUUGGCUAACAUUCUGUUCUUGUAAGGAUUGCUUCUUAGUUUGCUAUUUGUAUUUACUCUUUGAAAGGGUUGAGUUUAAAUGUUUGGGUAGGAACCUUAAGAGAGUUGCAAUCUUAAGAUUUUGGGUAGAAAUUUAAAAGAGAUUGUAAGGUUAAACCUUAUCUUCAAAUGUUAUCAAAUUAGUGAAUUUGAGAAAACUAAGGUAGUAGAGUAAGCAAUUGGGGGUCGAACCACUAUACAUCGAAGUGUUCAUUAUCUCUAUUCUUUUCUUAGUAACCACAAAAUCUUUAAGAAACUAAUUCACCCCCCUCUUGUCGCGCCUUAAAAAAAAGUUGACUGUUCAAGUUAACACGAUAUUUUCCUACCGUUUUUUCGGUAAUUUGUUCUCGUCUUCUUCGACGACAUACUAAUCUACAACGACUACAUCUUGUUGCCCCCAAAAGAAAAUUCAUGUAGUACAUCUUUAAUUGUCUUUAAAUUGGUCUCACAAAAUAGAGAUACAAUGACUCCUUUAAAUAGGUUAUGAUUAGAGUUCUAAUCAUACUAAAAAUAUUCCUAAAAUAAUCAGAGUUCCACUGGGAAAAGAAAUCCAAUUUAUGUGGAGGAAUAUAUCGUCGAAUCGCAAUGUUCCCAUUCGUGUUGUCACGACGUCGUCUGUUAUCACAAUAUCAAAAAGCUCCUCAUCAUAACGUCAUUGUCUGUUAGACUGAAAAUACGAAUCACACCCACAAAAUCUUUAUUGAUUUUUACUAGCUUCUGCCAUUUUCAAAGGUUUCAAAAAGGUAAUCGGUCCUAAUUUCUAACACGCUUGGGAAAUUUUUCUCAAAGGCAACUAACACAAAACUGUGAGACCACAUAAUUAUAAUAUAAUUUCAACUGUAUUUGUUUUUUUCUUCUUCUUUUUUUUGUUGAAAAUAAAUGCAUGACAAUUUUGAAAUCAUUGCCACAAAUUCAACUUUUUCUUAUUUUUUCUCCAGAAAUUUCUGUUAUGUAUCUUCUCGAUAAGCAGUUUUUUAAUCCAAGUUGACUGGAAAUUUUUCUUCCUUGGCUUCACCUUUGAUGCGAUAUUUUGUAUAUUUGUUCAAUCGUUUUCUCUCCUUUUCAUAGUGAACGCUGGUUUAGCGGCUACUACCAAAAGGACUAAAAUAAAAUAAAAUCUUGAAUAAUUAUUUAACUUUAUAAUAUAAAUAAAUCAUCUUAAAUCCACAUCCAUACAAAACUAGACUUUUCUUUAUAUUCCUAAAAAUCGAAAAAAAAAAGGAUUUUACAUGAAUUUAUAUAUAUAUUAGAAUUAGAUUAUGAUUUGAUUUGUCGAUAAAAUUAAUUUAAUUAAAAUAUUAAAAUAUUAAAAAAUUCAAUUUAAUUAAUUUUUUUAAUCAGUUCAAUUGGCCCAUAUCGAUUCUCGAUUCAAUUGGUUCAAUACCAUUUCUCAGGCAAUUAUCCCUAUCCAACUGAUCCAAUCUGAUACAAACAUAAUCAAAUUUUGAUAAUUCAUAUAUACAAUGUCAUGAGUAUAUUUUUGGCGUUCUGAUCAUGUUUAAAAUCAUUUAUGUUUCAUUUUAUGUUGGUAUUUUUUUUUAGCAUGUGUACCGUAUGUUGUAUCUACGGUUAUAAUCCAACUUAUUCAAGCUCAAAUAAUGAUAAGCUCGAACUCUACUUAAAACUGACUAUUCAUUAGUUAAUUUAAUCACUUACUUGAGUAUCAUUUUCAAAAUUUAAGCUUUAUUCGAGAUAAUAUAUAAUUAAAUUACUUAACCUCUUCUUAAAAUAUAAUCAAACAACUCGUAUUUAAUAUGAUUAUUCAUGAUUGUUUAGUAUUAAAAACUUCGUUUGAACACUUAUUUUUCUAUUCAAUAUGUAGGAGGGCUAAUUAGUCACUCUUUCAAGUGCUGUCGGUAUGGGUUCAAAUUUCGUUUAUACUAUUAACCUUUAAAAAAUAAUUUGAUAAGUAAAAUAUUUUUAAAAAAUUCAAUUAAAUUCAUAAAUUACAACAUAUUAUAUUCUCAAGUUUACGUAAAAAUCAGGAGCAAAGGAUACAAAGAGAAAUGGAACUUCCAUAUCUGUGUAGUAAACAGCAUAAACAGAUUUAAAAAGAAACAGAUAUGAAAGCCAUUGAAGUUUACAAGGUCGUUAGAUAACUACCUGAAAAAGAUAGCGCCGAUUUUAAGGAUUUCAAAAAAUCGCCAUAAAUUUAUUUUACGAUUAUUUUAUCUUCGAAUUUCAACAAGAAAAAAAGCUUUACACUCUUAACGGCGACCGCAGCAUUUUCCGGCGGUGAUGAGAUGAUACCGAAGACGACGUCGAUGAACUACCGGAACUCACCGUCCCAUAGAACAAAUCCGAUAAGUAAUUCCCGAUAUCUUCGGGUGAAAACCUAACAAAUAAUCUUGCACUCCUUUCAUCUCCGACCGUUGAUAUCUGCGUAUUAUAAAAGUCUCGAUAUAAUGUCACCAGUUUUGUUGCGAUGGAAGCUUUGAUCUCUUCUCGCAGUUCUGAAUCCGGGACGAUACAAGAACGUUGCUUCCAAUACGCAUUUUCAAAGCUUGCAUUGAAUUUUCUGAAACAGUCUUUGGCUUUACCCGCCGUUAUCGGAGCCGUUGGAUUGUCCGGCAACGAGGCGAACACUUCACCCCACGCUAACGGCUCGUAAUUUGAUGUGAAUUGUUUCACCUUAGCCUCGUGUUUAGUGAUCCAUUCUUCGCCGAGUAUGUACUGGAGAUUCGAUGUACGGACUCUGGAGAUUACGUGUUGGAGAUUGUUGGCUAAGAAGAGGUAUGAUAAGGAAACGUCUUUGUAAUGCUUUGCUUUACCGUCGAGUUUGCAGAGUAAGACGAGGAUGAGCCAAGCAAAGCGGACGGAAAUCGCCGGCGCCGUUGAAUCUUCGGAGUCUGGACCGAAUAAGAAAGAAGCCGGUAAUGUUGAUUUCGCCGGUGGUGGCCAGUCCGAUAUAAUGUCGGUGAGGAUGUUGCUGUAAUCGGCGAGGAGAGUGAGGUAAUUCAUCGAGGAGUUCGUUAGUGGAUGUAAACCGCCACCUGGAAUCAUCGUUUUGGAUGAAUCCUUUUGGAUUGUCGAUUCAAAGUCCAUCAACAACGAACGAACGGACUCACUGAGUCGAACCAGCGAGUCGAGAGCUUGUAAUCGAACGGUUGAAGUGGAUUCGAAUGAAAAGAUCGUUUCGAUCUCUUUCCAGUCUUCUGAAAUCGCCGAGUACAUGUCGAGAACACGGAACAUUUUCUCCGGCGAAGAUUUUUUCGUCUUGGCGACUAGCUCCGGGAAUCCAAACAAAAGAAUCGCUGCUUCUUUUGAAAUCUCCGUGAAACAAGAUUCUUUGAUGAGAUCGGACGUAGCAAAGACCUGAUCGCAGAGGAUUCUUUCUCCGGUGAAAAGCGUUCUCAUUGAAAUCUUCUCAGCUUCUAACCAGUUCUUGAUUUUUAAAUCAAGUACAUCCCAUUCCAUUUUGUUAACCUGAGACGAACUCAAUUUCUCGAUUCCCAGCUUAUAAACACCUUCAUCGAUAAUCGAUUUUCGAAUUGUUUUAUAAACAUGCAUGCAUUCUUUAGCGUAACCAGAAGCAAUCAUGCAAUCAGCUAUCAGUUUCAAAUCCGACAUGGCCAUAGAAGAAACUUCUUCUAUUUCAGAGAUAGAAUCACCUGCGGUUCGGAUCUCAUCAUCGUCAUCAAAAUCCGACGUACUAGAUCUCGCGGAGGUCCGUGACGACCUUGUAGAAACCGAUUCUGGAUCCAAAUGAGCCCGGUUCAUCGAUAAAAUCUGGUAAAACUCUUUUUGAAGCCUCUUCAUCGCUGUUUGCAUCAAAAUUUGAGCUCGAACGAGUUUUUCCGAACCGGAAUCUUGAUCAGAAACCAACAAAUGCAUUGUUUUUUGUAACUCGUUAACAGAUCUUAUGAACUGUAAGGCUUCUCUUUUGCUUUCGUAGAAAAGAGAAGUGACUUUAGCGUAAGCCGACGUAUCAGCAUCCCAUUUCAUGAUGAUUGUAGCUGCGGCGUCGAUCGUUUGCUCGAUCAUGGAUUGUGAAAAUCUCCGGCGGUUAGUGGUACUGGCCGUAGAAUCCGAUGUGGUGGAUUGACGAGAGGUGGAAAACGACGGCGUUCUGGGGCUAAAUCAAAGGCUCCUCAUUCCUUUUCUCGGCAUUUUUUGAGAGGCAAGUUUUCCUUUUUUGAAGCUCUUUUUCUGUUUUGCGGCAGAUGAUAAUAGAUAAUUAGGUAAUACAGGAAGAAACUUGGAUUUUGAAUUUCGUCUUGUUUUGGGGGAGCUUUUAGAGUAAUAAAUAAAUGGUGGGGAAGGGUGUAUUUAUAGACGUUUCGCCUAACGACGCCGUUGCGUGACAGGGAAGAACAUGGGACUUUGACUUUUUAAGUCAAGACAAUUUGCUUUUUACGCGGUACACGUGUCUCGUUAUAAUCCAAUCAAGAAAAAUAUUAAAAUUAUUUAGAAAAGUAAAAAUAUCUCAUAGCUGGCUAAACUUUUCGUAAAUUCACAAUUUAGUCCCUGUAUUUUUAUUUUUAGAUUUCAAAAUUUAAGUUUGUGUGACAUUUCGAAAUAAAAGAAUAUUCACUUAGUAGCAAUGUAACUAAAAAAAUUGUAUUGUUACGAACCUCAAUUUAAUAAACUAAUCUUAGCACUUGGAUAUGAAAUUUGAAAUAUGAAAAGUAGUACUAAAUUUCUAAAAAUAAAAGUAUAGGAACUAAAUUUUAAAUUUAAGGAAAGUAUAAGGACUUAUGACAAAUUUUGACUUUUAAAAAAUUGUUACUAAAUUUUAAAAUUAAUAAUUUAUUUUGAUUUAUAUCAAAAAGUAAUUAUUUUUAUUUCUAUUCUUAUCAUUAAGAACUAGCAUGAAUUACUAAAUAAUUAGACCAAGUUUUGACAAUAGAAAUAGAUGAUUUUUUUAACAGAUGAACCAGUUUUUCGUUGGGACUAACGAGGCUCGAACCCUCAGCUUUCGCCUUGAUAGGGCAGUGCUCUGACCAAUUGAACUACAAUCCCAAGGAAAUAAAGAAAAGUGUACGACAUAGAUAGUUUUAUGAUUUCAUUCUAGCCAUUUUCUAUUUAGAUUUUAGAUUCGAAUCGUCGGGUUGUAACAAACAAAAGCGUGAAUGAUAUAUUGAUAUCCAUAUAGGUAUGUACUUUGAGUGAGAGUGAUGCAGAUUACUAGUUACUAGGAAUCCUUUCGUUAUUAUCAAAUAAAUCGAUCAAUACUCAAUUUGAAAAUGAAAAAGAAAAGGUCUUCUUUUUCUGACUAUUAAUACAAAAACAUUCGCGAAACUUUUUCUUUUUCAAUAUUAAUUUCAUUAUAGGUUCUUACCAUUCUUUUUUAUACAAUACUUAAAACUACUCAUAGCCUUUCUCCAAACCUUAAAUAAGAGGAUAAUGUGAUUAAGUGCACUCGAACCCUCGUCUUCCUACACCUAAUCGAACUAAGAGUCAAUCGACAACUUCCAUGAAACUUUUAUCUAUAAAAUAAUUCUUUUUUUUAAUAAAUGAUUAUAUUCAAUUUGGGUUUUAUUUAAUAGAUGCAAGUAAUACAAGUUGAAUAUUGAACACUUAUUCUAAUGUUGAAAAAUGAUAAAAAUGUUUUUGACUUGAGACUCUAAAAAGCGUAAAUACAAGUUGAGGAAAGAUAAGCUGUGACGCUUAACUCUUAAUAUCACGUAAGCAUACAUAUCAUGAAAAUUUUCAUACGCUUAGAAAAUUCUAAUUAAAUAUAACAGCCUCAUAUUAAUUCAAAACAACUAUAUGAUGUUUAACUUUUCAAAUAAUACGGCAAAUUGAGUCUUAACUCGAUUGGCAUGAGUAUUAUUGUUAAUGUAGGAGGACAUGGGUUUGAGUACGUCGAAGCGCAUUAUCCUCCUAUCUAUGGAUUGGGGAGGAACAAUGAGUAGUUCUAGAUAUUGUAUCAUUAAAAGCAUAUAUGAUCAAAACAUUGUUAAAAAAAUUCAAAUAGUUUGAUAACUAUUUGAUGUUUAACUUUUCAAAUAGUAUGACGAUCGAGUACUUUAGCUCGAUUGAUAUGUGUAAUAUUACUAAUGUAGGAGGAUAUGGGUUUAAGUGCGCUAAAACGCUUUCUUCUCCUAUUUAUGGGUUAGGGAAGAACUAUAAGUAGUUCUAGAUAUCGAGUCAUAAAAAACAGAUAUAAUCAAAACUUAUAACAAAAUUAUUUUUAAAAAAAUCAAAAAAUUUGAUAACUAAUGUUUAACUUUUGACAUAUUUUUCUUGAAAAUAAAACCCCAUGACAAGAAAUCAUUAUCUAUGAAAAGUACUAAAAUUGUGUUCCCACCUUUCUUAUUCCCCUUUCAUUCUUUGAUACUAUAUAAUAUGAUUUUCUUUUGCUUAUACAUUCUUCUAAUAAAAAAUUAAAAUUAUGGUUUUGACUUUUUUUAUACUCGAAUUUGAGAUUUAAUUUAUGUAUUUUAAUUUGAUUUAAUUUAAUUUCUUCAUUUUUAUAAACUCAUUAAUUAAUCUAAAAAAAUAAUAUCAUUAAUUAUUUUGAGUAAACUGCAAACAUGAUAUUUUAUAAAAAAAAUCAUUUCAACACAAAACCUAUUUUUUUUUUAAAAAAAAAUCAUUUCAACACAAAACCUACAUAGAUAUGAUAUAAAAAAUAAAGGAUUAAAUUGCAUUAAAUUAAAAUAUAGAGACUAAAUUUCAAAUAAAACCCUACACUUAAAACGAUAAGAUAUCGUUGUUUCCCACCUUUCUUAUUCGCGUUUCAUUCUUUUUUUUUUAUCCUUUUGCUUAUACAUUAUUCUAAUAAAUAAAAUAAAAUUACGGUUUUUGCUCUUUUAUUAUAUUUAAUUUUGAGAUUUAAUUUCUAUACUUUAAUUUAAUUUAUUUUGAUAUUUAUAUUUUUUAUAAAAUAAUUAGUUAACAUUAAUGAUUAUAACAAGAUUAAAAAAAAACCCAAUUGAAUGUUAACUUGAUUAGUAUGAACAUUGUUGUUAAUUAAUACAAGAGGACGUGGGUUCGAGUGAUGAGUUGAGGAGGAGUUAUGUGUAUUUUUAGGCAUUUUGUCGAAAAGAACAGAUAUGAUCUAUCUCGACAUGAUUAUCAUAAAUUAUGUUAAAUUAAAACAUAAAAAAUAAAUUUCAAAAUGUGGUUGUUACUUUUAUUAUUUCAAAAUAUUCACUUCUUACAUUUUCUAAUGUGUAAUAAAAAUGAGGAAAUUUGUGUUUGAAAGGGUGGAAAAAAUGGGCACUAUUUACGGCUUAUAUAAUCAACAAAAUCAUUGCUUUGCUUUGUGUAUUCCAAAUGAUAAGCGUGUGAAAUAGAAAACUAUUUUCAGAAGAAGAAAAAAAACUCCAUCUUGUUCUAUUUAAAAUUAAAAAAAUAAAAAGCCAAUUUUUUUUUCUAUUUCAUACCUACACAAUACUGCACGUCGAUUGAGUUUUAGUUUGAUUAGUAUGAACAUUGUUGCCAAUGGGGAGGACGUAGGUUCAAGUGCGUUGAAGCAUGUUAUCCUCUUAUUUAUGGGUUGAGGAGGGGCCAUGAGUAGUUUUAGGUAUUAUGUCAUAAAAGAGUAGAUAUAAUCAGAAUCUACAAUAACAUUGUUCAAAACAUAUUUUUGUGAAAAUCUAUUGAUAUAUUGAUGACUAGGAUCCAAAUCAAGGCUUUAAUUAAAUCUAAUUAUAAUAAUGCUAUGAAAAAUAAGAUUAUAUGUAUCACACGUAUGGUGCUAAUUCUAUUGCAACUAAGUCAAAUAUUAGGAGCCCUUAAAUUUAGUUUUAAUGUUUGAUUUAGUAGUUAAAUUUGAUAUUCGCGUUUGGCUUCGAUGUUAAUUUUGGCACCUUAGUUUGCUUAAUUUAAUAUUAGGGUGUUUUUCCGAGUUUGACUUCAAUGUUUAAUUUGGCAUCUGAACUUUAUUUUUUGUUCGAAUUAAGUACCUAUGUUUUUUUUUACUAAAGAUCAUUUGGUUUGGGUAUUGAAUUGAACAUUAAAAUCAAACUCAAGUACCCUACUAUAUUAACCCUAAAAAGUUCAUUGUUAUUACCAAAAGAAAUAGCAUUAUAUGGGGUAAAAGUAUCAUGGAGGCCCAUGUACUAUUGAAUUUUUCCACUUUUACUCAAAAAUGGGUAAAAUAGUCAUUAUAUGUUAGAUCAAAGAGUAAACCAGACAUUUCUAUUAAAAAUUUCAUUCAUUUCUACUAUUAAAAAAUGGUGUGGCUGACAAAAUAACUAAAUAUUUAUAUGUGACGUGCGACAUGUACCUCAUUAUGAUGUACAAUGACCGGUUGUUAACAAUAAAAAUGGAUGGACUUUUUAGCAAUAUGGUCAAUUUGCUCUUUGCUAUUUGCUAUAAAGUACAAAUAUUAAUUUACCCACUUUUCAAGUAGGGGGCAAAAUGUAAUUUCACUCCCAAUACAAGGGUCACCAUGAGAAUUUUACCCAUUAUAUGGAGUUAUAUUGUUUCCAUGCAUGCGAUACAGCUAAAUUUGUUCAUGAGUCGAGCUCGGGCUUGAACAUUCAAGGCCUAAUUCCGGCCCAAUUUUAAGUUUAUGAUACUUUAUAUUAUGCUAUUUUUUAUAUAUUAUGUAAUUUAUAACACAAAAAAAAUUUAUAUUAAAUAUAUAAUAUUACUCUAAUGUAAACAUUAAAAUAAUGCUAAGAUGACUAUAUAAAAAAUUUUAAUAAAUAAAAAAUGUAUAAAAUCAUUAAAUAUUUAAAAAAUAAAAAAAUAUGGAUGGGUCUAAAAUAAGUUUGGGUUAUUUUUUUGCAAAUAUGAGCGAGUUUUUAGGCUCAUAUUUAGGGUCGAGCCGAGCUUGGGAAAGUAUAAAAUAUGUUAAUAUUAUGUUUAGACUUAACUAGAUACAGUCGUACACGCUUUAUGAUUUUCAUUAUUAUUUUACUUGCCGGUAUUAGUAAAUAAAUAAAAAUUCGAUGCUAAUAGAGUCUUAGCUUGGUUGGUAAACGCGCUUCAAUACGUUUAUCCUUCGAUUUAAGAGUUAAAAAAUGAUUAUUCUAGACAUUAUAUUUUAUCAUAAAUUUUGUUCUCAUCCUUUUUGUUUCAACUUUUAUGCAUAAAAUAUGUGUGAUCAAGAGAAAAGAAAUUUUAAGGAAAAAAAAUACAGGAAAAACCAUUUUCAACCAAAGAAAUGAACAUAAUUUAUAAUUUAUAUCAUUUUACCUAGUCUUUGGUAUGUUGUUGUUUGAAUUUUUCUCAUUAUGUCUAAUUACAUAUUUUUUAUUAUGAGUGGUCAGUCUUCCAUAACCAACAAUGGAGCUUUUAUUUAUUUAUUCUAUGGCUUUAAUCAGGUCAAGUUCGUCUUAUGUAAAAUAAAACAAAAAUCUCAGUUUUUUUUUUAAAUAUGAAGUAAAUAUUAUGAUCAUAUUUCUCUCUUCUACAAAUUUUAUAAACCUUUUCCAACAUAUUAUUCAUGGUCAUUUUUAAAUUAUUUUACUGACAUUUCUACAUUUUUUUUUCAUACCAUUGGUACAUAAUUUGGGUAAAUUUUUUUUAUCCUGAAUCUUGAACCUUGAACUCUAAACCCUAAACUUGAACCCAAACCUUGAACAGUAAACUUUGAACCUUGAACCUGAGCCUGAACCUCAAACCCGAACUUGGGUUUGGGGUUCGAGAUUUAGGGUAACAAAAUUGCAAAAAUUAGGUGUUAAUGACAUGUAAAAAUUGUUGAAAUAUCAUUAAAUAAUCGAAAAAUGGACUAUGGAUGAUGUGGCAGGAAUGGUUCAUAAAAUAAUCUCUACAAAUACCUCAAAUUAAUAAGCUUUUUUUAAAAAAAAAAAUUAAGAUAUGCAUACAUGGAUAUCCGCAAAUUAUUUAAUGAUAUUUUAGCAAUUUUUUUCAUGUUAUUUACACAUAAUUUUUUUUUACCUUGAACCCUGAAUCUUGAAUCCUAAACCCUAAACUCUAAACUAUAAACUUGAACCCAGACCUUAAACCUCAAAUGAUGAACUCAAAUUCAAGCUUAAACCCUAAAACUCAAACCCAAACUUAGGUUUACAAUUUAAGGUUUGAGUUUAAAUUCAAGGUUUAGGGUUCAAGUUUAGGGUUCGAGAUUCAGGUUAAAAACUUCACCAAAAUUACGUGUCAAUGGCAUGAAAAAUUUGUUGAAAUGUUAUUAAAUAAUUGAAAAAUGACCAUAGGUGAUAUGAUAGGAAGAAUCCAUAAAAUAUUUUCUCUACAAAUCCCUGAAAUAAAUAAAUUUUCUUUUUGAAAAAUUAAGAUAUGCAUACGUGGAUAUCCCUGGAUCUUAGGAAAUCAACAAAAAAAAAAAAGUUAAGUUGAAUAUUAUUCUAUGUAAAAAUAUGUGACUUCUUCUCUUUUUGAUUAUACUUAUAAUUAAUUAAUUGAAUUAUAUAUUAAAUCUUAGGUAUAGAGAUAUGAGGACGUAAAGCCAAGCAACUAUAGGAAUUUUGUUAAAUUAUUCCACAUUUAUCACACAUGUUUUUGACAAAAUAGUGUAAACAAGAUAUACCCAUUAUAAUUCCACGCGUAGGUAAUGAUGAUUUUUAGUUUGUGAAUUAAAUUCUCGUGUUAGGUUUAGUGGUUAAGACACUUCAUUAAUAGAAUUCACCCGGGUUUAAGUUUUUACGGGAGUAAGUGGUAAGCUUUUAUUUGAGUAACUCUUUUUGAACAUAGUGUAUGGGUGUUUGACGUAGAUAUUUUCCUACCACAAGUGUGUGAGUAUAAAAACUUAGUCGAGACAAUUUCAAAUUUAAAAAUUUUAAGCCAUUUCGGGUUUGUUCCAGGUCGAUUCAUUUCUUGUUUAAGUCGUUUUGGGAUUGAAUCACUCAAAUUUUUUAGGUCAAUUCAUUAUGGAUUUAAAUCAUUUCGACUGUUGGUUGCUCCAAAUUGAUUUAAAUCAUUGCUUUGCUUCCAUCAUCCAACCGCAUCAAUGUAUUCAAACUCAUGUCUUAAUGUAUUGACAACAACAUUCAUGCUAACCGAACUAAGACUCAAUCGAUAAAUUAAAAAAAUUAAUAAACAUUAUAGUCAAUUCUGUAUUGGUUUCAGUUAAUGGGUCGAUGCAAUUAAUUCUCUUUUUUGCACCGAUUAAAAUUUCAGUUUGUACCGUAAUUUAACUUUUUACUUUCUAACAUCAUGCAUCGAUUAAUACAUGAAUAUUUUAUAUAUUAAACAUACUUUCAAAAUUAUUAAUAAAUCAAAAACGAUAUAUCAAAACAAACAGAUAUCAAUUUGUCCACCAAUAGAAUAGGGCCAUGGAAAUAAUUAAUGCACUGUGAGAAGCGUCUAGAGAGAGACUGGGUGUAGCAUGGCUUUUGACCUCUAGAUUGCCUUGUUUUUGCUUCCAUUAACCCAUGAAAAAUGGCAACAAAUUAAAGGCUUAGUGUAAGGCCCAAUUUUAUGCCCAGGCCCGAAUAUUAAAACAUGAUAAACAACAGUCCAAUUACAAAGGAAAAUAACAAGCCCAAUGUAGCCCAUGGCCCAAAACAAAAAUUAAAAAACCAGCCUAGACAACAUUAACAUUUUCAGCAGAAAGAUGCCCCCCAAACCCUAGCGCCGCAUGCCUCGCGUGGCCUCCUCGUCUGCCACGCCCAGCUCUCCAUGCCACCAUGUCGGCCACCUGCUCCUCUAUACCACCAUACCUCUGUCACCUUCACCCAUUCCCUGCAGGACCAGAAAGAAGACAAGACAAUAAAAUACAAUUUUGUAAAGGCUAUAAAAGCCUAUUUGGCUUUCUGUAACGGGGGGGGUUUCUUUGUUUUUUUUGUUUUUUUCGGCAUUUUAAUACAAAAAAAACAGAAGCUAGAAUAAAAAAAAUACAUAGAUUUCAGUAUUGAGAUAGCAAGCAUUCGGAGAAAAAAGGAAAGGCAAACGGAAAAGGUUACUUUUUUCAUCCAUUUUCUUUCGAUUUCCAUAUACAUAUCUAUACAUUUUUUAAAUUAAUAUAAACCUAAAAUCUAUAUAUUCUAAGACCAAAAAUAAAUAAAAAAUAUAGAAAAAAAAAAAGAAAUUUUACCUUUUCCAGCCACCGCGUGCGGUGGCCGGCGCCGGCGUUGACGAGUCUCCGGUGACCGUCCGGCGACCGGACCCCUGGCCGGAGUCCCACCGGAAAUCGCCCUCUCCCUCUCCCUCUCCCAUUCUUUUUUCUUUUUUCCCUUUCCCCAUCCCCAAAUGAAUUUUUUAAAAGUUUUUUUACUUAUAUAAGGGACCAAAACGCACAGUUUUGGUCCCCCCUUUAAUAAAUAAAACGACGUCGUUUUGGACGCGGGUCGGGUCGACCCGACCCGCACCAGGGCGGGAUCCGCGUGUUUCUUAGUGGAAGGGAAAUUUGCGUGCUCAGCCCUUCCGCUUUUCUGAGAUUUCACAAGUACGUUUUUUUAUGUUUUGUAAUUCUGCCCUAGAAUUUUUCAUCUUUUUCAAUCUGGUCUCCGUGCUGCGCAGCGUUUAGAUAGUUGGGAUUAUUUGCGAUUUCGGUCCCUCCAGGUUGCGCGCAUCUCACAUUUUGAUCCCUCCUCUUUGUUUCCUUUUACAUUGACCCCACAACUUUGUUUUUAAUUUAAUUUUUGUCAUUUUUCGUUACCUUUAUUUCCUUAUUAAAUACUCUUAUUAUUAUUAAUAUUAUUAUGUAUUAGUUUAUGUUUUAAUAUACAAUUAUAUAUUUAUAAUAUGUAUACACGCUUAGGAUAUUUGUAUAUACUUAUAUAAUAUUAGUACUAAAAGUUUUAUUUUAAUAUGUAUAUAUUAAUAAAUGAUUAAAAUUAUAUCUGUACGUAUAUUCUUCAUUAUGUUCUUAAUACUAUACUUUACAUAUAUCGUACAUUUCGUUUCAAGUUUGCUUUCAUGUAUUGUUUAGUCAAAAUUGUUUUAUUGCUCAUUUUAAAAUUGUUUCACAUACUUUGCUUUAAACAUUAUAUCUCUUUCAUAUUAUACACAUCAUUUUUAACUCUAUAUUGUAUAUCACAAUCUCAUAUAUUAUGUACGUACUUCUCAUAUUAUUAGUUACGCAUAUAUUCUUUACAUUAUCUUAUGUGCAUAUAUUUUUCAUAUUAUAUUAUAUACCUAUCCUUUUGAUACCAUGUUGUAUAUAUUUUCAAUACUAUAUUACAAAAAUUUUUACCAUAUUAUGUAUGUUAUGUAUAUACGUUUUAAUGUUUUUGAACUAUCUUAUAUGUAUAUUUUAAUAACUAUAUGAGGUAUGUAUUUUUAACACCGUAUUAUGUAUGUAACUUUCAACAUCAUUGUAUACACACUUUUUAAUACUAUGUUAUUUAUACGUUUUUAUAGGUAUCGUGUACAUGCUUUAAAUACCAUCAUGUAUAUAGUUUUUUUAUUGUUACUAUUAUGUAUACAUAUAUGUAGUAUCAUUAAUAGUUCUAAUAUCAUGCUCCCAUCACUUUGCUAACCAUUAUUAUAUGUUUGUAUAUAUUAAUCCGUAUUUCGCGUUUAAUACUAUUGUUAACAUAUUUAAUAUCGCAUAUAUGGCCAUUGUUUUAAUAUUCUCGUCGUAUUUAUCAUUUAUUUCAACAUAUUUCUAGCCCUUCCAUUUGUUCACUUUUAUUUCAUAUCCAUUUUGCUUGGCAUUUCAAUGAAAUCUUAUUCUCAUUUUCUAAUUAAUUUUAAUAAUCGAGGAAACAUAUCGACUUAACAUUAAGUCAUCGAGUUCAUCGCUACGUUGGGUGAACGUCAAUUGACUCGUGUUAAAGCGAUACGCCCUUCUCAAAAACCAGAAUAAACUAAAAUUUCUCAUUUUUUUUCAGAUCACAACUAAACUUUACAUUGAAUUCGCAUUUUUGAAAAUUAAGACAACAUGUGUUUAUGAGAUACCAAUUUUUGGGCGUCGCGAGGGUGCUAAUACCUUUCUCGCGCGUAACCGACUCCCGAACCCUAAUUUUCCUCUGGAUUUUAACGUAGACCUAAACUCAGCCUUUUAUUUGUUUUAAUAAAAGAUCUAAUAGGUGUCCGAUCACACCUAGGAAAAAGGAUCGGUGGCGACUCCCUAUUUAUUUCAAAAAUCAAACGUCAAAUUUUCAAUAAAUCGCCACAAUUAGCGACCCCGAAUCCACCAAAUUUUUACGUCGCUACACUUAGUCGUCAUCUUAUUUAUUAGCAUCGGCACAUAUCUGACCAAAAUAUACUGGUUUUACCGGCGGUGACUGUGGCAACGGAUUUGAUUUGCGGCAAUGAAUAAUUUACCAAGUCAACCUCCAUCUCACUAAAUUUUAAAGUUUAUUUUCUUAUUUAUAACAAUAAGAAGGACUCGAGUUCAAGUUCACUUAAACACGUAUUAUAUUUCUAUAUUCAUAUAAAUUUCAAUUAGUAAAAUUAUUAUUUGAGGAUUUUUUUUCUUUUUCCAGCAUUUUACCCUCCUCUUGUAAAGAAAUUUACAAUGUCGAAAAAUAUGAAUUUAGAUUAAUUUAAUCAACUAUCAAUGUAUAAUUCAAGAACUAGUAUCAAUAAAAAAAAUAAAUGAUAAAAAAAUGGUAAAACUCUAAGGUAAUGUUUGGUACUUUCUCGUGUUAUGAUUUUAAUAGAAUGUGAUUAUUGGGAAUGUGAUUGUCGAGAAAAUUACUUUAUAAUGUUUGGUAUACAUUAGAAAAUAUUGAUUAAAAUCUCAGAGAAGUUACGUUAUCUCCUUUGGUUCACUAAAUAGUUUCUUAAGAAUAAAAUAAUAAUUUACGAAUUUACCUUUAUUAAAUGAAAGAUAAUAUUCAUGCAUUUAAUUUUUUUUAUAAUAAACUUAAAUAUUCAUAAAUACUAUAAAAAAUUAAAUUUUCAAUUAAUAUAUCGAAAAGAAAGAGUGAAAAAUAAUAGAAAAUAAAUAUAAUAUGUAAACGAUAUACUAUAUAGAUGAUUAAAUAUGUAUAUAAAAAAUAAAUUUAGAGAAAAAAAACUACUUGCAAAGAAUCUGUUGAAAUAAUAAAGAAAAUCAAGUAGGAGGUAGGAGACUUAAUAGACUAAUACCCACAUUUUAUCAUGGAAACUACAUUGUCAUAUUCAUGGGAAAGUAACUUCCACGAGAAAGUUAAGAUUUCAAUGAAAGUAAAUAAAUUUUGACAUAACACGCGUUGGAAUUACGUGUCAAUUGAUUAAAUUUCCAAUAAAUUGAUUACUUUUCAUCAUCCAAUCGCUACAUGAAUAAUUUUUUGCCGAUCAUAGUUAAUAUGGGUUUAAGUGCGCUGAAACGCAUUAUCUUUCUAUUUAAGGAUUAGAGGGGGGCUAUGGAUAGUUUUAGACAUUGUAUAAAAAAGAGCAGAUAUGAUAACAACCUAUAAUAAGAUUAAUUUGAUUCAAAAAUAAAAAUUCAAUUCGAUUCGAUUAUUGUUAAGCGGAACUCAAGCCAGCAAAGUAAGUUCAAGUACCCUAAUACUUGAUCCAAGCAAUUAUUGAACUUAAUCAAACUUUUUUAUUUAUAAUGAGUUGGUGUCACGAAUUAGCCGGAUAUCAAUUCGAUUAGGAAAUAACCAAUAUGCCCUUUUUAUUAAAUGAUUAUUGUUAUUAUUUUGAUGGUCUUUUUGUCUUCUCAUAUUUUUAUAUAGUUCUUAAAUAAAAAACUAAAAUUAACAUGUCUAGGGAUUGAACAUGAAUUUAUAAAAGUUAAUGGGUUUAUAAACAAAUUAUUUACCACUAUAUCAAUAAUAAUUAUAGAAUAAACUUUAAAAAAAAAUUUAACAUAAAAUAUUUUCUCUCACCAAAUUUGUAUAUAUAGAUAGUGUCACUGAUUGCAUUGACAAGUUAACUCGAUAUUUAUUUUUUUAAAUAUAAAAUUUCAAUAUUGAACUUUUUUUACUAACUUGAUAACUUUUUGACGUGAUAUGUUAUUUAAAUAUUCUUAAUAUGGUGUGUUUAACUAUUUCAAAUUUCUUUUACUCACAAGUUAAAUUAUUUUUUUUUAUUUUUAUUCUGUACAUAUGCAUGCCUGUAACUAUCAACAUAAAGACGUUUGCGUUAACUUGAUUUUUUGGCAUUAUAAUUACAAUUACAGAAAAGAGCUUUCGAAUUUUCACUCUUUUGUGUCUUCAGAUAAAAUUGAAUGAAAAGAUUAAGAUUCCAUAUCCGUUUCAGCUAUUACUUGGGUGUUUUUGUUUGAGCUGUAAGAGAUGAAAUUCUCAUAUACGGUUCUGGGGAGAGGGGUCUUCUUGGUUUACCUAUCUCAAUAAAGUAUAUGAUUGGUUCGAAGAGCGCCUCGAAAUUCAAGCGAUUGCAGAUGAUAUAACUAGUAAAUAUGUUCCUCCUCAUGUUAACAUAUUUUAUUGUCUAGGAGGAAUUACGCUUACUUGUCUAGGAGGAUUUGCUAUGACUUUUUACUAUUGUCCAACCGUUACUAAGGAAUUUAUUAUUUAUUGUAUGUUAUUUUUAAGCACACGUUUAUCUUUAAAAUUUAUAAUACGUUUUAAUUUUUAUUUGUUACUUUACCUUUAAUAUAUACACUUAAUUAAAACCCAAACCUUAUUCUUUAAAAAGAAAUCUAAUUUUUGUUAUUUAAAUAUAAAGAUUUUGUAAAUGAAAUGAAUUCGAACUCAAACUUAAAUCGAAUCAAAUUCUAAUGAUUUCGUUUAUUUCGAGUCCAACUCGAGCUUCUAUUAUAAUACUUAAUCCAACUUGAAUUGAAUUUUGGUCAACAAAUUUUGAGCUUCGCAAAAAAAAAUUAUUUUAUUUUGCAUUUUAACCUUAAAUUAGCUAGCAUAACAUUUUAUUUUGAAUAAUCUUAUUAUAUGUUCUGAUCGUAUCUCUUUUUUUUUUUUACACAAUGAUUAAAAUUACUUAUAACCCCUUUCUCAACCCAUAAAUAAGAGGAUAAUACGUUUCAACGCACUCGAACUCAUAUCCUCUUAUAUUGGCAACACUGCCCAUAUCAAUUGAACUAAGAUUCAACCGGAUUCGGCAUAACAUUUUAAUGGUGCAAAACAAUAUAUAAAUAUUCAGCUCAAGUAUCGGUCUAAACUAGCAACAAUCUUACAUAAGACACACCGGCCACCACAAAAGUAAAUCAACUUAAAUUCAUGUCCUUGUCGUAGAAGAUAGCCCUUCAUCAAUAGUCAAUAACAGAGAUUAUUUACCCUAUAUAUGCUAUAUAUAUAUAUAUAUAUAGCUUUCGAACUUCAACUACCACAUAAUGACUUUAUGUUCGAGUGAAAAUAAUGUAUGCUUAAUAAUUCAUGUAUUUAGUCAAAUGUAUUCUCAUAACAAUUACUCAUUUAUCACAUUUAAUGAUCUUUGUAUAUGUUCAUAUUAGUUAUAUAUAAUUAGAGUUGUGUGAUCUGAAUCUCGACCUGAAAAGUUCAAGGUGCAACUCACUUGUUAAAUAAAUAAAAUAAAGAUACAAAUUUGGAGAUCUAUUGAAACCCUACGAUACGGACCUUACUUCUUCUUUUAGAUGUUCAUUAUUAAAGGGUAGUUUAACCAUCAAAACGGGUGUAGCAGAAAACCUCUUGUAUUGUUGUUUUUCAACAUUAUUAAAUUUCUCCUCCUCUGCCGUGGUUUUUCCCAAUAAGGGUUUUUCACGUAAAAUCUACGUGUUCGUAUUUUUCCUUCUUAUUACUUUGCGAUCAUUCCUAGUGCCAUUAUCGAUGUAUAGUAUAAAAAUCAUCAUGUUUGGUAGGAAGUGGAGUUGUAUUUCUUUUGUGUAACUUAUUGAAUUUUCAUCCAACUGAAUAUUAUUAGUAAAUACAUUUUUUUUAUGUGUCUACCAAUUUAAGAAAUGAGUAAAUUGGUCAUUUUUAAAAAAAAUUAGAGCAAAUUUAAUCCUAUCAAUUUCAGAAGUGAGCAAAUAAGAAUAAUUAAUCACGACGCUAAUGUUUUCUAUCAAUUGGUAUAAUAACAAAUUUAGCCUUCGGUGUUUACAUAGCUUGUAUAAAUAUUGGCAAAAUGUGUAAAUCUUUAAGUUUGUUAAAUCAGGACUAAGUUGACAGAAUGUAUAAAUUUUACGAGCUAAAUUUGUUACAUUGAGACCAAAUUAAUUGACAAAAAUUAAAUUUUAAGGGAUAAAAAACAUGUACAAUUGACGAAAAAUAUUAACAUUGUCAUUAAUUAUUCUUAGUUAUUCACUCUCAUAUUUGACAGUGAUCAAUUUUAAUGAUAAAAAAUUUACUUUGACCUCUUCAAAGAUGAAAUAUUUUCAAUUUAAUCCUUUUAAAAUUCUAAAAUAACAAGGAUAUACAAAAAUAGAAUUAUAAUUUUACUUCUUUAAAAUUCUAUAAUUUAUUUUUAACUCCCUAAAAUUAAACUUUCGAUUUCGUCCCUGCCCCCAUCCCACCAUGUUGAUAUCUGUAUUCACCCCGUACAUGCGUUUGUCGUAAAAAGAAAAGAUGGCAAACAACGUGGUAAGAAAGCUAUAUAAUUUCCAAAUUCCAACACGCUAUUAGUGUUUUUGCGUAAAACACACAAAUUCUUCGAUGCCGUACACCAAAUUCCAACUUUGGUACUUGCAAUGAAACUCACUUGACAAAGACGUAUACUUAUAUAUAUAUAUACACAUACAUCUAUCUGAUUAGACAGCUUCAUACAUGCACGAGUGUAUUUCCACGACAAAACUAGACAAUUAUUUUGGUCCUCGAAUGCAACUUUUGUAUGUUUUUCUCUUAAUUUGUCAUGGUUUUUAGUUGUAGAACAUUCUUCUUCCAUAGUCAAUGGCCAAAAUUGAACGAUAGUUUAUGUUAGGGUUGUAAUUCAAUCGAGCUGAACUUUGUUAUAUAGUAAUAUAAAACACUAACCUAACCACCUACCAAUUUGACGAUAUCUCCAAGAUCAUGUCAUUUAUGAGUGUCUGUCAUUUGCAUGGUAUCACCUGCUCACCCCCAUAAUCCUCUAAAGAGCAUUUAAGGCAUGUGUAACAUCUAAGGGAGGUAACUUGUCACCAUACAUGACACCUAAUUACCACUAGCACAUCACAUCAACCUACCAUAACUUAAAUAUAUGUGAGAAUGAGCCAUUUCAAAGGACAAUAGAACAAAUACUCAACAAGUUAGUGAGAAUUUCGAGUUUGAAUUUAAUUUUAAAAACCUAGCUUGAAAUUUGUCUCAAGUUAAAGUAAAUAUUAUUAUAAAAGUUCAACGUCUCAAACAUAAAAAUGAAAUGUAUUUGAGAUUAACUCGAUUAAGUUUGUUUUCCUAUUUGUAUACUUGCCCAAAAUUAAAUGGUAGUGUAUGACAUUAAAGCCAUAGUAAGAAGCUCUAGCUCGAUUUAAAAUUUAGUUGAAUAUCAUCCCAGCUCGAAUAAGUCUAAGCUCAAACCGUAUUGUUGUAAAAAAAAUUAAAAUACUAAUAAAAUAUUAUAAAUAUAUCAUAAAUAAAAGGUUAAAUUAAACUUGCACGUUGCUUAAGCUUGAACUCAACUCAACAAUGGCCGAAUCAAAUUUAGAUAAUUUAUAAGCAUAACUAUCAUAAUUGAUCCUUAAAAUCAAUUAUCACAAACAAAUAUAUUAAAAAUUUAUUAAUAAACCCUAAUUGAUAGGUGUCUUCUAAUAUUCAUUUCCUUUUCGAAACUGCUAACCAUUUUUUUUUUAAUUUUGACAUUUUCUUAUCUUUUCAUCCAUAUAAUAUUUCUUAUAGUUGAAGUUAGAAAUUAUAUUUUUAAUAGGUUCAAAGUAUAAUUUUAUUAUUUUUAUUAUAAAUAAUAAAUUAAAUUUUAAAUGUUUGAAGGAAUCAAAAGAAGUUAAAAAGCUAUACUAGACUUAGAUCGCGUUAUUCGUUCAGACUCGAAGGGUCACUCGAAAAUUAGGAGGGUUUGGACAAAAAUAUUAAGCUCGAAAAAUGGACUUGAAUAAAAACAUUCAAUGCCUGACCCAACCUGGCUCAGCCCAUUAUUCAAAUUUGUGAUGUUUUAUAUUAUGUUAUUUUUAUAUGUUAUGUAAUUUAUAACACAUGAAAAAUAAAUAUAUAGUAGUAUAUAAUACUACUAUAAUUUAGCCAUUAAAAAAUUAAGAUAACUAUAUAUAAAAAUAUAAUAAAUUAAAUUAAAUAUAAAUAUAUUUAAAAUUUUAAAAAAAUAACAUGUGUGAGCCAAAAAUGAGCUUGAGUUAACCAUUUACAAAUAUAGGCGGAUUUAGGCAACAUUUUAGACCCAUAUUUCAAAUCAGGCUAGACUUUAACAAGCAUAAAAUGUGAUAUUAUCAUGUUUAAGCUAAGCCUAAAUCCAACCCAACUCAUGAAUUCUAAGUUAUAUACAAGGGAAGUUAAGGGUAGACAAGUUCUCGCUCCCUUAAUUAAAUGGGAAAAUUUCUUUUUAGUCCAUUCCAAAAAUUAAAUAUUUUACUUUUAACUUUCUAGUUGUUGUUUAAAUGAAAAAAAAAUAUUGACUCCCCAAAAAAUAAUAAUUCAAAUUUUAAUCUUUUAAAAAUUAAACCUUUUAGCUUCGUCCUAGGUAUAUAUAUACUUCUAUACUAUAUAUUAAAUGACCGAUUAAGUUGGUGUUAUCCAUCAACCAUAUCCCAACUUCAUUAGGAAAUUACCAUUUUUCAAAGGGAUAAUAUCAAAGCUAUACAUGAACUUUGGUCAAAUGUGUAAUUUGAUACACGAAAUUUGAUUUGGUGCAAUUAUACACAUGAAACUUGAAUGAUUGUUCAUAUGUAUACAUGAAGCUUUUAAUUUUCAUAUCAAAUUAAUAUAAAUUUUUGUGUAUGCAAUAUAUCAACAUAAAAUGAUGCUAAUUCGACAGUGUUAAUAAUUUAUGAAAAUAGAAUCAAAUCAAAAAUCCAUAUAUGAAAUUGUACAAAAUUAAAAUUUAUGUACGACAUUAUACAUUGAAUCAAAGUUUAGGUAUAGUUCCGAUAUUUAUCCCUUUUUCAAAAUAACAAAUAAACUACUAGUUUUUUUUUUUUUUACAUAAAAUCAAGGAAAAUAUACAUGGCUUUAAACCCAAAACCCAAACCCGCAUCUUUAAUAAUUUAGUUUUACCAUUUCAACCAAAAUUUUUUUUACAUUUUAUACAUUUGAUUUUUUAAAAGAGUAUGUGAGAGCACGUUCAACUAAAAAUAUUUUCUUUUGUAAUUAUCGAAAAAUACGUCUAGCUCUCCUAGACAUAUUAAUUGUAAAGCUCAUCCAAUUAGGUGCAUUUUCAUACUUUCUCUCUCCAAAAACGAUUUAUCUGCUUAUUUAACUUUUAUUUUCAGCAUAUCUCGCUAAUUUUGCCAUAUAUAUAUUAUUAUAUAUAAGUUGCUGGUAUUUGUAUAUUUUUAAGGUGACAACAGUGGCUGCUGCCGCCCUAGUUGUCCAUGCAAAGCCAAAGGAAAAAUGACCCAGACAACGAGUCCACAACAUCAGCUGCCACAAGAAGAAAUAAAACAAAGCAAGUUGCAACAAUCAUGCAUCACCCAACUGUCUGAAAAAUGAAAAAGAAGAAAGAAGAAGGUGAAGAAGAUUAUGAUUCAACGUUGAAUAUAUAGUAAUUCCGUACCAAAUUCCCCAUUUUUGUUAUGUUGUUUUUUUUUUCUUUGAAUGAAUAAAGAACCAAAAACAAAAUAGAGACUUGAUGUGUUUACAUUUGUUAAGAGUUUUAACAGCUUGAUAUGCUUGAUAUUGUUGAAUUUUACUGGCAAAAACAAGUACGACAGGUGUUUGAAAAAAUGUUCCAAUGGAAAUUUUGGGGUUUUUUUCACAUAUUCUCACGCGUUGUUGUUGAUUUGAGGACCAUGAUGAAUUUCCAUUGUAGUUUAGUGACAUAUUAGUGAUGAUAUAUAUAUAUACACACUGUGAUGUUCGUUCACAUUCUAAUUUUUAAAAAUAUAAAUAAUUAAUGGUUAAUUAUUUCAAAAUUUGACAUUUUUAAAACACGAAAAAUCAACUUUUUUUUUUUAGUUCAAUGUUAUUUUUGCUCUACAAUGACUAAAUUAUAACUUUUUAUAAUAUGAAGACUAUAUUGAAUACAAAGGCCAAAAAGAAUGCAUUUUAAUCUCUUUCAAAAAUAAAACUAAAAAUUCAAUCUAGGUCCUUUUAACAAAAAAUUUUGGUUUUUAACCCCAUAAAAAUUGAUAAUUAUAUCUUGACCCCUUAUGGUAACAUUUUUUUUAGUAUUCUUCACGUCUAUUUUAUGGUUCAUGUUCGGGGUUCAUGAUUACCCCUCCCAACAAUUUUGUCUCCAAGAUUUAAACUUGUCUCUCAUUGGGAAUGCAAUGUGUCUUACCAUUGCACCAAACACUUGUUGGUUAUAGUAAUAUUUUAAUCCAAAGAAAAUUAUAAAAUUUUGAUCCAAAAUCGGUUGAAUAUUGGGUAAAAGUACCCUGAAGGCUCCUGUACUAGGAGCCAUAUUGCAUUUUGCCCUCUCGACUAAAAAAAAAGAGCAAAUUAGUUCGUGUUUAGAUCAAAGAGCAAUCUGGUCUUUUUUUUUUUGUAAAUGACUAGUUUACUCUUUAAUCUAACAUAAAAAAGACUAAUUUACUUUUCUUUUAAUUAGAGAAAGCAAAAUAUAAUAUAACUUUCAGCACAAAAACCUCUAUAAUACUAUUACCUCGAAUAUUGCUAUAUUAAUACCCGUAUAAAUUAGUCCCUCCCUUGCCAAUAAAAAAAAUUUUAUUAUUCUAUCAAAAAAAAUUUAAUUGGAUUAAGGAGGUCCAUACCCAUACAUUAAAAGGGCUUGAUUUUGGAGCUUUGAAAUUUCUUAAUUUGGGCUCCCCUUUUUAACCCAAAGUUGCAUAAUCAAAGGGUUUUUCUUCUAUGCUUAGUUUGGUAAUCAAUAUUAUUUUGAUUAGACAAUUUACAUAAUUUUUAACCCGUAAAUAAAAGGAUAAUACGUUUCAGCACAUUCGAAUUCACGUCCUGACCAAUAAUCCACACAUUGAAAUUCUUUGAUUAAUUUAUCUCGAAUUGAUUUGAACAAAUUCUGAUAACUAGAUAGCAAUUCAAUCGAAAAAAAAUCAUUAUAUAUUCUGAUCUUAUCUGUUUUUUUGUACAAUACUUAAAACUACCUAUAACCCCUUUGACACUCCCAAUUUACAACUUAUAACUAGAAGAAUAAUAAUUUCAGUACAAUCAAACUCACGUAGUUGUAUAUUAAAAAAAUUAAGAAAGAAGAUUUAUAUUUUUCAAUAAUUUUAUAUAUUUUUAGAAGAAUUUAAAUAGCAAUUUUCUAACUCAUAUGAGUAUCCUUAAUCAAAUUAUCUUCCAAAUUACCCGAUUUCUCUCGAUGAUUAAUACUUCUAAAUUAAAAUAAAAUAAAAUAAAAACUUCCUUUCAUCUCUCUCAUCUCCUUCCUUCAAUCUCCAGCUUUUUUUUUUUCACUUUUUAUUUUUGGCUGAAAAAAACAAUGAAUUGAAAGGUGUUUCAGCUUUUCCUCUUUGAACUUUAGCUGAAAGGAAAAACAUAUUUUUACUUCAUUCAUUCAAAUUCCCACACAAAAAGGGGAAAAACCCAGAAAUUUUAAGCCAUGAAACAGUUACACAAGCAAUCAAGCAUUAACCAUAGGCGAGAUGAAGAGAUCUUAAUACCUCAAACACCUCCUUACUCACCCAAAUCCUUAAAACACCCCAGAUCUCUCCCUAGAUCCAUUAACUAUCUCUUCAAAGAACAACGCCUUUUGUUCAUCUUCAUCGGCAUUUUAAUCGGUUCUACUUUCUUCAUCCUCCAACCAACUCUCUCUCGUUUAGGCCCAACCGAGACUCACCCUUCGGUCCCCAAAUCUUUCUCUAACAACGUCGUUUCCCACACCCAAGAGUUCUCCGUUUCCAAUCAGAAUCCUAUUCAUGGCAAAAUGGGUCGUGUUCCCGUCGGGAUCGGUCGACGGAGGAUGAGGAUCGUCGUCACCGGUGGUGCUGGGUUUGUCGGUAGUCACCUCGUUGAUAAGCUAAUUGGAAGAGGCGAUGAAGUGAUUGUUAUCGAUAAUUUCUUCACUGGGAGGAAAGAAAACGUGGUCCAUCUUUUUGGGAAUCCGAGGUUCGAAUUGAUUCGACAUGACGUCGUUGAACCGAUUCUCUUGGAAGUAGAUCAGAUCUAUCAUUUAGCUUGCCCUGCUUCACCGGUUCAUUAUAAAUAUAAUCCCGUUAAGACCAUCAUAUCCUUUUUUACUAUAAUUUAUUUCAAUUUCGCAUUAGUUUUUGUUAUUUUUCUUUAAUUUUCUAUGAUUGUUUAUGUUAUUUGAUUGAAUGGGUUUUUGUUUUCCAUUGAAUUAUGCUUAUUUUAGAUCUUUAACUUGGUGGGAUUACAAGAAACUUGUGAUGGGUAAUCUUAAUAUGUUGAAGCUUGCAAAGAGACUAAAAUUAAUGGGGUUUUGUGUCAGUUUUGCAUUAGUUUUUGGUUUUUUCUCUUUACACUUCUAUGAUAGUUUAUGUUAUUUGAUUGAAUGGGGUUUUGUUUUUUUAUUGAAUUAUGCUUAUUUAAGAUCAUUAACUUGGUGAGAUUACAAGAAAUUUAUGAUGGGACUCUUAAUAUGUUGAGGCUUGCAAAGAGAGUGAAAUUAAUGGGUUUUUGUGUAAAUUUUGCAUUAGUUUUUUUGUUUUUUUUUUCUUUAGAUUUUAUGUUUAACAAUACUAUUCGAGUUAAUGGGUUUUUGUUUUUUAUUGAAUUAUGCUUAUUUGAGAUCUUUAACUUAGUGAGAUUACAAGAGAAAUGUGAUGGGUACUAUUGAUAUGUUGCGGCUUGCAAAGAGUGUGAAUUUAAUGGUUUUUUGUAUCGAGUUUGCAUUAGGUUUUGGGGGUUUUCUUUAGCUUUUAUGUUUAACAAAACGGUUCAAAUUGAUGGGUUUUUGUUAUUGUUUGAAUUAUUGCUUAUUUGAGAUCCUUAACUUGGUGAGAUUACAAGAAAAAUGUGAUGGGUACUAUUAAUAUGUUGGGGCUUGUAAAGAGUGUAAAAUUAGUGUUUUUUUGUAUCGAAUUCGCAUUAGGUUUUGGUGUUUUUCUUUUGCUUUUAUGUUUAACGAAACCAUUCAAAAAAUUAAUGGGUUUUUGUUAUUGGUUGAAUUAUGUUUAUUUGAGAUCCUUAACUUGGUGAAGUUACAAGACAAAUGUGAUGGGUACUCUUAACAUGUUGGGGCUUGCAAAGAGAGUUGGGGCCAGGUUUUUGCUUACGAGCACGAGUGAGGUUUACGGUGAUCCCCUUCAGCACCCUCAGAAAGAAACCUAUUGGGGAAAUGUUAAUCCGAUCGGUGAGGAGCUUAUAAAAGCGCAACAAGUUUUUUUCUGUUUUGGUUGCUGAAUCUUCUUUGUGUUUACGUUGUGUAAUGUUAUUGUGAUUAGGUGAGAGGAGUUGCUACGAUGAAGGAAAAAGGACUGCUGAAACCUUAACCAUGGAUUAUCAUCGAGGUGACGGUGUUGAGGUAUGUUUUUUCGUAUAUUUACUUGUAGUUGAACCAUGAACCAUGUGGGGAUGCUUGAAUUGUGUACAAGAUAAUAAUCCCAUGGCAUUGACAGUGGAGUUACGAUUUAGCAUCGCCUGAUCUAAUGUUAUAACUUGGACUAUUGUGACAUUUGAUGCUCAACAAGGGCGAAAGAACUUGUGAUGAAUUAAUUGGUUUAUAGAUCCAUAAAUUGGCCGUAGUGCUUUGAAAGGAGAUAAAACAGGUCACCUGAUAAUUGAAAGAUACCGUACCCAUGACGCUCAAAUGGUUAUACUUGGUGGUUGCAGGUGCGAAUUGCUCGUAUUUUCAAUACUUAUGGCCCUCGCAUGUGCUUGGAUGAUGGACGUGUUGUUAGCAAUUUUGUUGCUCAGGUUGAUUCAUCAUUCUAAUAAUUUUUGGCGUUCAUGUGUAGGAUUUGGUUAAGAUUUGAAUCAUUUAACAUUUUGUAACAACUGUUGUUUUGUAUCACAGGCCAUUCGGAAGCAACCGAUGACUGUUUAUGGUGAUGGAAAACAAACACGAAGCUUCCAAUAUGUUUCUGAUUUGGUAUGUCUACCUGUUUAUUAUCGUAACUUCUUUUGGUACACUGCCUUUUUCUUGGUGACUUCUAUCGGUAUUUGUUCGCGUAUUUUGAAGGAACAUAUGUAUAAUACAAUUUGAAGAAAAUUUCGUACCUUCAUGAUUAACAGGUUGAUGGACUCGUUGCUUUAAUGGAAGGUGAGCACAUAGGACCUUUUAAUCUCGGCAACCCGGGAGAAUUCACCAUGCUCGAAUUAGCGGAGGUUUGUCUUUGUGAACCCAACUUACUUUUCAUUAACUAAGUGAAUCUUACAAUUCAUUAAAGCCUUCCAAAUUCAUUUCAGGUCGUCAAAGACACGAUCGAUCCAAGUGCAACGAUAGAAUAUAAACCAAACACCGCGGACGAUCCACAUAUGAGGAAACCGGACAUCAGCAAAGCAAAGGAGCUGCUGAACUGGGAGCCGAAAAUACCCCUAAGAGAAGGGUUACCCCUUAUGGUGAACGAUUUCCGGAAUCGUAUUUUGAAUGAAGAUGAAGGAAAGGGAGCUUAAACCGAAAAACGAACAGAUACGGGAAACAAGUAUGUAUAGUGUGAACUGCAGCUGUAUUUUUGCCAAUUCAUUUCAUUAUUAUUAUUACCUGAUUAUUAUGAUCUUUGUUCUACAUUACCUGGAAAAUUUAGCUGUUUGUUUGAGCCUCUAUAUAGGAAGAUAUGCUGUUCUUUCCUUUUAUGAUAAUCAGCUCCAAUUGUUCACAUCUACAUUGUAUAGUUAAAUAAUAAUUAGUGUUUUUCUUCUUUUCUUCUAUCUAAUUAUUUGUACACUAAAAUACGAUAUUUCCAAUCUCAAAUGAUUUGUUAAAUUAAAAUUUAUUAUUGUCAAUUCUAAAACAAUUUAAACUCGAAAUUAUUCAUAUGUUCAAUACGAUUAUGUUAAUUCUAUUCUAAUUUGAUCUUAUUUUAAUUCUGUUUAAUAUUAAAAGAAUUAAUUUAAUCAAAUCCUUAUAAUAAUAGAAGAUCUCGUUUGACAUUAAAUAUAACACCGAACUAUUAAUUCAAUAAGGGUAAAUUAUAAAAAUAGUCACUUUUUUUUUAUCUAUUUGAAAUGUUACGUUUUAGUCAAUUAUGUUAUUAUUUUGUUACGAAGUGGUCAUUUUACCUUUAAAUUCCGUUAUCUCCCUAACUGCAGUCCAACUUGAAUGUUCAAUUGUUGGGAUAAAAAUAGAUUUUUAAUUAAAUAAAUUUAAUUUGGAUUGCUACGUAAGACAUCUAAGAUAGCAUUUAAAAUCUGUUUGAACUGCCACAUAGGAUCGCCGUUAGGGAGAUAACAAAAUGAUAACGUAAAUGACUAAAACAUAAUAUUUUAAACAUAAAUGACUAAAAUGUAAUUAGAGACAAAUAAAAGUGACUAUUUUUGUAGUUUACCCAUUCAAUAAUGUAGGAGGACAUGGGUUUUAUGGGUUAGAGAGGGACUAUAGGUAUUUUUAAGCAUUGUGUCAAUAAGUAUAGAUUGGGGAGAGGUUAUCGGUAGUUUUAAGUAUUGUAUAAAAAAAAUAUGACCAGAAUCUAUGAUGAUAAUCUCUUUAAUUAAAUAAAUAAUAUUAAAUCCAAAUCAUAUGAUAAACUCGAAUCUAAAUAUUUAAUUAAUUAUUUUAUUUAUUAACAAUGAUCUUCUUGGUAUAAGCCUUAACAAUAAAAAUAGCAAGCUGGGUGGUGAUAAAUUAACCGUUGGGAGUGUCUCAUUUGGUGUGAAGAGGGCAUCCCCCACCUGACAGACACACCAAACAGUUAUGUCUUCAAUCGAAAACGAUGAAACUUUUUAUGUUUUAUUUAACUCAGCUCAUGCAUUGUUCCAUAUGUAUAUGUCUCGUGAUCCAUCGCUUUGCUGUCCCCAAUACUCCUUUUUGUCAUUAUUAAUUAUAUCUCUAAUUAAUUAUUCUAUCAUUAUUGUUGAUUCAGUAUUAACUCGAUUGAUAUGGACAUUGUUGUCAAUACAGAAGAACGUAAAUUCGAGUGCGCUGAAACACAUUAUUCUCUUAUUUAAAAGUUAAGGAAAGAUUAUAGGUAAUUUUAAAUAUUGUAUAUAUAUAAAAAAAAAGAGAACAAAUAUGAUAAGAAUAUAUAAUGAGAUUAAUAGUCAACCUAUCAUAUCACAAAUUUUGAAAUUAGUUAAAUAUAUCAAAGUCUUACCAUAAAUAUCGACAAAUGUUGGUACAACGGUAAAAUAUAUUACACAUUUGAGUUCAAAUAUUGAAGAUGAUAUUGUUUGAAUAGAUAGUCAUAUUCCCAAAAAGAGUAAUAUCUAUGGACUAUAAAACAAACAUCGAUUUAAGGUUGAAACGUCACAUCUCAAUAUAGAUACGUAUCAAUAAGGAUUUAAUUAUGAAUUUCAUCUUUUGAGAAAUCAGCGUCUUUAAUUUAAAUUGUCAAAAUUUGACUCUCUUAUGAAAAUCGAAAAGUUAGUUCAAUCGGAUUAUAUUGUUAAACAGUGUCAUUUUUUGAAAAUCGACAAUUCAACAAUUUAUUUACUAGAAAUCAGCAAAAUAAUUUAUCAAAUUAUAUAUAACAAAAUGGCAAAUCAGCAGUCCAUGUUCAUGUCUUACCAAUAACUAGACUAACUGGAGGACUAAAUUCCAAUAAAUUAAAAUAGAGGGACUAACAUAUCAAUUUGUAUAAAGUAAAAGAAUGGAAUUCACAUCCCCCCCCACCCCUCUCUCUUGCAAUAAAUCAAGAACUUGAAGCAUGAAAAACCAACUGUUCUUUAGGAAAUUGCUCUGUUUUUCUCUUCUAUCAGAUAUUUCGAAGCCAUUAGUUAUCCUUCAUUGCUAUCCAAACAAAAAAGAAAAAUGAAAGGAAUGAAUAUAUUGUGUGCAUCCCAAGCUUCAACAGCCAUAUGUUUAAGCAUAGACCAAGUCUCAGCCACCGCCAGUGGCCAAAACCCCACCACCGCCUCCGCCGCCAAAAGAUUCACCAAAACCCUGCCUUGCACCGCUCACCCGCCGCCAAUCAAUCCUUUGCCUUAUCAUUUGCUUAAGAACCAUGAGAAAUGGUGUUCAAAUAAUACAGUUUCAGUUUCAGCUAAUGAUUUGAAGAAGAAGAAGAGUUCAUUGAAGGCAAUGGAUAUUAUUACAAGGAAAAGCAUUUCUUCUAACAUUAAAGAUGCUGCUGCAGAUGCGGGUAAUAACAAGAUUCUGUCUAUGAAACAAGAUCAACCCAUCGUUUCAAAACCCUCUGUACACCAGGUUUCCCUCCUCUCCUUCAUUUUACAUUUAGUUCGGGUUUAGAUCGCUUCAUUUUGGGUUUAUGUCGUUUUUUUUAUUAAAGAUAAUUCGAGGGUAAAGUAGCAUGGAGUCCAGAGGUGCAGGUGGUGAGUUUGGUUCCGGUAUAAGUAUAAUAGGAACAUAUUUUAUGUUUAUUUAAGUUCGGAUCAGUUUAAAAUAUUAAUUUAAAAUUUUAUCUAAAAUUGUCUAUAUUUGUAAAAGGUUAACUCAAACUUAUUUUAGGCUCGUUCAUGUUAAUUUUUUAAAAUCUUAAAAUAUUUUCUUUUAUUUUAUUUUUUUAUUUAUUGAAUUUUUUUAUUUUAAUGUUUACUUAUGCUCUAAAAAAAUUUUAUAAUAUAAAGUAUUAUAAACUUAAAAUGGAUUGGGUUGGGCUUGAAACAUGCCUAAUUUUUUGUUCAAACUCUCCUAGAUUUCGAAUGGGCCUUCAGGCUUGAAAGGGUAGCUCGACCCAUAAAUAAGUCUACAUAGUAUUUCAUUUCACUAGAAAUUAGAUUGUAUUUUGCUUUCUCUACUUAAAGGAAUGGACAAAUUAGAGAUUAAAGAUUAACUUGAUCCUUUUGUAAAAAUUAUAUUUAUUUUUAUUGUUAAAAAACUGAUCUUUAUAUAUUAACAUGAUAUAUACGUGGCACACCACGUCUAUUUUUAAUAAUACAAAUGAAUAAAAUUUUUCACAGAAAGGAUCAAUUUACUUUUUGAUCUAACGUAGAGAGACUAAUAUCUUUAUUAUUUUAGAUGGGUUAUCUCAUUGAUUUAAAUCUUUGACAAUUUUUUUAUUUAAUUUACUUUUAAUUUAAAUUAUUUUAGAUUUAAAUUAUAAAUCGAAAUAGAUAAUAAAUCGAAUUAUAUUAAAUUUAAAUUCAAAUUAAUUGAAAUAACUUUCUUUUCUUUUCUUUUUCCUUUUUUUUAAAUUUAAAAAAAAAUGGUUUCAGGUUGUGGUUCUAAAGGUGUCAUUACACUGCAAAGGUUGUGAAGGAAAAGUGAGGAAACAUUUGUCCAAAAUGAAAGGUAUGUAUGAUUUACUUCACUUCAUAUAUAGUUAUGUAAUAAAAAAUUAUUACAAUAAAUUUUAAUUUAAUAAUUAAAUUUACAUUUUUAAGUAUAAAAAUUAGAAUAAUUAAAUUCUUAAAAUUAAAAAUAAAAUAUAAUAAAUUGAAAAUUAUUUUAAUAUUUUUGUGUUUGGUUUUCAUAAUCUGGGUACCUUAACCAAGAACAUAAACCCUUUGUUGUAAUGAUUUGAUUAGGUGUGACAUCCUUUAACAUAGAUUUUGAAGCAAAGAAGAUGACAAUUGUUGGAGAGGUGACACCAUUACAAGUCUUGGCCAGUGUUUCAAAGGUUAAGUCUGCUCAAUUUUGGACAUCUGACAUUUCUGCUGCUCCUACAACCAAGAAUUGAUGAUAAGAUUAGCAAUGUUACUCCUUUUUUCUACUUAGAAGAAGAAAAUCCAAUGAAAUUGUAGUUUGUACAUUGAAUUUGGCAUUGUUACUUCAACAUUUUUUUACAAGUAUUGAGAGUAAAAUUGUAUUUUAUAUCGAUUGAGUCUUAAUUUGAUUAGUACAGGCAUUAUUGCCAAUGCAAGAGAAUGUGGGUUCGAGUAUGUUGAAAUGCAUUAUCCUCUUAUUUUUUGUUGAGAGGGGUCAUGGGUAAUUUUAAGCAUUGCGUCAAAAAGAGCAGAUAUGAUCAAAACCUAUAACGAGAUUGUUUUUAAAAAAAUACAAAUGGCAUAACUAGAGAGUUACACAUGGCAUACCACGUGUAUUUUAUGCCGACAUACAAAGACCAAUUUUUAACAAUAGAAAUGGAUAAUUUUUUUAAUAAAAUGACCAAUUUACUUUUUAAUAUAACGUAUAUAAACUAAUUUGUUCAUUUUUUUACUAGAGGGAGCAAAAUGCAAUUUGAUUCCUAGUACGAUGGUUUCCAUGGUACUUUUACCUUAUAACUAAAAUUAUGGUUAAAUAUGUAUUAAAUAUAAAUAUCGAAUAUAAUCUAGAUACCAUAGGACUCUAGGGCAUAAAAGUAUCAUGGAUGUCUUUGUACUAGAAGUCUGAUUAUAUUUUUUCCUUCUAUUAAAAAAAUAGACAAUUUAGUCUCUAAACAUUAUAGUAAAUUGACCAAUUUUAUUAAAAAAAUUAUCUAUUUGUACUGUUAAAAACUGAUCUUGGAAUAACCAGACAACGACACAUGGUAUGCCAUGUGUACCUCAUAGUGAUAUAUAAAGAGUAGUUUUUAACAGUAAAAACUGAUCAAAUCUUUAACAGAAUGAUCAGUUUGCUCUUUGAUCUAAUAUACAUAAACUAAUUUACCUAUUUUUUUAAUAAAGAAAGCAAAAUAUAAUUUAACUCUUAAUAUAAGGAAUGACUUUACGGCAUUUUAUUGGUACAUGUUUCAUUAUUCCUAGUAGUUUCAUAGUGGGAAAAUAAGAAAAUCUUUGUGCCACAUUAUCGUAUGAAUCAAAACCUGGAAAAAGGGAUUCAAGUACUAAAUUGAAAAAAUUACCAAAUUUAUGGACCAAAUGAUAUUAGAUAUUGAUACCUUUUUGAUAAUUCUUGCUGGUGUAAAGAUUUAGAACUUAUUUAUACAUUCAUAAAAUGAUAAUAUUUCAAUCACUUUUGUAUAAAGCUCAACUUUCUAAACCCAAACUACUACCUCACCUACUAGUUCAUCAACCAACAAUCUCUCGAUUUCCUUACCGAUUACAUCGAUAUCGUCCCUCAAGUUCGACCAUUCACAUACCUCGGUAUCCAUGUCCGGUUUCUUGUUUUCACUUACCAGUGAUUUGUGCAAGCUAUCUUCGAGCUCUAGUAUGUUCCACUUCGGAAUAAUUUUUCUUACAGGCUUCUUUAUCCAUGGGAAUUGAUCUGUAUAUUGUUGAUGGAUCUCGAGUAGCUUCAAAUUGAUCCUAUCGAACAUCAGCCUCCUUUCGGCCCUUGACCAAGAAUUCAGAUUAUGGUAUUUUUUCUCGAGUUCUUCGAAUACUGUUGGAUUCACCGGACAUUCUGGAGAAUGCCAUGUUGCUAAGAAGGUAUCGAGGUCGGCUCCAUUGAUUCCGGAAUCAACCAAGACAUCAACUAUGUAUACAGACUCCAAAUUCUUUUCAGCCGUUGCUAACUGAAUAGAUACUCGAUCACCAUCAUCGUCGCUUGAAAGAAGCAUCGUUCCUUCUUCAUAUGCCUCAGUUUCGAGUUUUAAUAGUUGCAGUUGCAUACGAAGGCCUAAUAAAACAUACGUAAAAGAUAGGAUCACAAGUAAACACGAGAUAGACACGGAAUGAACAAGAGUUGUGAAUUACCAUGGAGGUCAGCACUAAUGCUUUCAAAGCAUUCAGAACCGGAUGAUAAAUCAUCGGCGAAAGGAGCUUCAAUGACUGAAAUCGGACUCGGUUGAUCUCCCUCCUUAGAGCCUGCUCGAGAUCCUAGUUCUGAUACAGAUGGUUCCUGCAUUUAUUAAACCGAGUAUUAGAAUGUGUGUAUUUGGAAACAGACGAACUAAAACAUCAUUCGAAUGAAAAAUGAAUACCUUGGGCUCCAAGUUACAUACAUCACCACUAGAAACAUCAGCAUUCACUGAAGGAGGAGCAGAUAAUUCCGUGUCCGAAGGCUUUUUCGGAUCAUUAACUUCCAAUGUGUUCUCAAGAACAGAACUGGAAUCCAUCGCAAUGCUAGCAGAUUCUCCAGACGAUUGAUGUGGGGUGAUAACAAAAUCCGGAGAAGUGUCGCUAUUUUCCUUGAUACUACUGGAACUACUACUCGAAAAUCUAGAUUUAUUACCACGGGAUCGUUGGUUACUGGUAACCAAAGAAGCUUCCCUUGGAUUAAAAUUGCCUUUUACUGCUUUUGGGAUCACAUACUUGUCUCUACGUAGACUUCCAUGUCGAGUACCUAUUCUAGGACUUCCAAAGUCAGUAGAAGAAGCCGGAACAGAUCGUGAUCUUGAAAGAUUACCGAGACAUCCAUCUUUCCAACCGUCCCUACUGCUAAUCCCUAAAGGUUCGUUCCACACUGCUGGCCGAGAACUAUCACCGAUCUCACAGCAUCCUUCUCCAACAACCGAGCUACUCGAAUUAGCUGAGCUCGUUUCCCUAUCAGAGAUAGCAAGCAUUUCACCGAGUGUACUACCCCGACUAACCAUUUGCACCUCUUGAGACCCAUGUGUUAAUUUCCACCUCUCAGAUAAUCGCUUCUUAGCCUCUCUACUAACCAAUGAUUCACUAGAACGGGAUGAUAGCCUCCUAUGUUGUUUAUCCCUGUAGGAUGAUGUUACAUCGGAAUCGUUUGUAGAUUCAGAACCGGAUGCAUCACAUGAACUCUCAUCCCCUGCAUAUCCUCGAAACUUAGAAGUUGAAAUUUUCAUCGAGCCAUCGUUAAAGCUAUUUUUUAUUUGCCGAGUAAUCUCCUUCGCCAUUUCCCUCGAUUCCCUAGAAUUAUGCCUUGAAAACCCGAUAUCUUGUUGAACCUUUUUCUUGCGCCAUAUUUCUGUCUCCCUACUCUCAAUACCUGAAAUUUCAAGGUGUUCGAUGCCUUCAGAUGGAAAAUGAUGAGAAUAACAAGGUGAUGAAGCAUUUCUAGUAGAAUUCCGUGAUUUCCCGAGAUUUGGUUUCAAUACAACAAUUCUUGUCGGUAGAAUAGUUGGCUCGUUUUUUUCGUCUAAUUGAAACAUAGGUGACUCAGGACGAUUAGGAGCUGUGUAUUUCCCAUACAAGUGAUGACCUUGAGGAGAUUUACUACGGUGCUUUGAUUGACCAUCGUCAUUGUUUAGAGUGCGUGAUGACUUCAUGACCGAUAUUCGACCACAAUGAGACUGCGAUGGCACACCUUGCAGAUCAUGCAAAUGCUUAGCGAAUAAUGAAUCCGGUUGCUCGAGGAAUUUCAACAAAAGAUCCGUGUUGGAAUUUAACACCUCGAGUGUAUCAUCAAAUUCCUCAGAAUCCCGAAGCUUUUCAUCGGUCGAAAACCGUUUAGCCUCCAUAAACUUCUGUUGAAUAAAAGCAACCUCAGCAUCAGAUAGCUUCGAGUUUACAGUCCCCAGCGAAGAAUGACCACCGCCGCUCCUCUCCAUUUUAGAUACUUCAAAAACAUCUUUAAACUCCGGUUCCUCUUUCAAGUUUCUCCUAGAAGAUCGCCGGUUAUAAAAUCCGGCACCCUCAGCUCGUUUUUGUUCAGGUGGUAAUCCAUCAAGCCCCAUCAAUCUAGCUAUAACGCUCAAAGAUCGUCUUCGAGAUUCGAUUUCUUUCGACAUUUCUCGUGCUAACAACUUCUUCAUCGGGAUCCCACUUGAUUGUUUUGAAGAUCUCAAACCCAACUCAAACAUUAACUAUAAAAAAACAUAAACAUAAUUGGCAUUCACAUGACUAUUCAAUAGUAUCUAAAGCUAAAAUGAGUAUUAAUUCUAAUCAUAUAGUAAAAAAAUCAUCACCUGAUCUUGGUCUUUACUAUUACUAAUGGAGGUAGCAGAAUCAGAUGUCAAAUUUGGAAAUUUUCUCUGUUUUUGAACCUGUUUGUUUCCUGAGAAAGAAAAAUUCCUAUAAAAGUAUUAGGAUAAGCUGUUCCAUGAGUAAAGAAAAGGUUAAGGCUUUAAAACUAUUUUAGAAGCUAAGCUUUUAAAAGCCAUGAAAUCAUAUAGUAAAAAAUGCAUGCUAGAUAGAGAAAUGAUUAAAAUAAUUAAGAUAAAUUUUCAAGGAUAAGUGUGAGCAAAAAAAAUAUAUAGCAUUAUUGAAAGCUUUAACAUUUAACUGGUGAGAAACUAAAGAAGAAAAAACAACCAAUGCGGGAAAAUGUUGUGUUUGGUAACUAAGAAAAUGCAGGAAAGUAGGAUUAAGACCCAGAAAAUUUUUGAACUUACUAAAUUCACCAGAAUAAAAGAGGAAAAAAAAUGGAAUCUUGAUAUAAUAAAGGAACGAAAAUUUUAAAAAAGAAAAAGAAGAAGAAAAAAACUUUGAUAUAAUAAAGGAACGAAAAAUUUUAAAAAGAAAAAGAAGAAGAAAAAAACUUUCUUUUGCCUCGGAUUCCCCAAAAACAAGCAAAAAUAUCACUUCAAAAUAAAUUUAAAAAAUUAAAAAAGAGAAAAGCGAACCUCUUGUUGAAGAAAGUUGAAAAUGAGUGAAGUUUAGAUCAUCAGAGAAGCUCGAAAUCUUAGGCCUUCGAUGCCCAAAUGGCUCCAUUUUUCACUCAUUUAACUCUAAACCCAGAAAAAAAAACCAGAAAUCUAAAACGGAAAUUUAGAGGGAAAAUCACGAAUUUUGAAAGAAAGUAGAAGAAAAAUUUUGAUUGUUUUUAGAAAAAAGGGUAAGUGGAAAGAAAUGUUAGCAGAGAGGUGAAAACGGAGAGCGUGAGAACGGCGGCAAUAAAGAAGGGUCCGUUGAAGAAAGUUGAAAGCUUUUUUUUUUUUUCUCUUUUGAACAUUCAAAUGCUGAAAGAGAAACAGAGAGAGAGAGAGAGGGGUUAAGGCAAGGGGGGGGGGGUGACCCUGCGCGGGCAAGUGGAGAUCCCCAUGCCCUUGUCUUGUCCCUACCUUAACUAAUUUGUCUACGUGUCUUUUUUUUUCUCUUUGAUGGAUAAAUUAUUUUCUAUCUUAAUUAAAAUAAUAAUAAUAAUAUAAUUUUUAGUCUUUGAAUUUUAUAAUUAGGUCUAUGUCCGUAUUUAUAUUUUACGGUUUAUUUUUGUUUUUGAACUUGAAAAUUAGAUCAAUUUUGAUACUUAAAUUUAGAUUCUGUCAAUAUUUGAUAAUAUUACUGUUCUAGAAUUGAUCGAUAUAACAAUUUUAACAAAGGGUUAAAUCAAUUUGACUCGAAAACUUAUUAAAAUUGGUAAAAAUAAAAAAUCGAGAUAGAAAUCGAUAGUUGAUUAGGUUGAACUAAUUUAAUAAAAUUUUAUAUUUUAAAAAAUAUAUAUUUUUAUGAAUUUUUAAUACUUAUUUAAUUAGUAUUGGUUUGACGAUUGAACCAAUUAAACUGAUUGAAUCGAGAAUUGAUGGUUUGAUCUAUUCAACUACUGGUCCAAUUAUUAAAACAUUGAACGUGACACUAUCACAUUAUAUCAUAUUAUAAUCUAAGGUAAAAAAUAAUAAUUGUAAAAAUAUAAAACUUGCGCUUUUAUAAUAGUGUCAAAAAAAAAGAGUCAUUAGGUAAAGGGAUCGAUCCAUUUAUGAAUUUUAGUUGCUCAAAAGUACUUUUAACUCGAUUUAGAUUUAAUUGAAGUUUUUUUAUACGAGAAAAUUAAAUUUAAAAAGUUUUUUUAAAGUUUUUUUGGGAGUUAAAACUUAUUUUUUUAUUUUUUAUUUUCCAACAUAAAUUUUUAUGGUAUAAUAUGAAAUUUUCAUUUUUAUUUUUAACUAUUAUUUUAUCAAAAUAUUUUCUUUUAUUAAUCUCAUUAUAAGUUUUAACCAUAUCUGUUCCUUUUUAACACAAUGUCUAAAACUACUCAUAGUCUCUCCUCAACUCAUGAAUAGGAGGAUAAUGCAUUUCAGUACACUCGAACUCACAUUCUCCUGCAUUGGCAACAAUACCCAUGCCAGUCGAAUUAAAAUUUAACCGACAAAAAUUUAUAAUUUUUAGGUACAAAAACAAAACUGUAUUUAUUAAUUUCUUUAUUUGCUUUUGCUUAAGAGGUUAAACAACAUUUGAGAUAAGAAAAAAAAAUUGGAAAUGGCUAUAACAUUUGAUAGUUAAUAAUUAUAAUUUAAUUGCAACUAACUAAUUUAAUAAUAGAUUAAUUUAUAGUGAAUGAGAUAUGCAUUAGGGAAAUCAAUAAUUUUAAGGCAAAAUCAAGUCCAAACAAUGACAAUUUUUUAAAAUUAAAAAAAAAAAUACUAUUUACUAACAUUAUUAGAGGCUUAAUUAUCACUCCAAAUCACCUUAUUUGCAAGUAAACAUGACUUUAGGCAAUAUUAUUAAGGUAAAUUAAUUGAUUUGAAAACAAGUUUGUCAUUUCUUGCAAGCCAAAUUAAAUCUCUAAGGGUUAAUAAUUAAUGUUUGGGUUAGUAUUCGGUAUAUUUACAGUAUAUUUGUUUUAUUUCAUAAACAGUUUUGAAAAAUUGUCACGUGUUUAUUUUUUAAAUAUUUUACUAUACUCUUAUAGAACACUCACCAACUCUUUGACUUUACUUGUGUAAUUUAAAAGCUUCACGGAUAGUGAUGUUUUAGCAACACUUUUUAAUUAUAUAUAUUAAUAUAUGUUCUUUUUGACUCAUAGCUCUUUUUUAAGUACUCGAACCCACAUCUUCUUAUAUUGACAAUAAUGUCUAUUUUAAUUGAAUUAAGAUUCAAUCAGUAAUUUUAAUUGACAUUUAAACCUUUAUACGUUUUAAUUUAAUUUUUAGAUAAAAAUAUUGUUCCGAUUAAGUUUUUUUUUAUUGAUUUAAUUGUCGGUUUUGACCUUAAAUAUUAGUUUUGAGCUAAUGUGUAUAAUUUUUUUUUAGUCAAUUCAUAUACAUUUAAAAAGCUAACCACAUUAUAUCCAAGUGUUCUUUUUCAAGACAUUUACAAUUGACUCACUAACCGUUGACAGGAGCAAAUCAUUAUACUCACACAUCACAAAUAUGGUUGCCCUUAUGGACGGGCGAAUUUAAGGCAGCAGACAGAGCCUUAGCUUCCCUAAAAAUGAAAAAUUUGUUAUGCAACUCAUUGAAAAAUAUUUAAUUUAUAAAUUAAUAUAUUGUCGAAUAACACUUUGGUUCCAAAAAUAAAAAUAAUUUUCUUUUUAAAAAUAAUAUAAUAAUUAAUACAUAAUAAAUUAUAUUUUAAUCUUUAAAAUUUUUAAUUUAAUUUCGAUCCUUUUUAAAAAAAUUCUAAAUUCGCCAUUGCACUUAAGAUUAAAUUAUAAAUUUUUUAAAAAUUAAAAUAUAAUUUUAUCAUUAUAAUAUACUUACAAUUUCAUAAUUUCUAAAGAGAAUAAACUAAAAUUUCUCCAGUUUUUAGGUCUGAUGAAUUGAAAUGUAUUGAAAUUUAGUGAUGAUUUUAAUAUUUUAUUCAUAUAUAAUCAAAAGAAUCUUUCUUUUCUUGAGAAAAUUGACUUCUCAACCUUGGGAAUUACUCACAUUUGUUGACAUUUGGUGUGGUAUGAUUUUUUUUUUAACAUGCUGAAAAGACUGAAUUUUGAGUUUUUCUAUCACUAGGAUGAUUUUUUUUUAAUUUUUAGAAUUAAAAUUAUAUUAAUAAUUUUUGUAAAUGUUGAGGGCUAAAAUUUAUUAAAUUAUUUAGAAUUUGAAUUAAAAUGAUGAAUUUUGUAAAUUAUAAAUGCUAAAUUUGUUGAAUUAUUUACAGUUAAGAUUAAAGCGAUCGAAUGUGUAAACAUUAAAGGGCUAAAUUUGUUAUUAGAUUAAUAAAAAAAGUCCACAUAGCUUACCAUCACUCAUCUAAUGACAAUUAACGGGAAAGCGACUAAAUUAUUUCAUUUCAAAAAAUUUAGUGACUAAAAUAAAAAAAAAUUAAUAGUUAAGUGACCAUUUUUAUAGUUUAUACUAAAAUUUUAAUUUAACCUUGCGUUUGUUAGUGAAACAAUAUGGAAUGGUGGGAUUAAAUUGGUAAAUUAAUCAUCUUGUAGUCUAGUGGUGGAGCUAAAAAUUUUAUUUUAAGGAGUCGGAAUUAAAUUGUAUAUUUUUAUAAUAGUAAAUGUGCAAUUUUACCAUUUAAAUAGUCUAUAUCUUUAUAAUUAUUAAAAGAUUAAAUUAAAAUUUUAUCAUUUUUAGAAAAGUUAAAAUACAAAUUUACCGAAAAUUUUUUUAUUUUAGGACAAUCGAGUACCCUACUUGCCCCUAACUCCGCCAUGUAUAUAAAGAUAAAAAAUAAUUUAAUAAAAUUUUAGACAAUGAAGAUAGUGACUUGUGCCAAACAAAGUUUAUGGGAAUCUUUUAAUUUUGAGUACUAAUACACUAAUAGUAAGUGCUAGUUUAUAUUCUUUUCUUUUGAAAAGUGAAUAGAGAUGUAAUUUUUAAAAAGUUUAGUUUAAAAUUGAUUAAAAUAUAUCGUUAAUUUCUGUAUUUUGAUAAAAUUUAUGAUUUUUAUAUUUAAAAUGACUUGUUUUAUUGUUAAAGUUAAUAAAAAAUAUUUAAAUUUAAUUAUGAAAAUAUAUAAAUAAAACAUUAAUAGGUAGGGGACCGGACUAGAUCGGACCGGACCGGACCGGCUAGUAGCUAGGUAGCUUGGGGAUUCAUAGGGGAAAUCUUUGGGGUUAUGUUGUGUCUUGGUGGGUUCAGAAAUUGACUCAAGCCUUUGAAGAUUUAUGUGUUUUGGGGACAAUACAUUGUCAAUGGGAUUUGUGCCUUUAAUAGUAGUAAUAUACUAUGGACAAAAUGAAGGACCAAAUAGACCCAAAUUUCUAUACAUAUAUAUGUACGUACACAAAUUCAAAAUAUAGAGACACACCAUUCAAUUAGGCAGUCAAGUUGGGAUAAAUUCAUUUUUUUAAUAAUUUUUAUUAUUUUUGGAUAAUUUUGGGUUUAGUUUGUGUAAUUUGAAAAUUGGAUUAAUUUCAAGUUUGAGCCGUUUAAUUUUUUUUUUGUUAAUAAUUGAAUCAAGUUGAUUGGAUUAGGUUUUUAAGUUUCGAGUAAUACUGACGUAUCUAAUGUAUUCUAUAUUAUGUAUGUAUUAAUUUUUAUCAUAAUUAUAUAUUGAGUACCGAAAUAAGUGUACAAAUUUUAUGAGAUUAUAUUCAUAGAUAUACGGUAAAAGUAUUAUGGAAGUCAUUAUAUUAAGAGUUGAGUUGCAUUUUGCCCCUCUUCUAGAAAAUGAGUAGAUUAGUUUAUUUAUAUUAGAUUAAAAAGUAAACGGAUCUGUCAGCCACAUUAAUUUUUAACAGUAAAAAUAGAUGUAAUUUUUAAUUUAAAAGAAACAUUUUAAUCUAUUGAAAAGAUUUGAUGAUUUGGGUUUUGACAUAAACUAUAUUGAUAAUCAAAGUUGAUCAAUUUGCAUGAUUUUCGGAUCAGAAGAAACCCUUUUAGGGCAUGUCAAAACCCAAUCAAAUCAGCUUCAUCAAUUAUUAAUUUCAAGAUUGUAAUUGAAGCAAUGCUACAAAAUAAUAUUAAUAUUAAUAAUAGAAAAAAAAACAACAUUUAAUUAUAUUACGUUAUUGUAAUAGUUAGACAUAAAAUGAUAAAAUUUGAAGUCAACGGUUUUAAUCGAAAGAUUUUUUAUGAAUAAUUGAAAAGAGAUAGAGAAGAGUUUAUUCUUCUUCUUUUUUUUGGUUUAAAAUAGGAGCAUGGAGCAAUUCUGAUAUUUGUUUGCCUCGUUUUUCUUUACUCUAAUAUUUAAAAAUAUUAUAAACCCUAUCAAUGAGGUCUUGAUAUAACUGGCAAAGUUGUUGGAGCUUCGAACAUUAAAUACUUGGAUUCGAGUUUCAUCAUUCACAAUUAUAAUCUGUGGGUUUUGUUCAGUUCUUUUUAAAUUUGUUCGGAAUGAUGAUGAAUUUAACAAUAUUAGAUGUCUGUUGAUUGAGUCUUAGCUCAACUUACAUCAACAUUGUUACUAGUGCAGGAAGAUAUAGGUUCGAAUGCACUGAAAUGCAUUAUCCUCUUAUUUAAAGUUCGGGAAGGGAUUAUGGGUAGUUCUAUGUAUUGUAUAAAAAAGAUAAGAUAUGAUAAGAACUUAUAAUAAAAUUAAUGUUAAAAUAAAAACAAUACCGGACUCCUACAUAUUUUCAGAAAAAAAUAUAAAAUAACAAUAAUAUUUUCAUCUUUUUGGUAUAUUUCAUCAAGGCAUGAUUAGCUGAGAAAAACCUUUAUUUUAAUGUAAAAAGAAAAAGGAAAAAAAGAGAAAGAGCUAAAGCAAAAAAGAACAGCAUAACAAGAAAAAAUUAUUGUUGUCCCCAAUCUAUAUAAUAAAGUUUUUUUUUUAUUUGUAAUAAAAGGCAGCCAAAUUACACUCUUUUUUGCCUUUUCCUUUUCUCAUUCCAUCACAAUGAUUUUUCUUUCCUUCUAGAAACACUUUUGAUUUAUUAAGGGAUCCAAAGGUUGAUUUUUUUGGAUUAAUUUAUUAUUUGGUACGUGAGUUUGAUUUUAAUCAGUUAAGUAUCUAAAUUUUUUUGGUUGUCUCGAUUAAGUAGCUAUGUUUUUUUUACUAAAGCACACAUGCCAAACAUUCUUUGGUUCACAUGAUGAUGUUUCGGUCUAAGUAUCAAAUUAAACAUUGAAGAUAAACUUAGAUACUAAAUUUGACAUUAACCAUUUUUAUUUCCUUCGUAGAAAUUAGAGGGGUAUAUGUGCCAAGUCUGGCCUGAAAAAUGGGUAUAACAUUUUGUCCAAGCUCGGCCCGGAUAAAAAUGUUAAAACACAGGCUCUGUUCUGCCUGGCCGUAUUAAUAUUUUAUAUAAUUUUAUUUAAAAUAUAAUACAUCAAAAAUACUAAAAAUAUUAAAAUAAAUGUUUUCCCAUCAAAUUAAAAAUAAAUUAGAAAAACUCUACUUAAAUGUCUUAAAAAUGAUAACAAAAUUAACAAUAAAAUAAGAGUUAUACAAUAUCUAAAUAAUAAUAACAAAAUAGUCACAUAAUAGUGAAAUUGUACAAAAUAAUGAAAAAAACAACAAGAAAAUAGUAACAAAACAGUAAACAUAAAAAGCAAUUUUCUUUUUUUGUAUAUCUGAGCUAGGUCAAGCUCGGACAAAAAAACUUUACUUGAGACCUGACCCGUUUUAAACUAGCAUUAUUUUUGUCUAAACUUAUUUUUCAAGCUUAUACCUUUAAUCAAAUUCUCUUACUUUUCAGGUAGACUGAGAUGCUUGGCCAUGGAUAGGUGUAGUAAAAACAUAUGAAUCAAAGAAGGUUUUGCUUUAAGAGCCCCCCACCACUCACAAAACAACAAAGUUCCCAUGAAUUCUAAUGUAUGAUUUUUUUUUUCCAACAUUUUGUUGUCUGGUUUUUGUUCUGUUUUGUUUUUUUACUGUCUUGUAAUGAUCAUAAUGUGCAUGUCUUUUCUUCCUGCCAAGGUGAAUUUGGUUAUUUGUUUGAUUAUGUUAUAGCCUCAUUGAUAGCCAUGGAAAUGAUCUAAGAGAAGCUUCAACAAUUUUGCUUGUUAAAGAUGGGAAAAAAAAGAGGAAAAAUUAAAGAUAAAGAUAAAGAUAAAAGAGAAAGGGUUUGACUGAAGAGCAUUGGAUUUGGAAGGGUAAUCAAGUAAUAAUCAACAAUAAUUAAGGCUUUUGAAUACCUAUAAUUGUCUACUAACCUUUUGCAAAGACAAAAUUAGCUUAAUCAAGAAGACAAAUGCCACACAUUCAUUGGCCUAUCAACCUUGAUAUUAAGGACCCUAAUCUUUGAUUAUAUCAACUAGCCUUACAACACUUGAAAAGUAGUCAAAUUAUGCAUUAUGACAAAUUUAGGCAUUAAUGUUCAACAAUUCAAAAAAAAUUUUGAAUUUUAUCAUCAACUUCUCAAAAAGAGUUGAAUUGUUGUUUUUUAACGGAAAUACUAACUAAAAUGCUAAAAUUUUAAACAUGACAAUCUAUGUAUACUUAGUACUAGUUUUUUUUUUAUAAUUUUUAAAUUAUUUAUUGACAUGAUAUACAAGACAUGGUUUCAUGUUAUCAUGGAAUACAUGUGGAACUUCGCGUCAACAUCGUUAAGAACAGUGAUUUAACUCGUUAAUUGAUCAAAUUUAGGUCCAAAACUAAAGACCUAAACAGGCUAAAUUUAUCAUUAUACCUGAUAUUAUAUUCAAUUUAAUUAAUUUGUGUACAUGGAACUUGGCUUUUUUUUGGUUGAAAUUGGAGACUGACCUAACAAGCUGAAGAAAAAUAGACUAGUCUUUGAAGGUAUAAGCUACGAAUGGAAAGUUGUGGAUAUAAGACAAUGAUACACAAGUCAAAUACAAGCCAAAAAACAUGUAUGUUCUGUCCCAAUCAUUAAUUUUUACUGUGUUGUUGUGGCAUUACAUGAUUGACUUCCCAUCUUAUUUCAAGUUACUUUGUCACUUUCAAUUUUUGUUUUCUUGGUUUUAAAGCAUUUUACCCUUUUCUUUAUAUAGAUUCAGCAUUGGAUUUUAAGAUUUUUUAAAAGAAGGGAAUGGAAACUAGAUUGCAUUGACACUAAAGGUAGGCAAAGUUUAGAUUAUUGUGUGGUUCAAUGUCGUGUUCUUGUUAGUCAUUCAAAAUUAUUGGUUAAAAAAACAACACCCAAAACUAUUAAAGUCAUGUAGGGCCAUGCUAGACCUAUUUAUGAAUCGAGUCUGGCCUAUUGUGUAGGCUGGUAGUCACUUGUAUAGGCCUAGCUCAAACUAGAAGGGAUUUGAAUAAUCAGGGUUAAGAGUGGGUGAGUGUGAUCUCGAAUAAAAUUAAAAUUAACCCUGAAUUUGAAUAGCAUAAAUAACAACAUAAAAUGAGCAAGGAGAGGAAAGAUUUGUACAAGACAGGGCCAGUUUCAGAAAUUUGUCGUAUGAUCAGAUAAGUCUGACAUGUCACAGAUUUUUGUCUCAAAAGCAAAAGAACAGAUGCAAAUGCUUCUGUAUAAGACCCGCAAAUAGUACCAUCAUGUGCAACUGUUUUAACACCUACUCUGUAAACACUUCACACACUUGUACGUAGGUGUGUGUGUAUGUAUGUAUGUAUGCUUGUAGCUGGGAACAAGCAAAGGAAAGCUUAAUAGAACAAGGCAGAUGAACUGAAGUAUCAAUACCGAAUCCACCAUGCACACCAUGGAAAUAGCAAAAAUUUUCAUCUUCGAACUGAAGUUAGUUUCGUUUUCUAAUACAUUGGUGCUGUCAGGUUUGUUGUUCACUUCGGUAAUAUUUCUUCUUCGAGACUGCCUGCAGGGGCUAUCGAAUGUUUGUUUUGAUGUUAGCAGCAACACCGAAUUUGAAACCGAAUUACCAAAGGUUCGAAUAAUUCAGUACUUGAUCUCAUAUUCUGCUGAAUCUCCCAAAUCUAGUUUAUCCCAUCGAUCGUUCUCAAUAUAUGUUAGUGUCCAAAUGGCACCAAUUAGAUGGAAAACUCCAUUAAAAUGCUUAGAGCUUCACAGUCCAAUGAAUGCUGUAUACAAAUCUUCAAGACUCUAUAGAUAUCAUCUAUCUGGCAAUGUUUGCAAUCCUUAUUGAGGAAAACAUGAACUUCGUUUCUUAUUUCGAUCCAACUACAACCCGGAAUUCUCUUCAUUUGUUUCUCUUUUAUCUCUUUCCUUACUGUCGAUGCAAUUUCCCAUCUGCCGGCGGCAGCAUACGCAUUAGACAGCAUUAUAUAUGACGAAACAUCCUCCGGGUCCAAUGCCAUGAUUUUUCUUGCUGCAAAUUCCCCGAGUUUCACAUUCGAGUGAAUCUGACAGCCACCGAGUAGUGCUUUCCAAAAACCAAUACCUGGUUCAAAAGGCAACCGGUGAAUAAACUCUUCAGCUUCCUUGAACCGCCCAGACCGAGCAAGCAUAUCCACCAUACAAGCAUAAUGCUCUGGUUUAAGCAAGUUAGGUUCUUUAUGUCUUACCUUAUUGAAAUAUGAAUAGCCCUCAGUAACAAGACCGGCAUGACUACAAGCCCAUAAUAUACCAAGAAUUGUAACAUCAUUAGGCUUUAAACCACUUACAAUCAUCUGUUCAAAUAACUCGAUAGCUUCGAUUCCUCUUCCGUUUUGAGCAUAACCACAUACUAAAGCAUUCCAAGAAACAACAUUUCGUCCUCGAAGUUUAUCGAAAACCAAGAGACUAUCUUCCAUGUUUCCACAUUUAGCAUAAAAACUAAUAAGAGCAUUGCCAAUAAACACAUUAAGGUUAUCACCUAAACACUUAAAAACAUAACCAUGCAAGCUUCUGCCUUUACCAAUAGCACCUAUAUUAGCAGCUGCUAUAAUAACACCGGAGAAAGUAGAUUCAUUAGGCAUUACCCUUUCUCUUAACAUCUCAAUGAAAAUAUUUACAGCUUCUUCAUUAUAACCAGUUUGACUAAACCCAGAAAUCAUAGCAUUCCAAGUCACAACAUUUCUCUCAGGCAUUUCUUCAAACAACCACAGAGCAUCCUCAAAUCUCUUAUUUUUUAUGUACCCAGAUAUCAAAGUUGUAUAAGACACAACAUUUGGUUGAUGGGUAUCUUCAAAAACCUUUCUUGCUUCCUCUAUUGUACUUAACUUUGAAUAAAGAUCUAAACUUGCACUACCCACAAAAACAUUAGAAUUUUGACCACUUUUGAUUGUACAGCCAUGAAAUUGUUUGCCAAUGUUGAGGUCUUUUAACAAAGUGGAAGAGUGAAUCACAGUCCCAAAUGUGAAUUCAGUGGGUCUAAUAUUGUUGAAAAGCAUCCUGGUAAACAAAUAUAUGGCUUCUUUAUGAAGGUGUUGCUUAGAGAAGGUUCCUAUUAUGGAAGUGGCUGAGACUACAUCUAAGUCAGACAUUUCGUCGAAUAACUUGCAAGCAUCCGCAAACGAGGUUGAUGAAAAGCAAAAGUGGGUAUUGGCGACUUUUGGGACGAUAAAUAGAGGGUUAUGAGCUUCAUUGUUGAAUAUGGUUGCAGCAGCGGCUCGAGAGAAUCUAUAAUUUGGAUUCAAUCGAAACAUGGAGUGGGUUUUCUAUGUACAAUUUUUUAUAGCUAAAUCAAGGCCCGUAUAGUCAACUAAAGGGAAAUAUAAAAACUACUUGUUUGCUUGAAAAAAAAUAUUAUUUUUAUCAUUUAACUUCAAAAGUUAUAAAUUUGUUACUGAAUUGUUUUUGAAUUAUUCGAAAUUUCUCAUAUAAAUCAGUGAGCUGUUAAAAUCGUUCUUAUAUGACUCUUUAUGUUUGCAUCAAUUGUAUCAAUCAAAAGCUCUUCUUUCUCUUUUCUGCUAUAAUUCAGCUUUUAUUUCUUACAUAUAAAAUAGCUUUGGUUGUCAUGAAUUGACGAAUCAAAAUUCAAACAGUUUUUUUCGAUAUUUGAUAGUAACUAUUAAAUUGACUUAGAUAUAAGUUAUGUUCUUCUUCUCAUCAAUAGGUACUGAACUAUCAUAUAGAUCGUCUAAUAGUUGCUUGGAAUUCACUAAUCAAUUUUUUUUAAAAAAAUAACUACCAAAUGACUUAAAUAAAAAAGGUAAACUACAUAAAUAGUCAUCUAAUAAUGUUUUUUUUAGGGUCACCUAUUUAUGAAAAAUUAUAAUAUAAUCAUUCAAUUAUUAGUGAUUUUCUUUUUUUAUUACUAGACUAUUCAGUUUUGCCUUUUUUAGUCACCCAACUAUCUUGAGUUUUUAGAUGUUUUCGUUUGGUAUUAAAAAAAAAGAUAAAAUUAAAUAAUUAAGUGAUAUUUUAUAAUAUUUCAUACCCACAUAAAUAAUUCAAUAAAUCGUAAGAUUUUUUAAAAAAAACUUUAUAAAUAAAGAAAAACCACACCAUUCAUAAAUUAUUCACCAAAAACUACCCUCAUUUACAUCACUUCUUAUAGUUCAAUGUUUGGGAAUUAGAGAUUUCAUUAACAACAAGAUUAAACGGCAAUGGCGGAGGGUUUCGCCAAUUAGGAAGCUCACCCAUAAUCAUAAGCGUCUCCAACAAUGGCGGAGUAUCAAUAACAGCUUCAAAUAACCUCCCUUUCACCGGCAACGGCCUUCCUUCAAUAAGGGCAUCAAUUACUUUUCCGAUAGAAUAACAUUUUCUGACGGGAAUUCGACCACCGGAAUUUUCAACCAAUGAAGCUUUCAACGUUUUCCGACGAGUACAAUCAUCGGCCGUCAAUGAAACGUCGUCGGAAGAAUUGGUUUCGGAUGAAAAGUUGGAUGUUGGUAACAGUUUGUUGAGUAAUUUCUUCAAUUCGGAGAUUUCCACCAUUGAUUGCUUCAAUUGCUGUUUAGCUUCGUCUCUUUCAUGGCAGGCUUGAAAUAAUAGCUGAUAUAAUACAUUGGUUAUUUCUUGGUGUAUCCCAAUUUCACCUAUAAAUUCAUCUCUUAUUGAUUGUACUUCGUUGUUGUAGUACAUUUGCUUUGAUUUUAGUUCAAGCAAUGCCUAAAAUUAGUUGAAAAUCAAGUUAGAAUGUAACCCAAUUGCUCGUUUCGAUUCGAUUUUAUUAUCAGUUAAAAAAUUAAAUUAAAUAUAAAAAAUCAAGUCAAAUUCUAUUGUUUUGAAUUGAUUCAUCAAUUUUUAUUUAAAUUAAAUAAAAAUAAAUAAUAAAAAUCGAAUUAAACUUAACUCGAAUCGAUUUUUAUUUUAUUAAUUUUUUCGGCACUAUUAAGAAACAUUGAUAUAUAACCUGCAAAAUAACUAUUAGAUUCCUAGUGUAUGGCUUGGAUUAUGAAAAUACAUACAUAAUAGUUCAUUUCCAUUUCUCAUAAUUACAAGAAGAAGCUAUUUCAUCACUUGAGAACUUAAUUAAGAAAAUAUUUUUUUUAAGUCAUAAAAUUAUUUAUUUGUUAAAAUCAUUUGCAAUAAUAAUAAAAUUUAGCCAUAAAUCGUUGAUUGAGUCUUUAACUCAAUUGGUAUGAUCAUUAUUGUCAAUAAAGAAUGAUGUAAAUUCGAAUGCGCUGAAGUGUAUUAUCCUCUUAUUUAUGAAUUGGGGAGAAUGCUAUGAGUAGUUAAUUUUUCAUUAAUUACAAUUGACAUUAAACAAAAUGAAAAUCUUGGACUUCCUUAAUUAGAGAUUUUUUAUAAAUAAUAGUAGUGAUUAAAUCUCUUAUUAUUUCUAAUUAGAUAAAGGCACAAAUUUAUAACACCUUGUAAAAUCAGAAUCAAUACUCUUUAACAUACAUUUGAUCCAUAGUAUAGAAAAGAAUGAUUCAAUAUAUAAUAUUGAUAUUUUAAAGAUUUAAUUAAAAUAUUUUAGAAUUCCAACAUACUGUGAAAUUAACCUUUUUUAUUUUAGAACAACAAUUAAACAUAUAUUCUGAUACGCUCCACUUUGGAGCUAACACUUAAAACUUUAAUUCGAAAUUUGAAAACUAAUUUAAAAUCUUAAUCAUAAUUUGAGAUAUAUGAUGCAAUAAAUCCUUUGUACUUGAGAACAAUGCUCCCAAAGUUGAUCUUCAUCUUAAUCAUAAUUUGAGAUAUAUGAUGCAAUUAAUCCUUUGUACUUGGGAACAAUGCUCCCAAAGUUGAUCUUCACAUUGAAUUUGCUUUAUCAUGUAUUCAUGUAAAAUCCCUUUAUAUAUUACAAGAUUGUAUAUGUACCCUUUUAAGAAAUGUAUACAUGUCAUAAUGGUAAGAUAUAAAUCGGCUAGCAUAUGAUUAAAAGUACCGUAGUAACCCUUAUACUGAGAGUUAAAUUAUAUUUUGUUCCAUCUACUCAAAAGAUAAAGCAAAUUAAUCUUAGUGCAUUAAUUCAAAGAGUAUAUUAAUCUUUUCUAUUUAAGAUUUUAUUCAUUUGUACCGUUAAAAAUUAAUGUAAGUAACAAAAUAACUAGAUAAUGAUACAUGACAUGCAGGGACCUAUUUUUAAUAACAAAAAUAGAUAAUUUGAUUUAACGUACAAGGACUAAUUUGCCUCUUUUUUGAGUAAAUAAGACAAUGCAAUCCUACUCCUAAUACAUACUCCUCCAUGGUACUGUUACAGCUAUCAAUCACAUGUUAUUUAGGUGAUAAAAAUAAUCUAAUAUAAUCAAACAUUUCACACAAAGGAGUUAGCAGAUUGUAAAAAUAAUGAUAAGCAAAGAAGUGAAUACAAACACAAACAAUAUAUAUAAGUUGUAACAAAAUUAGUUUUUUUUCUUUUUUAAGACCAAAACAGCUACUGCAGUAAUAGAGAAUGUACCAUUCAAAUCUCAUCUCAUCCUCGAAAUAGUUCGUUCAACCGCAGCAAGCUGAUUUUUGAGCGGGCGCUGCACCUCCUGCUGCUUGGUCGCCUUGGUUAAUUUUGAUCGUCUGUGGCUGUUGGAAGGGAAAAAAAUAUUGUCAGUGAUAAAUGAGUUUGAAUAAUUAAUAUGUUCGUGUUUAAAGAAACCAUACCUCAGACUUUGAGUCGGUAUCGGCAAGUCUUUGUUUAAUGUCCCUGGCUAUUGAAAAGAAAACCUCCUCAACGUUUAAGUUUGUUUUUGCACUCUGCAUGAUGACAAGAGUGGCUCUUGAGCAUAUACAAAAGACCAACUAAUCAUAUCAGAAAAAAUAAAAUAAAAGACCCGUAGUGAAAAUUACAUACAGUUUCAAAGAACUUGAUGCCGUAUUCAUCGGCAAGAGCUUGGCCCUUUGAGGUAGGGACGGCCUGAAAAAGAAGUUGCAAAAUCAACUUGACUUGAAAAAUAUCUAUGGGAAAACGAAAAACGGAGGGAUAGCUGCAAAUGCAUUGAAAGAGAGGAAAACGUAUGUGCAAAUAUGGAAGAGGGAAAAAGAGAAACGGACCCUUUUGCUUUCGUCCAUAUCAGCCUUAUUACCCACCAGAAUUUUGUUGACAUUGUCCGAAGCAUGCUGUUCAAUAUUACGAAUCCAGUUUCUAAUGUCUAAGCAAAAAGGAUAAACUUUAGUGGAAAAGAAGGGUAUUUCAAGUUUCCAAAUUACAGGAAAGUGAAAAGAUUCAAAAUCAAGGAAAAUUAACAGGAAACGGUAGAAAUGGCUAAAAAGAUUCAAAGGUAGAUAAGAUCAAACAGCAUAUGUAAGAAAAUACAAAAUAAAAACGAUUAAAAAGUUCAGUAAUUACUAUUGAAAGAUGACUCAUCAGUCACAUCAUAGACGAGCAAAAUGCCCAUAGCUCCACGGUAGUAAGCUGCACAAAUAGAAAACAUUACUUAAUUCAUCUGUCAACCAGACAAGACUCUAGAAGACAAUAGAAAGAAUUGAAUUUGUAAUCUUAUUUCCAAGUUUUGUAAUAAAACUCGGGUGUAAGACGUUAUGCAGGUUUGAAAGCAUUAGAGUCAAACCGUGGAAGCAUACAAACUCCUAAUUUCCAAACAGACUGAAAAAGCAACAGAAACAGAAAGGAGAGCAACAAUGAACUAGAGAUGUUAAAUUUGACAAUAUCAGAGUGAGAGCAAACAAAAGCUCACAUCAUGCAAUGACACUCACAAUUAACAAACUCGGAUAAAUCAAUGCCCAAGUCAUGCUAUCAAAAUUAUUAUAAACCAAACUGAUAGUAAUUCUGAUUGGAUUCAUUUCUAAACAAUGACACCUUCAGAGCCAAAAACAAACCAGUUGUAAUAGUCCGAAACCGCUCUUGCCCAGCAGUAUCCCAAAUUUGCAGUUUGAUUCUUUUUCCAUCAAGCUCUAUAGUCCUAAUCUUAAAGUCGAUUCUGCCAAAGCCACACAUCAUUAUUAACCCACAUACCCUUUGUAACAAAAUCAAUAAUAAUAAGAUCACUGUACUGCAAUUAGGAAAACACCUACCCAAUGGUUGUGAUAAAACUUGUAGUAAAUGAGCCAUCCGAAAAACGCAAAAGAAGGCAACUCUUACCCACACCUGCCCAACAACGCAAUAACAAGGUAAACAUACAUUUUUGUUACACAAAGUCAAAAGAACAUGCAGAAUAUCAAGAAAAGAUAUCAUGUAAAUUAAUACAACAUCAACUAUUAAUUCCUAAUUACAGGCAAGUAUACAGCUAUUUGCAGCAGACAUCCCAUGAAUUAAGAAACAGUUCCUUCAUGCAAAUGUACAUUCUAUGCCUCCACGAUGUUAAUCAUCAGUAACACUAAUAGAGACCGAGGAUAUUCACAUGGCAAUGAGCUAUGUUAAAACAUAGAAAUUAAUAGAUGUGACCUAAAAUAUAUGACAAACAAUGCUCACUAGCAUAUAUUCACCAUGAAAACACUAAAUAGAACCUAUUUUUUUCAAAAGAAAAUGCAGAAUAUCAAGAAAGCUCAUGUAAAUGAAUACAUCAUCAGUCAUUAAUCCCCAAUCGAGACAGAGGAUAUUUACAUGGCAAUGAGCUAUAUUAAAACAUAGAAAUCAAUAGAUACAACCUAUGUAUGAUGAACAAAGCUCACUGCCAUAGUUCCACCAUAAAAAUAAAAAAUAAAAAAAAUACAAAUAGGCCUUUCUUUUUACCGAAUCAAUCUCGCUUAACGCAAUGAGCUAUGUUAAAACAUAGAAAUUAAUAGAUGUGACCUAAAAUAUAUGACAAACAAUGCUCACUAGCAUAUAUUCACCAUGAAAACACUAAAUAGAACCUAUUUUUUUCAAAAGAAAAUGCAGAAUAUCAAGAAAGCUCAUGUAAAUGAAUACAUCAUCAGUCAUUAAUCCCCAAUCGAGACAGAGGAUAUUUACAUGGCAAUGAGCUAUAUUAAAACAUAGAAAUCAAUAGAUACAACCUAUGUAUGAUGAACAAAGCUCACUGCCAUAGUUCCACCAUAAAAAUAAAAAAUAAAAAAAAUACAAAUAGGCCUUUCUUUUUACCGAAUCAAUCUCGCUUAACGCAAUUGAGUUAAUACAUGAACCUAAAGCGAAGCUUAAUCUAAGGUAAUGAUCCUGAAAUCAAACCACGGUUUCACAUCUAGGUUUUCUACAUUACGAAAAAAAAAUCAAAUCCUAUCAAAGAGCGCUGACAUUUCUCAAAAACGAUGUAGAUUAACUACUAGAUCGCAUUUCAAAUCAAUAUUCAUAUAUAAAGAGAUUUUAAAUUUUAAAAAAAAUUACCGCUGUCGCCGAUCAAAAGGAGCUUUAUGAGAUAGUCGUAAUCGGCUCGAGCUCUUGCAGGUGGAGCAGCCAUGGAAAAAUAGAAGAAAUUUAUUGAAAACAGCCAAAAAACAAGGAAGAACAAAUAAACCCUAGAAAAAAAAAUCGUCGUCAAAAAUCAAUGUAAAAAUAAAAUAAAAUAAUGGAAAUAAAAUGUAUUUUUAAUUUUAUUUUGGUAAAUUGAAAAAGAAAAGCAAUACCGGCGAAGGAAGAGUUGAGAUCUGGUGAAAUGAGAUGUGAAACGUCUCCGGAACGACACAAACGGUCGGCCGUUGAAUUUUUUUGUGCUUCUGUGAGAAAGAGAAGAAAAGAAAUAUUGAAAAGAGAGUAAUGUUUGAAGAAAUAAGUUGAUCGGAAUCAAAUCCUAACCGUUGGAUUAAUUUUUGGUGUUAAGAUCUGUGUGGACGUAAGGUGGACGGAAACGGUUUUUCUUAUCUUUCAGGGUUUAUUCCAUGUGAUGUCCUUGAGGUAUGGCCUAAAUUUUAAAUUAGACUCUAUACUUCGUAAUGUUCUGGUGGUAUCCUUAUAUUAUAGUAUUAUGCCAAUCCUUAUAUUGAAUAGAAUAAAAGUAUAAGAAAUUACUUGAUAAAAUAAAACUAAUUUUUUAUUGUAUUAGGUGUAAAUUUUAAAUUUAAUUUUUAUAUUUUUAUAAAUUGAAAUUUCAAUUGGAAUUCAUACAGAAGUUAAAUUCGUUUGAUUAAAUGUUAUAUUGUAGUUUUAGUCCACUUUCUCUCUUAUUCAAUUAUUCUUUGUCCUUGUACUUUUCAAAUUUCGAGAUUUCAAUUUGGACGCAGAUGGUAAUCAUUAAAUUUGUUAACUGAUUUUUUUGAUAAUAUAAAGAAAUAAGAAGCUGGCAUGACAUUAUAAAUGUGAAAAUAUGUAUUUGUUACUUAUGAUUUAGGAAGUACAAAAAAUUUAAUGAAUUCAACAAAUAUAAUUUGCUUAGGACUGAAAUUUAAAAUACAAAAAGCACAUGGACUAAAAUACCAAAUUAAAAUAUAUAGACUAAAUUCACAUUUUAUGUAUAGUACAAGGACUAAUAGUAAAAUUUAACCGAAAAACUAGCGUAAGGGACUUUUAAGUAAUUUAGCAGUGGUGAACUGUCCUUACCUAUUUCCGCACGGCGCUACAAAUCUAACCAACUCAAAGGACUCCACGUCAUCGAUCCGAGUGAAACUCAACCAACCAAUCAGAAACCACCUCUCCUCUAUAUGUAAACAAUCCAUCUCCCCCUAAACUCUCAAUUCACUCAUUCUCCAAUUCCUCGAGUUCUUUCAUUUCUGAUUCCGUUCUCAAAAAACCCUCGUUUUCCCCAUUCUUUAUAUCCUAUGGCUCCAAAGGUUGGUGAGAAGAAGCCCGCCGAGAAAAAACCGGCGGAAAAGGCUCCGGCGGAGAAGAGGCCAAAGGCGGAGAAGAAGAUCUCAAAAGAAGGCGGCGCAGAUAAGAAGAAGAAGGCUAAGAAGAGCGUCGAGACUUACAAGAUUUACAUCUUCAAGGUAUUGAAACAGGUUCAUCCUGAUAUCGGGAUCUCGAGCAAAGCGAUGGGGAUAAUGAACAGUUUCAUCAACGAUAUCUUUGAGAAAUUGGCUCAAGAAGCAUCGAGAUUGGCUAGGUAUAAUAAGAAGCCGACGAUUACAUCUAGGGAGAUCCAAACCGCCGUUCGAUUGGUUUUGCCUGGUGAAUUGGCUAAGCAUGCCGUUUCUGAAGGAACUAAGGCGGUUACUAAGUUCACUAGUUCUUAGAUUUAUCUUUCUUUUUGUUUUGAGAUUGGAUUCUUAUUAGGUUAUCCGAUUUGGGAUUUUAGGGUUUUCAAAAUGAUGGUUUAAUGUUCUUGAGUUUUAGGUUUUGGGAUUCAAUGAUAGUUGUUUUGAUUAUACCCAAUAUGGAUAUUGAAUGAUGUUUCUUUCCCUAACACCAGAUGUUCAUGAUCGAAUUGAAUGAUAAACCGCCAUUCCAAAUGAGGUAGAAGCACUUUCUGGCAAUACGUGAUUUCAAUCUGACCUCAGUACCGGAAUGGGAUUAUUAGACCUUUAGUGCGUGAAGAUGAUGAAGGAAGGGAUGUUAAUACCAUAAUCAACGAAGAAGAAAGUUGCUUCAGGGAAGCAACUAUUGCAAGGGGCAAAGAGACUUUACACUAACAAGACGAAACAGACUUUAUUACCAUAAAACGGUGCAACAAAUACCAUUAACACAACGCCAUAUAAUCUGAAUUCACUUCACUCAUUUCAGACCAAAGUCUGUUCUAAAAAACACUGGCAAAGUACCAUUACCAGUAUUAACAUUUUCCUACACGAAGGAAGCUACAUACAUAUACAAAUAAAUGAAAUUAGUCUUUCUUAGGAGACUUCUUGGUAGCCUUGGAUGGUGACUUGGGCUCUUUUGCAGCCGCCCUCUCGUUUUUCUUUGGUAAAAGAAUUGGGUUAAUGUUGGGUAAAACACCACCAUGAGCAAUGGUCACACCAGCUAAUAGCUUCCCAAGCUCUUCAUCGUUCCUCACUGCCAAUAGAACAUGCCUUGGAAUGAUCCUAUUCUUCUUGUUGUCUCUUGCAGCAUUACCAGCUAACUCAAGAACCUUUAAAUAAAUAAAUAAAAACCCAAUUCUAGAAACAUACUUAAGGGUGCAUGAUGUAUCUACAAUUUAAGUUUCAAUCAACCAAAUCCUCAACUUCAAUGGGGAUAAUUCAACGGUUAAAAUAUAUCUAUAGUCCCUAUAAUAAGCACAUUUUAACCUAACUCAACGCUUGGUAAAAAACGAAAUUACCUCAGCAGCUAGGUAUUCAAGAACAGCAGGAAGGUAAACGGGAGCACCCGUUCCCACACGUUGAGAGUAACGCCCUUUCUUCAAGUACCGGCCAAUUCGACCGACGGGAAACUGUAAUCCGGCUUUCACUGAACGAGAAACCGGUUUCUUCUUUGGACCGCCGCCUUUCCUUCCUCCGGCUCCUUUCUUCACCUUUGAUCCGGUAUCCAUCACUUCAAGUACAAAUUGGAGGAAAUGACUUCAAAUCCGAAAUGAAAUCUCGUAGUGAAAUUUUCUCGAGAAAAUGUUUGUGAUUUCGUAUAUGAUAAUUUGGAUCUAUUUAUGCGAGGAGAGAAAAAUGGGAGACAUUUGGCUUACGGAUUUGGAGAUUUUGAGCCGUUUAAUUGGUUGUUUAAUCGACGGUGGAUAUGCAACUCAUUUGGCAAUCCUCGUGAAAUGGAACAAUCCUAUCAAGUUGAUGUAAGGGGCUAAAUUCACUUAACUAUUGAUUACUUAAGUUUAAAAUUUCUUUUUCUAUAAUACUUACAAAUUUUAUCAACCCUAACCAUUAACAUUCUAUCGAUUUAAUCUUAAAUUCUAUAAACCUUAACUGUUUAUAUUCUAUCGAUUUAAUUUUAAUUCUGUUAAAAUAGUAUUGAUUCAUCUAUUCUAUCAAUUUAAUCUUAAAUUUUAUAGACCUUAACUGUUUACAUUCUAUCGAUUUAAUCAUAAAUCCAUUAAUAAUUUCAUUCACCCAUUAACUUAGAACCGCAUUGAAGCGGAUAUUCCUUGAGGAUUUCGACCAGUUACCUUGCUCUUGUUCUGAUUGAAGCAGGCAUCAGCCCUUCAAACCUUUACAUUCUAUCAAUUUAAUCUUAAUUCCUUAAAAUCAUUAACAUUCUAUCAAUUUAAUCUUAAUUCCGUGAAAAUAAAGUUCAUUCAUCGAUCAACCUAGAACCGCAUUGCAGCAGAUAUUCCUCAAGGAUUCCAACCAGUUACCUUGCUCUCGUUCGAGUCUUUAGUUAGACCUUUCGUGCUGUCAUCCGUUCUUACAGAAGACUCCAUUGAAGCAGGUAUCGGCCCUUAAAAGGUAGCCGUGAAAAACAGGGGUUACAAUUGAAAUUGAACGCGACAUGAGUUCUCGAUGUAUACGAUCGUUUGCCAACAUUGGUAUCCCACAUGGUUAGUGGCAAAAGGCAACAGAAGUCAACGAAGAACAAUAACAAGAAGAUAACCGGAAAGGAAAGAACAGAAGGGCAAAACCUCCACACGCAGUUGCGAUGCUAUAGACCCGGGAAGAUGAUUGUUAGAUUUUCAGUACGGGAAGAUCGAUUGAAGGAAUGUUAUCACUGACGAUAAUCAAUUUGAUAAAAAUAAGCACAAACCCAUAUAAUCUGAAUUUCAGUUCAUUCAUUUCAAACAAAACAUAUUCUAAACAACAUUACCAACAUUUUCCUACAACCAAAGUACACAAAAGGAACCUACAUACAUUAACAGAUAAAUCAAAACAAACCCUAUAAUAGACAAACAACUAAGCCUUCUUAGGUGAUUUCUUUGGAGACUUUGUAGCCUUAGAUGGCGACUUAGGCUCUUUUGCAGCCGCUUUCUCGUUUUUCUUUGGUAAAAGAACUGGGUUAAUAUUGGGUAAAACACCACCAUGAGCAAUAGUCACACCAGCUAAAAGCUUCCCAAGCUCUUCAUCGUUUCUCACUGCUAAUAGAACAUGCCUUGGAAUGAUCCUAUUCUUCUUGUUGUCUCUUGCAGCAUUACCAGCUAACUCAAGAACCUUUAUAUAAUUAAAAAGGAAAACAAACCCAAUUUUAAAAACAUAUUUAAGGGUAUAUCUACACUUUAAGGUCUCAAUCAACCAAAUCCCCAAAUUCAAUGGGGAUAAUUCAACGGUUAAAAUAUGCCUAUAGUCCCUAAACAAGUACAGGGACUAAAUUCAUAAUUCUUUAAAAGUAUAGGAACUAUAAGCACAUUUCAACCUAAUUCAACGCUUGGGAAAAAGUAAAUUUACCUCAGCAGCAAGGUAUUCAAGAACAGCAGCAAGGUAAACCGGAGCACCGGUUCCCACACGUUGAGAGUAUCGGCCUUUCUUCAAGUAUCGGCCAAUUCGACCAACGGGAAACUGUAAUCCGGCUUUCACCGAACGAGAAACCGGCUUCUUCUUUGGACCGCCGCCUUUCCUUCCUCCGGCUCCUUUCUUCACCUUUGAUCCUGCAUCCAUCACUUCAAAUACAAAUUGGAGGAAAAAAUCGAAAAAGGAAAGGAAAUUUCGAAGUAAAAUUUUCUCGAGAAAAUGUUUGUGAUUUCUUAUCGGAAAAUUUGGUUCUAUUUAUAUGCGAGGUGAGAAAAAUGGGAGACAUUUGGCUAACGGAUUUGGAAAUUUUGAGCCGCUUGAUUGGUUGUUUAAUCGACGGUGGAUAAUAAUCUUGUUUGGCGAUCCUCGUGAAAUGGAACGAUCCAAUCAACUUGUUAGAAAGUGUUUUAUCUAUUAAUAAGUAAUUAUUUUGGGUAAAUUUUAUAUAUAGUCCCUCAACUAUUAAUUUAUUUCCGUUUUAAUCACUUAAGUUUAUUUUUUUAUCAUUAACAUUAUCGAAAUUACCAAAUAAUUACCACCGUCCGUAUACCAAUACUUACCCUAAUGUAUUAAUAAAAAUAUUUUUCUAACAAGUUUAAAAUAGUACACUACACAACUUAUAACUCAAUAUUCAUAUGUUUUCAUUUUAAGCCCCGAAAUUUAAUUUUUUUGCAAAAAGGGCACAAUUGUUAGCAAAUAUUUUCAUUUUACUCACUCUAGGUUAUAAAGGUCGACAAAAAUCCUACCUACAAUGCCGUAUCUCUUUGUUUUCCACAUAUGUAUAUAAUUUCCACCUCUGGUUCCAGUCCUCAUAUCCCCCUAUCUUCAUCUUCGAACACAGCCUUCCACCUUACACUACCAUCAACUCAUUUUGCCACCUCUAAUUCAAACCAGCUUCACGCACAAAAAAUUUCAGCCAUCGUUACUAUCAUCCAAUGCUAAAACCGACCACCAUCUAUACCACAUCAACCACUGCCUAACCCCAUUACCACCAUCACUUGUCGUAACAGUAACCAAAUAAACCCCCCCCAACAACCCAAUAACAGUAAACAACAUCCACAUAAAAAAUACCUAAUUUCUAAUCAAUAGGAGAGACAGAGAGAAGAAGAAGAAGAAUAAGGAGUGAGAAGAAGAAACACAAGAGAAGAAGAAACCCCUUUAAGGUUCAUGAUGGAGAACGACACUUAACCUGAAUGAAGUAAAGGUUACACAUUGUGGAGAAUGGUGUAGCUAGAUCAACAACAAGAGAAAUGUCUACUGAAGCACAAGCUAAGGCUUUGGCAGAUGAAAACUCUAAGAUUUAAAAGCAAAAAAUUAAUUAUUUCAAGCAACUGAUCAUUCACUUUUAGAGACAAUUCUCUAAAAGGAUAUUUCCUAGCAGAUUUGGGAUUCAAUGAAAAAGUAGUUUUCAGGAUCAAAUAGGGUUAAGCAAGCAUUGCUUCAAUCAUUGACAAGAGAAUCUGUCACAGAUUUCAUUAGAAGAACAAUGGGAUUGCAAACAAGAUGCGCUUUCAUGGUUUAGACAUGGAAGAUGCUAAAAUUGUGUUGAAGAUACUGAGGUCACUAACUCCAAAAUGGAGUUAUGUUUUUUGUUCCAUUGGAGAAUCUAAAAAUGUUAGUCAUUUGUCCAUUGAUGAUGCGCUACAAAGCUCUUUAAUUUGUCGUGAGCCCAAAGUCAAUCUCUCAAAGCCUACACCGAAUCCUCAAGUACAAAAGGAAGUGGUCGUGGAAGAGGAGGACGUGGUCGUGGGAAUAAAGACAACAGAUCUUAUAAUUCCACUCAUGCUUCUAAAACAGAAGAUUCCCAAUAAAAAGGAAGAGGUUAUUUUGACAAAUUUAAGAUUGAAUGUUAUAGAUGUAGGAAUUAUGAUCACUAAAAGAAUGAAUGCUAUACAAAGCUACCAAAAGAAAAGGAAGAAAAGUCCAACUUUGCCGAACUGGAGGAGGAGGAGACACUUUUGAUGGCCUUUCACGCAAUAGAGGAGUUUGAUCAACAAACUUGGUAUGUGGAUACAGGCUGCAACAAUCANNNNNNNNNNNNNNNNNNNNNNNNNNNNNNNNNNNNNNNNNNNNNNNNNNNNNNNNNNNNNNNNNNNNNNNNNNNNNNNNNNNNNNNNNNNNNNNNNNNNNNNNNNNNNNNNNNNNNNNNNNNNNNNNNNNNNNNNNNNNNNNNNNNNNNNNNNNNNNNNNNNNNNNNNNNNNNNNNNNNNNNNNNNNNNNNNNNNNNNNNNNNNNNNNNNNNNNNNNNNNNNNNNNNNNNNNNNNNNNNNNNNNNNNNNNNNNNNNNNNNNNNNNNNNNNNNNNNNNNNNNNNNNNNNNNNNNNNNNNNNNNNNNNNNNNNNNNNNNNNNNNNNNNNNNNNNNNNNNNNNNNNNNNNNNNNNNNNNNNNNNNNNNNNNNNNNNNNNNNNNNNNNNNNNNNNNNNNNNNNNNNNNNNNNNNNNNNNNNNNNNNNNNNNNNNNNNNNNNNNNNNNNNNNNNNNNNNNNNNNNNNNNNNNNNNNNNNNNNNNNNNNNNNNNNNNNNNNNNNNUUCACUGCUCGUAUACUGAAAACUCGAAUCCAAAUUCGAAUUCAAGAAUAGCGCAAAAAAAACUAACUGCAAAACAAACAAACAAACAAAAAAGAAAAUUUCAAUUCAAUCCAAAUAACCGCUUAACCGUUAUUUAAUUUUAAAACAUAACACUGCCAACCAAGAAAUUUCAACCAAAAAAAAAAGAAAAAAAUAAUAACUACCUAUACAAAGCCAAAAAAAAUCAACGAAAAUUUGCAGAAAUUGGAUCCAAAUCACAUAGAAACCUAUAACAAAUCGAAGAAUAAACCAUGCAGGACGAUUGAAAAAGCCAGAUUUAAAUCUCGUGGAUCUGAGAUUCGUGGAAAGUUGAUGAAAAGGAAAAAAAAAAUUUAAGGCUCGAAUUAAAAAUUAAACAAAGCGCGAAAGAUUUGGGUUAGGGUUUUUGAUUGUUUAUGUGAAAGGCAAAAAAAAGGAAAAACGAAAACAGAGAGAGAAGGGCGGCAACAAACAAGAAGAGAAAAAAGCUUUGUUCGCGGUCCAGAUUUAACUUUUUCAAGAAACAAAAAACAAGAUAGAGAGAGAAAAUAAAUCUAAUUCAAAUAUAUUCAGUAG